rnacentral:lncRNA from 1 species
GCCCCAACUUCUGUUCUUCCUCAAGUUUCUUGUAGAACCCUGGCAAUGACCUGAACACAGUGUUGAAAUCGUUCCCGGGAAGAUCAUUCAAGAAGGCUUGGAGUGAAGGAGAUGGACGGUUCAGUUUUUGGAAGGUGGCAUGGAUGUUGUGUAUGAUAUCUGAUACCGCCAAAAGGGUGUUGGGUCCGGAAGAGCAUCCCAAGUCUGCUAUUUUCAAACAGUCAGAGAAGAGUUUGCUGCAAAGCUGCUCUAUGCUUGCCUUAACUAUGGGCUUCACCAUCGAAAUCACAGCUCUCUGAAAUAAAUUCAGACAGCUGAAUAUUAUUAAAAAGUUCUUAAUUUUAUGAAAACAAGUUCCCGUCAUAUUAAAAAAGAUCAUUAAAAUCGAAUAUGAUCAACAGAGACAAAAAAAGAAUUAGAGAAACAGAUGCUGACUAACUUGAAGUAGAGAGUUGGUUGCAUAGCUUGUUUUCCCAAUUCCUCCAUUCAUGUGAAGCACUUGCUCUACCUCCAUUUUAGUUUGUGUUCUCAAAUAAUGCUUCUCUACACUCUUAAUUCUGGUGCCUAUUCUGCUAUAAGAGCUGCAUAUUUAUAGCAAAAUACUUACCUCAUGCAGCUUACGUGUUAUUAGGUAUAUAGUAAUUUUUUGUGUACUUGGAACCCCGUCGCACGAUAUUAUUAGUACAGUAAAAUUAUCGUACGUGUAUUUGUUUUUUAUCAAUAUAUUCUAGAAGUAAAACAUAUCAAUUAUGUCGUCGCACAUAUUAUACAUAUAAUGGUUACACUAAAUGAUGAUGUUCCCGCUUUCUGUAAGUUUUAGUACAUCACAACCUAAAAGAAUAUGAUAUGUUAGUAGACAAAUAACUUAAUAUUUUCUGUGAGUUUAGUUAAGAGAAUUGCUAGGUAAACUAAAUUUGUAGACUAAUUUUCAAAUUAAAUGAUGUCUCACUAAUAAAAAAUAAGAGCGUUAAUUAACAUUAAAGUAAUAAUCCUAUCAUCAAUUUCCAUGUUAUUUACUUACAAAAUUUAGUCUACAAAUUUAGUCUCCCUAACAUUACCCUUUAGUUAAAGAGUAGGUGACUAGUUUACAUACGGCUCCAUGUGUCAUAAACGUGACAUCAUCUAUAAAUCACCCAGCUUCUCUGCCCGCCCACUUCCCAUACACUCUCAUCCCCUCUUAUUUUGUGCGGUCACGGUUAAGCCACGUCAACAUUUUAUAUUGAUUUUUUCAUAGAGAUAAUAAGACAAAAAAUAAUAGUAAUAUAAAAUGUUGACGUGGCUUAACCGUGACCGCACAAAUAGAAGGGGAUAAAAGUGUAUGGAAAGUGGGAGGGCUAAGAAGCCAGGUCCAUAAUUAAAUUAGUCUAACAAACACUUGUUUGGCGUCAUUAGAGUCUACAUCAAUCAAGCUUUGGUACAUUACAUGAUGUACAUUAAAAAAUGUCGUUUACUCUUGAAAGAAUCUAAAAUUGAUUCCGUGGUGUUGGUCUUGUCGCCUAUGAAUAUGAUUUACUAAGAGCUCAUUUGGAUAUACUCUUAAAAUAACUGAAAGUAUUUUUUGUUAAAAUAUUUUUGAAAUCAAUCCUUAGUAAAAAUGCAAGUAAAUCCUGGAAAAGCACUUAUAUGUUUUUUAACAACUUGAAAAUUAAAAAAAAAUUGUCAUAAUUUUCUUUUUUUUUGACAAUUAAACACCAUUAUACGUACAUUCAUCAUACAUUUCUGUAUUUUAAUUUUUUAAGUCCUUAUACCAUUCCAAUAAUUGAAAUAAUAGUUUACGGAUGAUAUUUUUAACUGUUACCAAUGAAGGUAAUAUAAUAUUUGCUAAGUAUUCUUGGGUUACGAAAACUGUUUAGAAGAUAGUAUUCUUGGAUUAUUUAACCCAUAAUGUAAAGUAUUAACAUAACAUAUAUCAUGAGCUACAUUAUAUUAUAAUUAGCUAUAUAAACCAUGCACUAUAGUCAAUAGCAUUGAUAUAAGUUUUGUCCGAUAGAGAACAUGGUUAGGAGAAUGAUUACACUUGUUGACCAUGAAUCAUGUCUUUUCGGCAACAAUCAAAAGAUGCAACAUUCAAAUUGAAGAGAUGUGAUUGUUGGGUUAAUAACACAACUUCCCAUCUCCUGCCAAACAGCCACAUAUAUAUAAUUUUAUUUUUAAAAUAUUCAACAUUACAUAUAUAAAAUCAAUGGGUAAAUGGUUACCCGUUUAUAACCGUAGUUAAUACCCAUAACCACCCAUUUAAAUUUCACAGGUAAAUAGUUAUACCCAUAACUGUAACCGUGAAGUUUAAAUGGACGGGUAAUCAUGGUUACCCAUAACCGCGGGUUUUGCCCAUCCCUACUUAUAUGAGAAUUGCAAACUAAGUUGAAGCAAAUUCUAAUCAAUUUGUGGUUAUCACUUGGCAUGAACAAAAAAAAUAUUUGAAGUCCUUUGCAUAACAUAGCAUAGAAAAUAACUUAACAUAUAUUUUAACCCUUUUAUCGUACAAUCUCUUGAUUAGAAGCUCGGUUUACUUGUGACGCAAGUUUACAAUCUAACAAUAAUAUUAAUCAAAAUUUAUGUUGGUCUUAGCCAACAGUGACAUGCCUGACAAUAAAUUAGGAAAAAAACAAUAACAUUCAAAAACUAUUGUAAAGGGGUAUUGAUCCUUAACUUAAUCCUUCCUUCCAUACCUACUCACCACUACGCCAACAAGGCCCAUUGUCUAUUUAAGUGCAAAGUAAAACUUAAAUCCCUAUACUUUCCUACUACUUUGCUAAUCAUAGGGAACUCUAACCUUGGUAAAUCAAAGUCAAUGCGACCACCAUGAGUAAUGUUAUUCAUACCAUAUUUUUAGAGUGCAUUUUUGCUCACCACCAUUUAGCAGUGUAUGCUCACCGCCUUUUUUAUCACCGUUAGAUGAGUUUGAAUUUUGAGAUUUGUGCCUAUCUACUACAUGAAUCUCAAAAUUCAAACUUAUCUAACUGUGGUAAAUAGGGUGGUGAGCAUACACCACAUUAAAUGGCGGUGAGCAAAAAUGCUCCCUAUAUUUUUAUACCACAUUUCUAUACCACCUUAGGUGGCAUUUGAUGUGGACAGCCACAUCAUUUGAAAAAUUUGCAAAACCCAAGGAAAGAAAGGAGAAAGACUCCUCGUAUACCACAAUCAUCAUUUAAUUAACUAGUUUUUCUUAAUUAUUAGUUUAUUAAAUAAUUAACUAAAUUAAAAAAUCUGAUUAAUUCAAAUGAUGUAGUUGUCCACAUCAAAUGCCACCUAAGGUGGUAUGAAAAUUUGAUACAAAAACAUGGUAUGAAUAGCAUUACUCGACCACUAUAUACUCAACCCUAAGUUCCAAAGCGAGAUGCAUACUUGCUAACAGUCUCGUAUUUUUCCUAGUUGUUCGACACUUUGAAUUUGAAACGUAGAGCAUAUUCAAAUUCCAUGCAGUCACAGGUAAUGAUAAGCAAUUUAGCUCUGCUUCUGUUGGAUAGCCCAUUCAUAAAUAGGCUCCAUUGCCCGAAUGUUGCUUCCGGGUAAUGGUCCUCGAGUCUAUCAUAAUGGCCUUACCUACGUGUGACGGAGUGAACUCAACUGUAAAGUCUACCAUUUCCUACUCAUUUUGAGCAUGCGUUGCUUUAAAUUGUAUAACAAAACCUCCUAGCUUAAUCGUUUAUUUAAUCACUCGUCUCGAGACCUUCGAUUGUUCAAUACUUGUCAUAAUGGGUAGCUGGUAAGAAUCACUAUUGAGUGUGCUUGGAAGUUUGCCCAGAGCUUUUAAGCAGACAUAAUGAGAGCGAGCACAAGCUUCUCUACCUUUGGAUGACAACCUUUGCUUCUAUCAGUGCUUGACUUACACAGUAUACUAGUUGUUGCACUUGCUCUUCCUCUCUUAUGAGCACUGAACUCAUGGCUGAUGGUGACACAUACAAAUAUAUGUACAGGGGUUUGCCUUGUAACGGUUUAGACACAAGAUGAUCGGCCUAUAUGAGCCUUCAAAUUAUCAAAAGCUUGCUGACAUUCAGAUAUCCGCUAUAUAAUCCGUACAACUCCUCUAAGUGCUUUAAAGAAAGGUAAGAAGCAAUCAGUUGAUCAUUAGACAAAAUGGUUAAGAGCAUCGACUCAACCGAUAAGCUAUGUAUCUCCUUUUUUGUGCGUGAAAGUGUUAGAUUUAUGAGCGCCAUGAUUUUUCUGGGUUAUCGUCAAUCCCUUUCUAACUUACCAUGAACCCUAAAAUUUUACUCGAGUUAACCGCGAAGGCAUACUUGGUGGAGUUCAUCUUCAUUUAGUAAGCAUAUAGAAUCUUUAAUACUUUGGCCAACUUGGCUAAGUGUUGGUUCUCUUCCCGCUCUUAACGAGCAUGGUCAUCAACAUAUACUUCUAGAAUCUUGCCAACGUGUUUGGCAAACAUUUGAUUUACCAACCAUUGGUAUGUAGCCCAUGUAUUCUUGAGCACAAGGGGCAUCACGUCCCAACAAUAGAGGCCUCCAUCGGUAAUGAAUGUCGUGUCAUUUUGGUCGGCCGAGUGCAUACAUAACUAGUUGUACCUUGAUUAUGCAUUGAGAAGGCUCAAAAGCUCUUGGUCGGCAGUUGCAUCUAUCGGGUGGUUGAUACGAGGUAAAGGGAAGCUCUCCUUAGGGCAUGCUCCAUUCAGGUCGGUAUAAUCUAUGCACAUGAGCCAUUUGAUAGGACGUUCAGCUGCCUCGAUCUUCUUUACCAUGAUCACGUUGGCUACCUGCCUUAGGUAAUCCACUUUCCUAAUGAAUCUUAUGUCUAGCAACUUGUCACUUCCACCUUCAUGGCUUCAUGGCGCUUGGUAUCAUCUCUUAUGUCAUACUGGUUUACAGUACGAGUCAAGACUAAGGCGGUGGGAUAUAACUCUUAAAUUAAUGCUAGUUAUGUUUACGUAGGACCAUGCAGAGACAUUUGUAUGCACUCUUAGAAAGCAGACCAUUUCUGGUUGUCCCAGUUUCACGUUGUAGGAUGAGAGGCAAUCUAAAACCAUGAAGUUGGUCGUGAGGUUGGCUUUUUUAGGGUAAAUGUGGGACUAUGAUUUUCCAGGGCCGGAGUAAGGUUGAUCCAAAUAAUGCUACCUUAGAAGUUCGUUCAUGGACUCACGAUUUUCGGACGAAACUGUAUCAAACGAAGUAGGAUGCCACUGAUGAGUUCAUAUUAUACUACAUAUUUUACCCUAAUCUUAGUAUUAAUUUAUUGGUUAUUUUUUGUGAUUUUGAUGCUUUGAAUUAUUUUUCCAAUGUAGGAUAUUUGAAUUCCUCUUGAGCGAAAAGUGAUCAAACGGAUGAAUUAUAGAGUGAUUCCAAUUGGAGGAUGUUCAUGAGUCUUUCAAGAUGAUUGUAGCAAAGUUUCAGAUUUUUCUACCAAGCCAUUUGACCAUGGCCAAGAAAAGAAGGCCCAACGCGUAGCUUUCCUAGAUUGACGUUUAUAGACGUUUAUAGACGUUUUGAUCAUUUUGGAGGUGAAGAUGGCAUAUUUUGAGGAAGAUUCAUUCUGAGGAUUUGUUAGGGACGACUUAAGCUUUAAAAAGAGACGUUUUAGGACAAAAUUGGAGUUGAUUUGGUCGGUCAAAGUUUGAUUUUAUGAGAAGUCUGAAUUUCAGUUUAAAUAGGAAACCUUUUAUUUUCUAGUUAUCUUAUUCUAUUAUGUUUCCUAGUUUUUAGAAUACCUUUUCUAUGAAGGAUUUUAUUUUCUAGUAGUAUAAAUAAGGCUAUUUAGCCAUAAGAGAAUGCACGCACUAAUUUGGAUAAUUUCAUACUUUUUACCUACAAGGUGUUUUCUAUCCAUGUUCUUAAUAAUAUUUUGUUUUAUGGUUGUUCGUAACUAAUUUCCGUUUACUUGGGCAAUGCCUUGAGCCUUAGCAUGAAUACGUAGUUUUUAUUUAAUCGCUUAUGAUAUUAUGCAUGCAUACUUUGAAUUAUUAAUCACUGUGUUUAAACUAUCUCUAUAUCUUAAUGCUUAGCUACCAUUAGGAUUAGAUAAGUAAUCAGAUGCAAUUCGGUCGGAAUGCCAUUGGAGGAUUGAGUAUUGCUUCUUGUGAUUGAUAGUUGUAAUUUCACUUAGGGCGAAUGCCAUGUCUUAAGGAUUGCAUGUAAGAAACUUAAUGUGAGUUUCAUAAAACAUUUGACAAGUGUAAUAUUAUAAGUUAAGUGAGUUAUAUAUAUUGAAUUUAGCCUAACUAAUGCACUAAUGCAGUUUCCAGAGUUAAGACUUGGAGGGAAACCUAAGGAGAUUCAAAUUGAUUUGCAUCAAACAGUUACAUUGAAGAUGUAACUGGUGGUAACUCCUUUCUUGAUGGGAGGAAGGAACUACUACAAGUAUAUAUAUAUAUAGCGAUAUGGUCCAUUCUCUCAGUGAAAAUAUAUUACCACUUCAGAUUUUGACAUGAACUCGUCCCAUUGAGAGUUUGGUAAUGCUAUUGAUUUCACAAGAGAGAAGAAGGUUGUAGUCGCAUGCAGGUUAGCGCCUCUGCCACUCAAGCGGUGGAUUCUAUUAGUGCUUUUCCAAAUUUAUUUAUCAAAACCUUUUCCUUUUGAUCUGAUUUCUUCUUAAUUGAUUACUAGUUGUUUUUCCUAGAUUACUUUUAUUAAAUUCAUUUUUAUUACAUUUAAAUUCAAAAACAACCCUUUGCAAUCUUUGUUUUCAAAUAAUUAACUAAGAUUUUGAUUUUGCAUAAAUUGUUUUAUAUAAUCCAUGUGGAAACAACCUUACCUAAGUCGUUUAUACUACAACUACCUUGUUCUCUUGCAAGUAUUUUUAAGUGUUUUUAUCCCUACUUUUGCAGGUGGUAAAAAUCCUAUCAGCCAUCAUGACUUUACUCUGAGGCACUCCAAGCGACAUUGUUGGGUGACCAUGCUUUUUCUGCAAGAUACGCAAUUUGAUCUAGUUAUGGACUCAAUCAAAUCAUAUAAGUCUUAGAGUCUCUACGAUUUAGGAAUAGGUAUGCGCUGCAAGUAAUCACACUCAUAAGAGGACGCAAUACCUACUUACUAGAUAUCCUCUCGGAUUCUCCUGGCUUAGAACAAGGAUUAUAUCCUAAAAAUGUCUCUUUCCCACAGUAUAAAUACACCCACCUAGGGUUCAUCUAUGGUAACACAAUCGAUACACUAGAAUUCUCUUGCCCACUGCUUGAGUCCAAAAUCAUUCAAUAACUUGACCGUCAGAUAGCCUUUAGCCGGAUCACCCCCCAAAGGUUUGCUUACAAUUAUUUACUAUUUUGCAAGUUGUUCCAGACUACAUGGAUUUGUGCUCAACCGCCAUUUACAAAGGUUGUUCUAGACUACAUAGAUUUAUGCUUAACCUUCGCUCAUGGAGGUGUGCAGAUUUGGUUCCAACAAAUGGUGCUUUCAUUGAGAAAGAACCCAUAUUCUUCUUGACCAGACCAUUCCCUAAUAAACAUUUCAACUAAAGAAAACUCAAUUAACUCCCUCGUCAACCUGUUUGGCGAAGAAGGCUUGCCCUUUGAUGCAUUAGCUAUCCUUGGGGUAAGAAGUUCGUUGCCUCCAACUACUACAGCAACGCCUGGAGCCAACGACAACGCCUGGAGCCAACGACAAUCCUUAAGGGAUGACAGCCACAUAUAAGGAAGAAAGAUAUCUAGUAAAAGGACAUCCCCCUUCUAUGGAUCAGAUUUGGGAAACUCUAACCAAAAUUAGCACUUCUGUCGAAAAUAUGUAGAAGAGCCAGACCAACGCUCAUGUUGAAGGCCAUUCCAACUUUGUGGACAUGGAAAAAUGAAUGAAAAACUUAGAGAACUUGAGUGGGACAACGUCUCAUACCCAAAUCCUCGUCUUUGGAUUUAGAAGCAGUGUUCUAAAAAUCGGCCUAGGUGGUGCCUAGACGCUGGGCGGUGGCUGGCCAUGGGGAUUAACUCAAAAUCGGGAGAAAAAUCGGGACAUGAAUUAGGCGGCCUCCGAAACAGCCUGGGCGGCCUAGGCGGGCGACUGAGUGGCCUACGGGGUCCAGGAAUUUCAGUUUUGUUCUUUUAUUUCAAGAAUGCAGAUCAGCUGCAAUCUUGUCUUUCUGGUUUUUGGUUCACGGUUUGGCAAAAGGAUGAAGACGAUGAAAGAUGACUUUCUUUCUCUCUCUCUCUCUCUCUUUGUUUCACACCACGUACACGGGACAUUCUUUUCUUAUUUAAUUUUUUUUCUUAGUUUCCCUCCAAUCAAAUUUUGACAGCAUGCAUCAAGUUGCUUGCUUUUUGUCAAAAGCCAUAGACUGUCAGUCUUGCAUAUUGAUUUUUCUUGUAAAAAAUGAUGGGGUGUGAGUCCCUACAUCCAAACACCUUUAUUUCUCUUUAAAUUAAACAUAAAAAAAUAUUUUUUUUAAAUUACUAUGAACCACCCACCCAUAUUCACAUCAGACCACCUAACUCACGUGGGAUUUUUACUUUUAAUUUUUUUUAAAAUUAGAUAUAAUCAUUCAAAAUGUAUUAAGUUAUAUGGCAUAUAUGCUUAAUGUGUUUUUAAAUUUUGGACUUAUUAGAUACUUUUUUUUGCAUUUUAUCCAUAGAUUUCAUACAAGUAUAAUUGUGUAUAAGUGUCAAUAUGUAUUAUUUAUAAGAUAUACAAAAAAUUUAUCUAAAUCCGCCUAGGCCGCCUAGACCCUGCCUAGCCGCCUAGGUGCUAGGCGCUAGCCCGCUGCCCGACUAGCGCCUAGCGUUUUUUAGAACCUUGUUUGGAAGCAUAAACACCAUAACCCCAUAAGGCGACCUUAUAACAUCUUCAAUCAUUCAGGCAUCAGCAAACACCGUAAGCCCCAAGAGAAGUCCUUUUGACAAUAAACGGAUCCCAGACGCACAUACAGGGGAAGGAACCCAGAAUCCGGAAAAACCUCCUUAAAGCACCUCGGGAGUACUGAGAGCAAAACCUCGCCGUUUAAGGUUCAAUGAACCCGAGGUUCUUGGGAAUUAAGAACAACGAUAUUCUCUAAACGAAGAUAACCAAGCAAAUCUCAUCUAUCUCCGCACACCGAGCAAGCUGAUGGUCUGAAUUAGGACACAUUUUUUAGGAACGAUCAAAAGAGUUCCUCCGCCAGAAAAAUUCUCUCCACCAAGGUUCAAGUCAAUUUGCGGUGACUCUGACCCCAACUACCAUAUCAUAUAUUAUAGAAACGACAUGGCGUUAUAUAGCAACAAUGACACCUGGAUGUGAAGAUGUUCUCGUUUACCUUGGAGGGCCUUACUAUAAGAUGGUAUUCAAAAUUACCGGCCAGGUCCAUAUACUGCUUUGAAACUUUGGCUGACUUAUUUACAAACACUUAUUAUGUAUACCGCGAUGUUCAGAAACGCCAUGAAACUAUGUUCAGGAUACUCCCUCAGACUAGAGAUGAAAGUCUUAGAGCCUAUUUGAAACGCUUCCGAGCAAAGUUGGUUAAGGUGGAAAAACCAGACGAUAAACUCGUAACUAUAGCAUUCAAGUGAGACAUCUAUGUCUAUUCACCUCUUUCCCAGAAUUUGUAUAGGAAAAAGUAGGACUAUGUUACUCUAGCAGAGUGCUUCAAUAAAGCAGGCGAUAUGACUGAUUGGGACGACAAGAGUCAAAUAACAACCAUUGAGUCGGACUACUCUAGAAAAAUCGACAUAAGAAUGAUGAACAAAGACACUCCCCGACCUUCUCCUCGAUAGGUCUUGAGAGGAAGGCGCUGAUACGAGAAAGUCCCACCAAAACCUAAACAAUAUACAACCCUGAAUACUGCUAGUAAUAACAUCUUCCACAACAUAAAGGAUAAACCCUUCUUUUGACGCCCAAAACUACUCUCAGAACAUCUGGCUAAGAAAAACCAGAGCAAAUAUUGCUCUUUCCACAAGAGUACUGGCCACGCCACUAGGUUGCUAAGCGUGAAUGGAUCAUAUCGAGGAACUUCUGGAUCAGAGGCACUGCUGGGAAUUCAUUAGGGAUAAGGAAAAGAAAGAAUAAUCAGUACCCAGGGAAAAAGAUCGGUCGAAUAAACACACUGAUGAUGAUGACUGACGGCCUGUAAAGAAACUAACCCUUAAUAUAAACUUCAACUGUGAAAGACGGAUGUAGGCAGCAGAAAGGGUCGUAAAAAUGAUUAAGGAUGAAAGUCUUAGAGCCUAUUUGAAGCGUUUCUGAGAAGAGUUCACUGAGGUGGAACAACCAGACGACAAACUCGUAAAUAUGGGCAUUCAAGCGAGGCCUCAAUGUCCACUCACCUAUCUCCCAGAAGUUGAACAAGAAGAAGUAGGACUACGCUACUCUAGCUGAGUGUUUCAAUAUCUCGGACGAUUUGAAUGAUUGGGACGACAAAAGUUGAAAGACAACCAUUGAGCCGGACAACUUUAGGAAAUCUGACAGAAUGAUGGACAGAGGCACUCCCCUACUUUCUUUGCGACAUGUCAUGAGAGAAGGACACCGAGACAAGCAAGUCCCAUCAAAACCUAAACAAUAUAUAGCCCUGAAUACCGCCAUUAAUAACAUUCUCUAUAGCAUAAAUGAUAAACCCUUCCUCUAACACCCAAAAUUACUCCCGAAACAUCUAGUUAAGAAAAUCCCAAAUGAAUAUUGAUCUUUCCAUAAGUACUGGCCACACCACCAGAGAUUGUUGAGCGUAUAGGGAUCAUAUCAAGGAACUGUUGGAUCAAGGGCACUACUGGGAAUUCUUUGGGGAUAAGGGAAAUAAAGAAUAUUUAGUCAAACCUAAGCAAAUAGAUCGGUCGGAUAAACAUACUGAUAAUGAAAACUAACGGCCUGCAAAGAAACUGACCCUUAACAUAAACUUCAUUCGUUAAAGAUGGAUAUAGGCAGUAGAAGGGGUUGUGAGAAAUCCAGUACCAAUCACUCCAAAAUGGAUGCCUCGUCGUCACGUCAAGAUUUAAUAAAAGUAAAAGGUAACACAAACUACACAUGGUUUGAUUUUCUUCCCAGAUAUCUCUGAACCCAAUCACAACGCCGCUAUUUGCACGAAGACAAGUACACGGAGAACUCAUCUCCUAAUGCCCCACCAUAGGCUUAUCGUCAAAAGUGAUCCCUGGUGUAAUUUUUAUGUCAUAUCAUUGUUUCCUUACAACUACACUAGUGAUUUGAUUCUCUAUCCUAGGGAUAUGUAGGCAAUUAUUCUCGAAGUCAAUCACACCCUUUUGUAAACCAACUUUAUUUGGAUCAUCAAUAAAGAGUGUAUGUUCGUCUUAAAUGUGUGUUUUUUCUUUAUUUUUUAGUGUUGCAGGGACCUUACUCAUUCAGAACAGGGCCCUAACUUUGAAAACUUCACAACAGUGCAAGUCUAAAAAUGUUUAAAGUUACACUGUCAGAUGAGCUUCAUUUAGCCCAAUCUGUCUGGAAUGGUUAACAGCUUGGGAAACUCGAACGGUAAUAAGUGCGACAACAAUUGGUAGACUAAUGGGAACAUGGGCCUUGACCAAGAAGUCGAAUGCACACUUCGACUUUUGGAAAGUUUAUGCAACCAACAAGGUUGUUGGUUAUAACAUUCAAACCAGGCUCUACGCCAUUUGAGGGAAUAGUCGAAGGGUGAUCUGGAACUCAUCCAAAUGUGGCUCUAAAAUCUGACCCUGAGUACAACUACUCUUAUCAAAGACCAAAUUACUAAGUUAAGUAAGCUUUGCAACACCAAGUGUUAGCAGGUUCUGAUGUGGCUUCUAGACUAAGUAAUCAACAAAAGGAAUUUAUUCCAACGGAGUUCCGAUACACAUAAAUUUUUUAGUCAAACCAAUCAAAGUAGUCCUAUAGGAAAUGCUCAAAUCUGACACUUAAGGUCUGACAAAAUGAUUCAAAAAAUGUUUAUGACCCACAGGCAGACGACCGCAUCUCAAACGAACUUUCGUCUAAAGAUUCACUAGAGAUAAACGGGCAACACGAGCUAAAAGGUACACACCUCUCGAGCAUCAUGUUGUAACAAGAUUCGAAGAACCCCCAAAAAGAGAAUAAGAAUGGAAAAAGCAUGGAAGGACAUUCCUGAUAAAAGAAAUAUCGUCCUCUCCAAUCUAGCGUGAAGAGCAGAAACAAAGCAAGGGGUUCUUCAUGGGUCUCAACACUUGGUAUCGGAGUAAGAUGGUACUUUGAAGAUUACGAUAGGUACCUUUACAAGCGCUGAGUUUGGGAGAUGAUGUUUAUCAACAUGUUUAAUGAGGGCAGUUAUACUUUAUCCUUAGCCUAUAAACUCACCCAUGCUUCGCCUUGCUUCUUAUUAUUCCAAAGUUAGCUUACGCUGGAAAGUUAGCUAAAUUAGGGACAUGCCUAGAAAAAUAUGAGGAACAAGAAAGGAAUACCUUCAGACAAAGUUAAAAAGAUUCAAAACCCAGACAGGGGAAAGUGUUCAAUGAGUGGGACAUGCUCCCAUUCUAGCCUGGCAAAACAUAAAGAAAAAUAACUACUCCACAACAUCGGAGUCCCUUACGUCCUUAAGAUUAACUGAAGAGUAACCAAGAAGGGGAGUAUCAAUAGCAACAAGACCUUUCUUCUUUGUCUGUUUCUCAAACUCUAAAGAAUAUUCACUCUGCUCCGAUAAGGUGAGCAUCGAUGCAUCGACCGCAAGUGAGAAAGGAACAGGGAAAUCAAUAACCUGUAUUUCAUUCAGCAAACGAGUAGCCUCCCACUGAUUACGAUGGUCCUGACUAGUAUAGCCAUCAAGAUAACCCUGAUUGUACUCAAGGAUAAUGUCCUCUUAGUAUUGUUGUCGUGGCUCUGCGACCUCCACUUUAUUCUGCUAAGAAGAUUCUAUUUGGAUUUUCUCUAUACGGCACACUUCAUCUUGAGAUGCAUAGACCUUUUUGCAUCGCACAAACUCUACUUCAAUGCCAACGCCCUCUCUGCUUCUUCCAAACGCGUACUCAAGGCCUCCAUUUCAACAUUCCAAGCUUAUUAUGUGACUAGUAACAUCUUGAUCCUAGUACUUCUCUCUUGCAAGUCUUACACAGCCUUGAUCUUGCAUCCUAACUCACUCUUAGAAGCGGGCUCAAGUUGGGAGUUCUCAUUUGCUUAGGCCCAGAUAUGAGCUUCAGUCUAGGCGUUUUCCUGGAAGAGAUAAACUAAGGUAGGAAUAAGAAAAACGGAGCACAUAAAUAACAAAGGACAUGAAAGAUUGAGGAGACUAACCGUGUAUUUUCUUUGAUAACACAUCUCCCUAAGAUCCUUCGCAGUUUGGAUUUCCCUGGAAUCGACAUAAGCGAUAACUGAGAAAAUCAAAGCCUGAACAUAUCCCGCAUCUUGAAGACCACUUGAAUAUAGGGAAAGCAGCUCCGAACUGGCAACGGGCUUGAUCACAAAGUGAGGCACCUUAAUAGAUAUUCUUUUACUAAUAUCAAGUAAAAUGGAUGAUGUGUCAGGUGCCAGGGUAUUCGGUCCACCUUGGAGUUUGAUUAUCAAUAACGACAGUUAUAGAAUCAGGAGUUGAGAAUGCGAAUGGUUGUGAUUGCUUUUUCAACAGCCAUCGUGCUGGCUUUGGCAUCUUCAGAAUGACGGAUUUACCUUUUCCUUCACCUAGGUUCACAGAAAUUUGCUGCAAAUUGUCUUAAAUCACGGAGGCAAGGCUCAUAGUCUCUAAAACCUUAUCUAAAUAGAUCAUAAGGCCAUUUGCUGACUUGGUUUUUCUCUUAGAUGCUUUGCCCGGAGCCGCAUUCGAAGGUGAAUCUUCAGUUCCCCUUUUCCUUUUCUUUUUCUCUACUUCAAGGGCAUCUUUAGAAGGCUUUGAAGACUUUAGUGAGUCUUCGGACUUGACCCACGCAAGGUUAGGAAUAGGAACUUAGAACAGAGCUCAAUGAGGCCCUGAUGCGAAAAUAAACUUAAUACACAAAUGAAACCCUCUUUUGACAAUUGUAGUAUAUGUAUAAGUAGGGAUUGUUCUGGACCGGGGAUUAGGAGGGAUUGCUAAUCUAAUUGAAACUGACUUAAAAACACAAAAAUAAACUUAAAAACACUUAACAAGACUCAAGACUCAAAACAAACUUAAAAGACUCAAAACAGCACAAAACAACCAAAUAGACUCAAAAUUGACUCUAGGGAGUUAUUUGGACGAAAAUUGGUUUUAACUUGAGUCAAGACACUUAAAAACACAAACCAAAACAGAUUUUAACUAAUCUAACACUUCAAAGUAAAGGGGGAUUGGGUUUUGGAUGAAAAUAAAGUAAAACAAACAAAUUAAAGACUAAAACAGAUUUUGGACAAAAUUGGGAAAUUGGAUGGGUGAUGGUCUAGCUAGAAGGUCCUUCUCCACACAUGACACACUUGCAUACAAAUCAAUCUCCAAUUGCUUUUCAAUAAACCAUGAACCUCAACGCCCCAGAUUAACCGUGAAUUGCACUAAUUAACCCUAAGAUUUUCCUAAUUUCAUUGAAUUGGAUGAUUGCAUACAACAAUCCAAAGCAUUCCCCACAAGUUCCCUACAUGAAUUUCAUAAUAGAGAUACAAGCAAAGAUCAUUAAGUUCUAUGAAAAUCAUAAGCAUUGACGAGGCACUUGUAACUAUGAAUUGCAUGAACCUUAUGCCAAGAAUUUACUUAACGCGAUUGUGACUAGCAACCUUCACUACUUGUGAAUAUAAGUUCAUAACGAUUAGGUGAAAAUCCCUUAUAUUCUAGCAUCAAAUUCAUGCAUGCAAACUAAGUGUCGACCCUCAAUCAACAUACAAGAAUAAGCUUUAAAUAAAUAGUUAAGCAAAUUGCAUUCACAAUAUAUCAAAUCGCAAUUGAAAGUAAUCAAUUCAUAUUGCAAGUAUAAUCAUGGUUUCGAACUCCCCUCUAACUAUAAAGAAAUUAGUUCCUCAUGUUCGCAAUUAAACAAAGAUAACUUGAAUUAAACAUUGAAAACAAAGAUAGAAUACACCUAGAAACACUCCAGAUGGCUCAUUCUUCUCCUUCCUUAGCUGCGGCACAAGAGGAUUGUGGUGGAUGGUGUGGUGGAUGGAUGUAGGUGAUUUAUGGUAGAGGGUGGUGGUUUAAUUGCUGCACAAAGGUUUGUAUUUAUAGGGCUAGGGAAAUCCACGAAUUUCUGAAGGAAAGGAAUGUGUAUUUGGCACAAUUCAUGAAGGAAAGGGACUAGGGUUUACCAAAAUCUGAAGGGAAAAGGAUUGCAUAAUCCUAAGGGAAAAGGAUUGUAGGUUCUAGGGCUUCUAGAAAGGGUCUAGGCGCUAGAUUUUUAGGUGCUUCUAGAAAAUAUGUUUUAGCACCAAUUUAGGGGUUCUAGAAGGAUAAAGGUUGUAGAAUCUGAAAUAUAUAGUUUAAAUGCAUACUUAUCCCUUAGAAAUAGCUGGAAUUAAGGCACAAAUUGAUUUGGAUAAGAUAGGACAAGAUAAGGUUAGGUUAGGCAAGGAUAAGAUAAGAUAAGGUUGGAUAAGGUUUUGGAUAAUGUUCCUUCUUUUGAGCUGAUUUCUUAUCUUCCUUGACAUGGAUUUAUUUCUUCACUCUUUUCAGCACAUUCCUAGCCUCUUGAACUUCAAAUUCAUCCAUCCAUCUUGCUCCAUUCAUAAGCUAUCCAUUUGGUGCCCAAAACUACCUCAAAAUGCUCCAAAUUGCACUUUCUUGCCAACUUUGUCAUAUGGACCUACAAACACACGAAAAUAGCUUAAAACACUAUAAUAAACACAAACAAACUAUGAAAAUGCAAGAAAACAUCUAACUAAGUCGCAUAAAUAUGCUUCUAUCAGGCCCUCCCUCUUAUAUGCAGUUUCUUUAUCUGGCACGCUAAGCCACUUCCAACUCCGGUAUGGAGAGAGGAUAAGUUUAAACGCUUUAUUUAUAAGCUCAAGGUGGCACUGGCCGAGAUUCUGAUCAAUGUCUUGUAUGGAAUGUCACUUCCAGGUUUAUAAGGGAUUCUCGGUUCAGAUAUGUCACCCUCCCAGUUUCCUUCUAUAAAGAGAAUAUCUCUAUACUAGUCCUUAUCGUGACAUGGAAGAUCGGUGAUAUAGGCAAGCCAUCGAAGUGUGAAUUGAGAUUGAAAAAUGUAACGGAUACUGGCGUUCUUCUGGAGUUGAUAAAGAACAAGAAAUUCAGAUAAACCCAGCUCAGCAUGGAACCAAUCAUUCAGACUGUUAAAACAUGAGAUAAUACAAACAGAGGUUGGGGUGAGAUUGCAGAGACUGACUGGAAAAUGAACAAGAAUCUUCUUCCAUAGUGGCGAUAAAGGGAACCUUAAUCCAGAAUCAAGAUAGCAAGGGUGGAUUUUGGUAUAGGGACGAUCGGGUAUUUGGACUUAGGAAGAUCUGCAGCCACAUUCUCAUUGUCUUCCCACCAAAAUGAAUUGACUGAAAUUAGUUUUUCUUCCAUUGAUAUUUUUAUUCUUGGCAUGUAGUAGGAUAUAAAACCAAGUUGACACAUAAAAGAAUCAAGACAUGCACAAUCUCUUAUUUAGAAGUCAAAUAACUUAAGGUGCAAGUAACACUUAACUUGCUCAAAAGACUAUCAUUGGUAGAAUCCAACAAUGGCACACUUAUAUGAUACUAUAUAUUAUUUAACUUGAAUUUUCUACUUAACCUUUCAUUGACAUUGGUAUAAAACCGUAAAAAUAGAACCUAUGGUUCAUUAGGGGCAUCAUCAGUUGCAUUGGAUUCCGUAUUAUUUCUUUGUAAGAAGAAAAAUAUGAUAUUUUUUUUAGUUUUGUUUUUUUUCCACACAUCUAAUAUCAUGUGGUGUGGAGAUGUCAUGUUCUUACAACAAACUUCUUUUGUCGCGUUACUUAAAUCUCUCAUAAAACAUAAUUUUGGCACAUUCAAUUCAUAAAACUCCUUUAUGCGAGUACUGUUAUAUAUGAAAUGUGAAUUGUUAUUACAAGACCAAGUCAAUGUUUGGUAGCUUAAUUGGAGUACUAUAGAUAUAGAAUAGUGCUAUUUAGACAUUCGUUUUACUUUUCACACACCCUUGUUAAUUUUUUACCAUUGAUCUUCUUCAAUUUAUUCAAUCUAACAGUUGAAAAUUGAAAGGGGUGUGUAAGAAGCAAAAUAGAGUGUGUGAAUAACGUUAUCCUAUAUAUAUCGCAUCAUGUUAAAAGAUUUCAAUUCUUAACGCAAAAUAAGAAAGCAAACCACAUUACCGAUUAUUUACUAGUACACAGGCCAUGUAUACAAGUAAACUUAACAUACGCAAAUCGCUGCAUUUCUUUUAAAAAAUAAUAGUGAAAAUGAUAGUAGCUAGGUUCUUUUUUUUAAUUAAAAAACAUUACAAUCUUCUAAGAGAACGCUACUAAUGAUGUAUGGGAGUUCCUCAAAUCAGAAAAACUCAUACUUAAAAGAAGUUGUUCCUCUUCCUUCUCCACUAAAGCAAAAUUCUAGGAUGUUUAAGAGUAUGGUCCGGGUGUUUUAAUAGUUAGAUUAUAAUUUUUGUAUUUUUAAUAAAGAUAUAUCAAUUAAAACACUCGAAAAAGACCAACACCAUAAAUAGUGGAUUCUUCGGAAUUAUCUUCAUGUUGCAUGGCAUGCCGUUAAUUCAAUGGUGAAUACCUUGGAAUUGUGCCAUAAUGAGCCAAUCAUAUUCAUAGGCGACAAGACCAACACCAUGGAAUCCGAUUUGAAUUAUCCGAAGGAUUCCUUAUAUAUUAGGUUUUUUGUUGUGGUCUAUUUUAUCUGACAGAUGGACUAGGGCCGGCGGCAGAGAGAGAGAGGAGAGAGAUGUGUGUUUGUAGAAUUGUAGGGGAAUGUGUGUGUUGUUAUCCCUCCUACAUUGUGCCUUUAUUUAUAGUAGUAAAGGGAGAGAAGAUAUUCCUUCUCCUCCAAGUAAUACAAGUUGUAAUAGGAAAGGAUAACUAGAAUCAAAUCUUAUCUAGGAUUUACACAAUCAUACUUAAACUAGGAAUGUUUACAACACUCCCCCUUGAGUGGGUAAAUACUCAAGGUAGAUUCAGCAUCAUGCAGAAGUUGAGGAAGUCGACUCGUUGGCAUUGAUUCCAAGGAAACAACGCUUAUUCUCAAUAAGGUAGGAACUUGCAUAAGUAGUAAGUCUCACUGAAAAACCCUAAGGCUAUGGCAAAACCCCAAGUAGGGACAAAAUCCAUAGUCUAAGGAAAAAUGCGUGAGAAAUGCAAAGUCAAAAGAAACGUCUACAGGACGUCAUCAGGGAUAUGACCAGCCCAAGGUGGGUGCCUCGUUAAAACCUAGUUAGGUAGCAAAAAACCCAGUGGGAAAAAUGCUCCUAAUCGUAGGGAAAAAGAGUACAUUAAGAUCAAGCAAGUAUCUAGAAGAUACUCCCCCUGAGUUUGACAUAAUUCCACAGAGAAAUAGCAAAGUUACAACUCAGAAAGUUUACGCAUACCAAUUCCAUGAACAAGCUUCUGAAACGUCGCCUUCGGUAGUGAUUUGGUGAAGAGGUCGGCCAGAUUGUCUUGUGAUCGGAUUUGCGUGACUUCAAUCUUCUGAUGCUCUUGUUGUUGAUGUGUAAAGAAGAACUUCGGCGCAAUAUGCUUGGUGUUGUCUCCUUUGAUGUAACCCUUCUUGAGCUGUUCGAUGCAAGCUGCGUUGUCUUCAAAAAUCGUCGUCGGGGCAUUAACGGCGGGAUGAAGAUCACAGGAGCUUCGAAUAUGGCCCCACUACUGCUCUCAACCAAAAGCAUUCCCGAGUUGCUUCAUGUAAGGCGAGAAUUUCAGCAUGGUUAGACGAAGUGGCAACUAAGGUCUGUUUAGUUGACCUCCAAGAUAUUGCGGUGCCUCCAACGGUAAAGACAUAACCCGUUUGAGAACGCGCCUUGUGCGGAUCAGAUAAGUAUCCAGCGUCGGCAUAACCAACAAGGCGAGAAUCAACCCGAUGCGCAUAGGGUGCGGCAUCACUCGAGGAUUCGUAGGGAUAGAAUAAGCCCAAAUCCGUAGUACCCUUAAGGUAACGGAAGAUGUCUUUCACGCUAGUCCAAUGUCUGCGUGUUGGUGCAUUGCUGUACCUUGCCAAAAGAUUAACAGCGAAGGAGAUGUCGGGUCUAGUGCAUUGAGCUAAGUACAAUAAAGCGCCUAUCGCACUUAGAUAAGGAACUUCAGGCUCCAAAAUCUCUUCAUCAUCCUUCUUCGGACGGAAGGGAUCUCGCUUUGCAUCUAGCGUACGAACGACCAUAGGAGUACUCAAAGGCUUCGCUUUAUCCUCAUUAAAACGGCGCAACACCUUCUGGGUGUAGUUCGAUUGAUGUACUAGGAUUCCAUCCGAACAAUGCUCUAUCUCGAGACCGAGACAGUAUCGAGUCUUACCUAGAUCUUUCAUCUCAAAUUCCGACUUCAGGUGCGAAGCAGUUCUCGCGAGCUCUUCAGGAGUUCCGAUGAGAUUCAUGUCAUCGACAUAUACUGCAACAAUCGCAAAUCCGGAAUGUGACUUCUUAAUGAACACACAAGGGCAUAGUUCGUUAUUCACAUAUCCCUGACUAGUCAAAUACUCACUUAAACGGUUAUACCACAUUCUUCCGGAUUGUUUCAAACCGUAUAGUGAACGCCUCAGCCGAAUUGAGAGCGUGUUCCGGGGUUUGGAAAUAUUUGAACCAGUCAAUGUAAGUCCUUUGGGAACUUUCAUAUAUAAAUUUCCGUAUCAAGAUCCCCAUAGAGAUACGCGGUUACUACGUCCAUCAGCUGCAUAUCUAGUUUUUCGGAAACUACCAAACUGAUAAGGUAUCGAAAAGUAAUCACAUCCAUAACGGGUGAGUAAGUUUCGUCAUAGUCAAUCCCGGGGCGUUGUGAGAAACCUUGUGCUACAAGACGAGCUUUUUGUAACGCACAAUUUCGUUCUUCUCAUUACGCUUCCGAACGAAAACCCACUUGUAGCCAACGGGCUUUACAUGUGGAGGAGUAGGAACUACAGGUCCAAACACCUUACAUUUCGCAAGUGAAUCAAGUUCGACUUGGAUUGCUUGUUUCCAGUUUUGACCAAUCAGCUCUACGUCGACAUUCAUCAACGGAACGCGGUUCAAUGUCAUCGCUCAACAUGAUCUCAGUAGCUACUGCAAAUGCUAAUGCAUCGUCGACAAUCAUCUCAUUUCUACGCCACACAUCAUCUAAGCUAGCAUAAUAGACCGAAAUCUCACGAUUCUCGGGAGGAGGAUUCGUCUCUUCAAGGACGCUUCCAUAAUCUAGAAUUUCCUCAUGAGUUGGGUAAAAUGAGUAAGCGAUAGUCGGAUUCACGGUAGGCUCUUCAGGUCCUUGUGCCGUGGUUUUCCUCUUCCGGGGGUGUGAAUCCUUUGAACCAAGGGGUCUGCCACGCUUUUGUGUAGGGGCAGAUGAUUGGCUAGCCGCUAAUGUACGUGGAUCACCAGAAUUGGCGUCCCGGGCUUCCAGGAGGGUAGUCCGUCGUACAUUUGGUACAUCCAUCUUUGCAGGCGUAUUCGUAGCUGGAAUAUGUGAUCUUGUCACGCGCGCUAGAUCGGUGAAAGCAUCUGGCAUGCUCUGAGCUAUGCACUGGAGAUCUAAUAUGCGCUGCACUUCAGCUUCAGACUGAGCGGUGCGGGGAUCUAAAUGAGACAAAGUGGGAGUCGUCCACGAUAAUUCGCAUCGUUCAUUAGGAACGUUGACGUUCUUAUCUCCCCCUAACGACGGGAAGACUGUCUCAUAGAAGUGACAAUCCGCGAAACGAGCGGUAAACAGAUCGCCUGUCAAAGGUUCUAAGUAACGAAUAAUCGAAGGAGAAUCAUAUCCGACAUAGAUUCCCAUCCUUCGCUGAGGCCCCAUUUUUGUACGUAAGGGCGGCAAGAUCGGCACAUAGACCGCACAACCAAAAAUGCGCAGAUGCGAUAUGUCGGGUUCGCAUCCGGUGACCAACUGAAGGGCACUAAAUGGUUGUGUCGCAACAGGCCUCAGGCGGACCAACUUUGCUGCGUGCAAUAUUGCAUGGCCCCAAGCAGCGAUCGAUCGGGAGCUUGGUACGUAUGACCAACGAUCGAGCAAUCAUUUGUAAACGCUUAAUGAAAGCCUCUGCCAGGCCGUUCUGGGUGUGAACAUGAGGUACAGGAUGUUCAACUUCAACCCCAACCGACAUGCAAUAGUCAUCAAAAGUUUUAGAUGUGAAUUCUCCAGCAUUAUCCAAUCGAAUAGAUUUGAUCGGAUAAUCAGGGUGGUGAGCCCUGAGCUUGAUAACCUGAGCCAACAGUUUGGAGAAUGCAGCGUUCCUUGUGGACAACAAGCACACGUGUGACCAACGUGUAGAAGCGUCAACCAAAACCAUAAAAUAUCUAAAUGGUCCGCAGGGAGGUUGAAUCGGUCCACAAAUGUCCCCCUGAAUCCGUUGUAGAAAAAUGGGAGGAUUCGAACGAAUCUUGUCAUAAGAAGGCUUAGUAAUAAGCUUUCCCAUAGAAACAUGUUUGGCAUGCAAUUUCAUGGAUCGAACCUAAGCUUCGGGUUAGUGGAUGCCCGUGUGAAGUUUUGAGGAUACGGCGCAUCGCUAUUCGUCCAGGAUGUCCCAAACGAUCAUGCCAAAGUGUAAUUUCGUGCGCGGUCCCUGUGGUAGGGCCGGCCACAUAGUGGCAUUCUAUGGGGCGUAUGGUCGUAGUAUACAGACCACUCGGGUUACGCUCCAUCUUCUCUAGAAUACGCUUCUGGCCAUAUUCGUAGGAAGUUACGCACAAAAAUUCAACUCCGUUUUCUACGUGGGUUUCAGCGUGGUAAUUGUGAUCUCUAAUGUCCUUGAAACUUAGUAACGUUCUUCCGGAACGUGGAGAAUAGAGUGCCUCAGCAAUGGUCAAGAUUGUACCAUUGGACAACAUUAUACGUGCAUUACCGUAUCCUUCGAUCAGGUUGGAUGGGCCUGAGAGGGUUGUCAGAGGUGCAUUCUUAGGUACGAAGUUAGUGAAAUAGAUGCGUUCACGCAAAACAGUAUGCGUGGUUGCACUAUCUGCCAGACAACUAACUUUCCCACUAGUCAUACCUAGAAUGAAAAAUUAAUUUGAAUCGGUCACAUGCAUAAAAAGUUUAUAAAAACAAGUAUCAAUUCAAAAUAAUUUCAUUUAUUCAAGGAAAAAACUUAAUAUCCAAAAUAAAUCGCCAACUAAUAAUCCAAAACAUAAAGGAAAAUUGUUCAAAAUCAACCAAAAAAACAAGGUGGGUUCGGCCACAAGGUGGAAUUCGGCCCCAAUUGUCUUAUUUUAACUGAAAAAUAAGUCUAUGUCUAAGAUUCUAAUCUUCCAUAGGAGUGGUAUCCUCCUGAAAAUCAGAAACCUCCAUCUUUGUAGUCUCCGGUUCGUCCACUUGCAGGAAGUUUGAUUCAAACUUCGUACGACGAGAAUGAUAUGCAUCCACAACCUUCUUGGGAGCACGGCAAAUACGGGACCAAUGGUCCUUGGAACCACAACGAUAGCACAUAUCGUCAUUCAUUAUGGCAGGUGCUUUGCCCUUAUUCUUGAAGUUCGGGGCCUUGGGAGCGAGGUUUGGGCGCUUCUGGGCUUUGUUUCCUGCCUUGGAUGGGCCUUGGCUCUGUUGACCUUGGUGGGAUGGCUUCUGGCCGCCCUUACCACGCCUCUUUUGGCGUUUUGGGUGCUGAUUAGUGCUAUAAUGUGCUUCAGGAAGCACAGCAGUAGCCCCAGUAGGUCGAGCUUGAUGAUUCUUCAUCAACAGCUGGUUCUGCUUUUCAGCAAGAAGUAAAACAGAGAUCAAAUCCGAGAACUUAGUGAACUUCUGAGCUCUAUAUUGUUGCUGCAAGACAAUAUUAGAAGCAGAGAAGGUUGAGUAGGUCUUCUCCAAGAGAUCCUCUUCAGUCAAAGUUUCAUUGCAAAACUUGAGAAGUGAUCGGAUUAGACAAACUUCAUAAUUAUAUUCAUUCACAGACUUAAAGUCUUGGAAGCGCAAGUGCUGCCAGUCGUGUCUUGCUUCAGGCAAGAAUAUGUCCUUUUGGUGAUCGAAACGAUCAGCCAAAGCGACCCAUAAUGCACGUGGAUCCUCCUCAGCAAGGUACUCAGUUUGUAGAGCGUCAUGGAUAUGUCUUCGGAUGAAGAUCAUAGCAGUGGCUUUUUCAGCCUCGCCAACAGGUUUAUCUGUUGCUUCUUCAAUAGCAGGACGCAAGUUCUUUGCAGUGAGGUGGAGCUUCACAUCUUGAACCACUUGAGGUAGUUCCUUCCAAAAACCUCCAAAGCGGUGAAGUCGAGUUUGUUCAAGUUCGACAUGUUCCUAUCACAAAAUAGAUGGACAAGAUAUGGUUAGUGUAAUGGAGAAAAAUCAAUCCAUUCACAUAGGAGUAGAAACAUACAGGUUCUAAUAGACAUGUAUUGGUUUAAUUUUGCAUGAAAAACUUUCGGGUUUUCAUGGGUGAGAUAUAUUUAAGUGAAAACUUCGGGUUUUCAAACAAGGCAUGUGUAUAAGAAACUUCGGGUUUCAAAGUAAUUAUGAACUUCAGGUUCAUAUAUUCCUGCAGGCAAACACAAAUAUAUAUGCAAAAAAAUAUGCAAAGAAUAUAUGCAGAGAUAUUGUAUAAUGAUAAGUGAAUUAAUUUAUUUUUGGUCUUCGGGGCCAAAUUAAAAUGUGGGUGAAAAUAUAAAAACCCAUAUUAUUUAAAAAAAAAUUAAAUAAUAAAAUCUCGGGGCCUAAAAAUAUAGGCUAAGAACCCUCGGGUGGGAUUACAGGCCCACGGGGUGAGAAGAGGGGAAUGGGCUGCUGUGUGCAGCCCUAAAAAUUAUUAUUAUUUUUUUUAUUAUUAUUUGGGCCGUUCCAGGCGAGCCCAUAAACUUUUUUUUUUUUUUUUAUGCGGGCCGCUCCAGGCGAGCCCAGAAACCUUUUUUUUUUUUUUUUUUUUUUUUUUUAAUUAGAUGCAUAUAUAAUUCAAUGAAUCACAUAUUUACUUUGAUGCAUAUGCAAAUAAUAGUUUCAAUGCAUGUACAUAUGUAAGAUUCAAUUCAUGGCAAAUAUCAAAUUCACAUAAUUGUAGCAAUUUUGAUGAUGAAGCAUACACAAUUUAUGUAGAAUCUAAAAUACGUUAAACGUAAAGUUGGGUCAUGCAUCAUGGUGAAUGUUCAUGCUAUCAGGGCUUGCAAAAUAUCGAGUUAAAAGCCGUUGUUUGGAAAGAACCUGAUUGCGUGAUGAUAUGGAUGAACUGGUUUGAUGCAGAAAAAAUCUCCAACGUCAGAUUCCUAAGCGCAGCGGUAGAAGCGUGCUGAUAACGUGUUGUGGUCUAUUUUAUCUGACAGAUGGACUAGGGCCGGCGGCAGAGAGAGAGAGGAGAGAGAUGUGUGUUUGUAGAAUUGUAGGGAAUGUGUGUGUUGUUAUCCCUCCUACAUUGUGCCUUUAUUUAUAGUAGUAAAGGGAGAGAAGAUAUUCCUUCUCCUCCAAGUAAUACAAGUUGUAAUAGGAAAGGAUAACUAGAAUCAAAUCUUAUCUAGGAUUUACACAAUCAUACUUAAACUAGGAAUGUUUACAACAUUUUUAUCCUUCUUUUUGCUACUUUAUUGAUUAAAAUCCUAUUCCUUUUCAAUUUUUGAUCAAGAUCCUUAAGUAUUAAUAACAUCAUUAAUUAUUUCAAUAAUAAAAUAUUUUUUAUUUCUAAAUAUAUUCAUUUAAUGUUAAAAAUGUUACAAUUAGUAUAUUUAUAUUUAUGACUUGUUGCAGUCAUAUUUAGAAUAGGAAUGUAAUUGUGUAAAUCCUAGGGAAUAUGAGAAUGUAUCUUAUAUUCCUAUUAGGAUUAGAUUACCUAUUAAAUGUUGUAAUCCUAAAGGGAAAGGUUUUACCCUUGCUACUACUAUAAAUAAAGGCACAAUGGGGUGAAUCAAACACACCUCACAAUUAAAUCAAUCUCUAUUCUCUCUAAUAGUGGCCGGCCCCCUCUCUCUCUCUAAACCCUAGAUCGUUCAAUCAAAUAGGCCUACAACAUGAUUAAAUUUUUUAUCAUAUAUUUUUAGUUUUAGUUUAUACCCAUUUUUAAUUUGUAAUUCUUUUUUAACUUGUACCAAUUUUCUUUUCAGUUUUUUUCCACACAUCCAAUAUCAUGUGGUGUGACAACUCGUCCCAAAUUUUAUUAUUUUAUAAAUUUUAAAAUGUGGAUUUACGAGAAUACCCUAGUGGCGAGGGUAUUGAUUUUCAUUGACCGCUAGUUCAUGAUGCAUAUGAACUAUUACCUUACUGUAUUCCAAAUGUAUGUUGGUAAGAAUUGUUAUUUAUUAUUUUUUUCAUUUCAUAUUAUUACUAUUACUAUUAUUAUUAUUAUUAUUAUAAGGCUGAUUGUUAGAAAAAUAGGAGGAGGGAAAAAGAAAUAAGGGAAGAAAAUGAAGGGGGGAGGUUGCCUGAUGGCAGCAGAUGAGAGGGGGAGGUGAGGAAAUGAGAGAAAGAAGGUGGGCACUGCCUAAUCGGAAAGGAGAGAGGGAGGUGAGGAAACCAAUCAAGAAGGGAGACUGGGGAGGGAAAGGACGGAAGUGAGAAGCACCAAACCAUGCCCUUCAUCCCUGUGACCUGUUCGACCUGAGAAGAACUCGGACAUCCCCAAGUCAUUUUUGACGAUAUUCGCCAUUAUUCCUAGCAAAUCAUAACUCUUCCACACCUAAAAUCAUCAUCUAACCCUUCCCUCUUCCAUUUCCAACCAAAUUUAGAAGAAAUUUGGUUGAAAUUUUGUGAAGAACCGUUUGUGGGGUGUGACAGGUUCGUGUGAGAAAUCCUCAAAUCUUGAAGCUAGUUCUUGCAAUUAACACCACCAAAACACUUCUCUAGGGGCCAGGAACAAUUCCCGAACAUUGGUUGAGGCGGUAGAACACCAGAGGUGGAGGAUCGAGGCCAUCCAAAUUCUAGGGUUCCGACAGGUUUUAUCGAAAUUGAAGCUUUUCUCGGCUAAAUUGGCAUUGGUCACAGGUAUGAAAGUUGUUCUAGUUAUUGAGAUCUUCAAAUCUGAAAAUUUUGGUAAUUUUUAGAGAUAGUUGAUUUUUCCGACGAGUCGGGGUGGCCAACCGCCACCCACAGCGGCGCGUGGCCAGAGGGCCGCCAAUGCUAUUUUUAGGCUAUAUUUGAUGCCUUGAAUUCAGUUUGGAGAAUUGAAUGACGUAGAUUGAUUGUUAGAACCAAAAUUCUCUAAGAUACGUUAAUAUACCAUUAUAUGAAUCGACGAUCCGACAGUUGGAUCGUCAUCAAACUUUAAUAGGUUAUUAUUCAUAAUAUUUGAGGAAUAUAGGAACUUAUGGAUUGGGAAUCCGACGUACAGAUCUUCUCGAAUUGGAUUUGUAAGUUCGUAAAAUAAAAUGUUAACGGCCACUUGGUUUUGGCAAUUGGUGGAGAUCCAACCGUUGGAUCGUUCCGAAACUUUAGUAUGUUAUUUUAGAAGCAUAAUGUGGAUCCUUGAAAGUUACAGAUCAGAGAUCUGAUUUGUAUAUCUUCUGGACUGAAUUACGUAGACUCAUGUGCGAUGUAAGUUAUGUAUUGUAUCAACGAGAAUUAUGAGAUAUGGUUUGAUAAUUGGUCACAAGCGCCGAUCGUUUAGGAUGCCUUGAUGUUUGUGCUAGGAAGUUGUAGCGCGGACUCCAGGUGAGUGGAUCUUUCCUUGCUUAUCAUAUUUUUCAUGAUUGAUAAUCCUAUAAAUGCUUUUAAAUAAAACUAAGAAAUUUAUGCCAUGACAUAUAUAUAUUUAUAUGUUAUAAAAUACUAUAAGAUGGUUGAGUUUAGAUUUCAUCGUGAUAUAUCCAUAUGCGUAUUACUAUAAAUGAUUAUUGUGAACUAUGAAUGGCUUGAUCCUGCUUAGGGUACGUAGACAGUCUAAUGAAACGUUAGAUGCAGCCAUAUAAGAAAUGAGAUUAUAUAAUCGAGACAAUAGCCUUAUUUAAGGAAUUGAGCAAGGUGAGGGAUAUUGGUGAAAAAUGUGCGUUAUAACUUUAUGUUUUGGUGAUUAAUAGCUAGUACACCAUAUUAUAUAAUUGGAAAUACUAUGAAAUGUUUUUAUUUUAGAUUUCAUCAUGGCAUAUCCUUACUUAUAUUCCUUGCACAUAAUUAUUGUGAACGCUCUGAAGUGCAAAGGUGAACGCAGGACACACAGGUAAGUUCAGGUAAGUUCAAGUAAGUUUAGGUAAGUUUAAGUAAGUAUACAGUAUUAGUUGAAUUGAUGGGGUUAUGAUAUGACUACAUUUAUGUUUAAAACAACUUCGACAUUGUCGUACAGGUUGCAAUAGUAGGCAACUCUGACAUUGUCGUACGAGUUUCUUAUGAGUCGUACAUGUUGUAUUAGAUGCAUUCAAAGCUCAUAAACCUGCACCCCGGUGUUAGUGCUCCCGCCUGUGGCCAGGGCACAGUUCUUCACAUAAUGUUCACCUCCCGCACCAUACACUCACCUUGAAUUCAAGAUAGGUGCAUAGGCCUGUCAUACAUACCACUAUAGGUGGUUCCGACUCGUAAAUGGUUCUUCACGUGAUCGUAGCACUUGAGCGUACUCAUUUACACCAGUCAUGUCAUACCGACCACUUCUGUGAUUCCGACUCGUGUGCAGACGUAGUGCCGUAUAGGCCACUAGAGGUGACUCCGGUUUAUGUGCUAGCAAUGAUUAAUGAAAUAUUAGUACAGUUGUACAGGUCACUAGAGGUGACUUCGACUUAUAUGCUAGCCACGAUUGAUGAGAUAUGUGAUGAGUAUGUGAUGAUCUAGCAUAUGUAAUGAACAAGAGACGAGCUAGCAUAUGUGAUGAGUUAGCAUAUGUAACGAAUAAAAGAUGAGCUAGCAUAUAUGAUGAGUAUGUGAUGAGCUAGCAUAUGUAAUGAAUAAGAGACAAGCUAACAUAUGUGAUGAGUAUGUGAUGAGCUAGCAUAUGUAAUGAAUACGUGACGAGCUAGCAUAUGUAAUGAAUAUGUUAUGAAUUAGCAUAUAUGACGAGAUAUGGGUAAGUUGUACAGGUCACCCUAGGUGACUCCGACUUGCGUACUAGUAUAAGUUAUUAAUUGCAUGAUUAUUUGAUAUUAUUGAUGAAAUGUUGUGUUGUGGUAUAUUAUGAAUUUUUUGGUAACUAUACAGGUGUUAUAGUGAGGGAUUAUAAUGUUUUGCAUGGUUUCUAUUAAAAUUAUACUUACAGGGCCACUCACCCUUAUCUUGUCUUCACCCUCCAAGUUUUAUUAGCUAAGCUUUCUUAUCGUCAAAGAUUCGUGGAGAUUCUUAGUAUUGAAGAUUAUUUCGAGGGUACGAUUCUUAAUUCACUCUUUUGUACUUGCUUAUGCUCUAACGUCAUGUGUCAAGGGGGUUCAUUCUCGCUCACUGGUGCAAUCUGGUAUUUAGGCACUUUUUCACAUCAGCACACUUUAUGGCUACGUCACCUUUCAGGUGUCGGCCAACACAGCUCGAUUCGGAGUCCUAGUGGACAUUCCGGGUCGGGGUGUGUUAUGUGGUGUGGAGAUGUCAUGUUCUUACAACAAACUUCUUUCGUCUCGUUACUUAAAUCUCUCAUAAAACAUAAUUUUGGCACAUUCAAUUCAUAAAACUCCUUUAUGCGCGUACUGUUAUAUAUGAAAUGUGAAUUGUUAUUACAAGACCAAGUCAAUGUUUGGUAGCUUAAUUGGAGUACUAUAGACAUAGAAUAGUGCUAUUCAGACAUUCAUUUUUAUCUUUCACACAUCAUUGCUAAUUUUUUACCAUUGAUCUUCUUUAAUUUAUUCAAUCCGAUAGCUGAAAAUUGAAAAGAGUGUGUAAGAAGUAAAAAAAAAAAAAGUGUGAAUAACGUUAUCCUAUAUACAUCGCAUCAUGUUAAAAGAUUUCAAUUCUUAACGGAAAAUAAGAAAGCAAACCACAUUACUGAUUAUUUACUGAUACAUAGACCACGUAUACUAUUAAACUUAACAUACACAAAUUACUGCAUUUCUUUAAUUUAUUUUUAGUGAAAAUGAUAGUAGCUAGGUUUUUUUUUUUUUUAAAUUAAAUAACAUUACAAUCUUCUAAGAGAACGCUACUAAUGAUGUAUGGGAGUUCUUCAAACCAGAAAAACUAUUACUUAAAAGAAGUUGUUCCUAUUCCUUAUCCAUUAAAGAAAAUUUUUAGGAAGUUUAAGAGUAUGGUCCGGGUGUUUUAAUAGUUAAAUAUAAUUUUUGUAUUUUUAAAUAAAAUAACGAUUAAAACACUUGAAAAUUUGACCAACACCAUAAAUAGUGGAUUCUUCGGAAUUAUCUUCAUGCUACAUGGCAUGCCGUUAAUUCAAUAGUGAAUACUUCGGAAUUGUGCCAUAAUUAGGACUCAUUUGGAUGUACUUUUAAAAUGGCUGAAAGUGCUAUUAAAGAAAAUGUUUUUGGGUACUAAAAGCACUUUAAGUGCUUUCUGUAAAAAGCACCAAUUAUGUGCUUCUUACGGGUGAAAAAGGGGUAAUGGUAAAAAAAAAGAUAAACGGGUUAAAAAGGGUAAAUGGGUAAACGGAUAUUAAAUGGUUACGAUUAAAUGGGUAUGCGGUUAUGGGUAUGGUUAACCGUUUAUAAACGGUUAUGGGUAUGGGUAUAACCGUUUAGGCAAUUACCCAACGGGUAAACGAUUAUGCAGGUAUGAGCAUAAACGGUUAUGGGUAAAUAACCGCGGUUACCCGUCCGCCAUAACUGUUGCCCAUCCCUACAUAUAAGUAUAACAAUAGAAUGUAUGACAAACUAUAUGAAAAUGAAAAGACAUGAAGGAAAUAAAAUUGAACACUUAUCAAAUAUUCACCAACAAAGAGAUAACUUGAAAGGAAAUGAGAAAUACAAUCAAUCAGGCAAAGUUAAAACCUAUUUGAGCAAGUUCUAUUGUUGUCGGGUAAGUUCUUGCUAGUAACUUAAGUGCUUUCAAAUGAAGUUUUAAUACAGGAAAUUGAUACUACAAGCAAUGUAGCAGAGCUUUUAAACUAAACGCAAUUGCAAAUGUGUCGAAUUAUAAAAGCAAUUUGGUAAAGGUAGGUUGCAGAGCUUUAAAGUUUUUUUUUGUGUUGUGAGUUGAGUAUCCUUGUCUUCUACCUUUCUUUUACCUUAUAUAGAACAAGUUUUCCCUUUAGUUCAAGCAUCUUCCCUUCGAAGUAAUUCUCUCUCAUCCUAGUUGUUAAUGUGACUACUGAUAGGAGAUAAGAAUUUACACUGCAACUUGAGCUUUCAUCCCAUCAAAAUUAUCGAAAUGCCAUUAGAAAGUUGCUUUUCCUCUAUAAAAACCGACUGAGGUAACAACCCAAUGUGAAAGAGGGUUUUGCCGCCCACAAUUUUACAUACAAAGUGCUUUCAAAUUCUUAAGCUUGCACAUUGUUCACUUCUAUCAAAAUAAAGACUCAUAUGUGCGUUGUGUUAAAUAACAAGAUUAGGCCUCAAACAUGGCCAAUGUUAAAUUUUAAGUCCAAACAACUUUUAUUCUGCUUCAAGUGCUUGCACAUAUACAACAAAAUGCUUACCUCAUGCAGCUUGAUUACUUAUUUUCUUUUCUUUUUUUGAAACUUAAUUACGUGUUAUCCCUACACUAAUUAUUUAAAGUUCUGAAACAUGUUAUAGAAUUAUUUAAUGUUAUGAAACAUGUUAUAUUUUUAUUACCAUAAAAGCUUACGUAGUUUCAGCACGUCAUGAUAAAUGCAAUAAAAAUAUUAUAACUAACACGUGGCAUGAUUAAAAAGGAUUUUUAGACUUUUAUACACAUAGUAGCAUGUAUACAAAGGCUAGUUUAAAUUAAGGAAAAGACCAAAAAUAGUGAAAUAUCUAAGGAUUCUAACGAUUAAAACACUCGUAUGAUACAAAACAUUGAAGCCACACCUUAAAAUAAUGUCCGAAUAAUUAUCCAUCCCUCUCAUGUCUUUUCUUUUUUUCAAUUUGGUUUAUUUUAUUCUUUUAAUAUUAAAAAAAUGUAUAAACUUAAAACUUUUUCUAAGAUCCUCUAACUAACACAUGUUUGGCAUCAUUUAGAGUCCACAAAUUUUAUUUCUUUUUUUGUCAUUUCAUUGUUAGAGUAUACACCCCACAUUAAUCAAGCUACCACGGUAUGGUUUAUUUAAUUAAUUUUUUUUAUAGAAGUUAACAUGGCAAUUAAACAUAAAGGUUUAUCAUUUACUUUUUGGAGAGUUUAAAAAUUGAUCAUUGUUGUAAGUAUUUUAUGUGGUUUUUUUUUGUUGGUUUAAAAAUAGAUUUUGUUAGAUUAGUCACCGAUCGGUUUCAAACUCACGCGUCAUGCAAAGGUUCAACAUUUUUCCAUUACUUAGGUAAAGGAACGCUUAUUUAUGUGGUUGUUGGAUUAAUAUGGUAUCUUCUGUGGUAAUAUCUUCUCGUUUUAGUUCUUUACUGAUGUAAAUUGGUAAGCUUCCAUUCACCAAAUGUUGGCCCCAUCUAAAGAAGUUUUGGGAAAUGAAAAACAUUGAUUUCAUCCAUUUUCUCUAUUGUUUUAUCUCUUAAUAUUUUAUUUCCAACAUGUUACUAGUAGGCGCUAACUGUAAUUUAUUUUUUUUAUGUUUAUUUUAUUUGAGCUAGAGAUUUUAUAUGUUCAACCAUUAGAUUUGAUGAUGCUCUCAAAUUUUCUUAUACGAAUAUAAUACAUAACAUUGAAUUGAUUUCUUUUUCAUAAGUGAUAAGGUCAGAAACAUAAAAUAGCAUUUAUUAUAAGACAACUAUCUACAAAAACAAAUACCCACUACUAGAAAGCCAUUGUCAACUGUAACAUUCGUAGUUGAUGUGCAGGUUAGCUCAAAUGGGCACGCAUCAUUUGGAGCUGACAUCGAGUAAUUCUUGUUGUGGAUGUCAAUCGAACAAUCAUCGUGUGAAAUGUUCGCAGGUGAGUGCCUUGCAGACGUGUUGGAAGGAGUGAUCGUGAGUGGUGGUGGCGAGUUCGAUGAUGCCUCCACUACGGGAUAAGAACCGGCAUAACAUAGUGGUAAUACUAUUGUGGCAUGUCGUGCAUCUCCUGGAUAGGUGGUGUGCGUAUCCAAAAUGUGUUCCAAUUGUUACUUUCAACCCACCACCAAAAUAGAAACGGGUUGGGAUUUUGCUGUAAAGGCACGAUUGGUUGUCGGGCCACCAUCACUACCUUCAGAGCGCAAUCAAACAUGAACUAUAUGGUCAAAUCAAAUGAAAAAAAAAGAAGAGAGAAAUUAGAACGAAAUCGAAACAAAAGCUCAGCCUUCUUGCAGUCUUGCGCUUUCAUACAGAGAAGGACGGGCAAUUUGGUCACUUACAUACAAAUGGAGAAAACGCCCACGAUGCCAUCUUAGGCGUGUAUUAAAAUUUUUCCAGCGUGAGAAGUUUUUUAUAGAGUAAAAAGAUUUUAAGCAAAAUUUUGAGUGCCAUAUUAAAAGAGUAAACUUGGUGAAACACUUUCAACCUUUAUAGAUCUUCCACUCAUCUGUGUUAUCAAGUUGUGCAAAGCUUCAGGCCCUGAUGUGAUUACGUCCGCAACCAGAGAGGUUUGCGAUCAAGAGGAGACAAAAAGAAACAAGUACCAGAACAAGAGGGCAAGGCAAUCUUUAAGGCUUAGUUUCAGCUAUGUCCCUUAAAACUCGACUUUGACCUUAAUUUCCUCCCGAAGCUCUAAUUUCGCCAAUUAACCCCGUGAAACUCUAUUUUUACUUCAUUUUCCUAGUUUUCAUCUAUUCCAUUAAAUAGCCGUUAAAUUGUUGCAAAAAUUGAGUUUCAGGAAGUUAAGUAGCAAAAUUUGAGUUUCAUAGAGCAACGUGAGAUCAAAGUCGAGUUUCAAAAUGCAUGACUAAAAAUAAACCUUUGUUUAGACUUCGUGAAUUCUUUCCCCGGCUUUAUGUCCAUGAAUUUUCCUUUUUGUUCCUGCAUUAUACCACGUAAAAUAAAUCUUGUUAUUCUUGUACUGCAUUUUAGUUAAUUAUUUACUGCUGUGUUGCAGGAUUGAAAUUGUGCUUCAUUUGCGUUGGGUCUGGAUAAAUUUGAUCGUGGCUGGUUAUCUUUCGUAUUUGAUUUCCUCUAUCCAUUCGCAUUUUCACACUAGCUCAAGACUCACAACCAAUGGUAGCUUACUGAAGGUUGUCUUAAACUACGGGUUAGAAAACAUGAAUAAUGAAACAUAGGUUGAAACAAGAAACUUAGUAUUAUAGUCUAGUGGUAUUUCUCUUAAUAUGUAAGUGAGAGAUCUUAGGUUCGAUUCUCACCAAAAGGCAAAGGCGAAUUUGAACCAAAUUAUGCUAGCUCAUUGUGAGACUAAACUCACUCUCUCCCUUUUAGUGUAGAUAAUAUUGUUUGUUAGAAAACAUAAAAUAAAAAAAUGAAGUAAAAUAUCUAUAGAAAAAUAAAGAAAUUUGGAAAUUUGCAUACAUGAAGUUAAUGUAUUUCUAUAUAUGCCUGUGUACCAGUCAAUAAUUCAGUGAUGUGGUUUGCUUUCUUUUGCGUUAAGAGUUGAAAUCUUUGAAAACGACGAAAUAGUCCCUGAACUCAUCAGUAUUCACAUGGCCAUGCUACCAAACAUUGACUUGGACUUGUCAUAACAAAUCACAUUUCAUAUUUAAGCACGCGCAUAAACAAGUUUCAUGUUGAAUGUGCCUUAAAAUAUGUUUUAUGAGAUAUUUAAGUAAUGCGAUUGAAAGAAGUUUGUUGUAAGAAUAUGACACGAAAUAUCCAUAUUUGGAUUGUAGACAUGUAAAUUUCGUUGCAUGCAAAUGAUGUAUCACAAAACUUCACAUGACAUAUGACCCAUCACAAAUGGACAAGUCAUCGAUGACAUGUAGCACAAAUCAAGCAAUGAAAGUGUAAGAUAUUCCCAAAAUUCGGCAAAAGGGAGAAAAUCCACCUUAAAAUCGGCAAGGGACCCAAAAUCUCUCAAAACCGGAAAGAAAGCCAAAGCAUCGUCACAAAAUAAGUAAGAAUUGAAGAUUGUUCACAAAUAGGCAACAAGGCCUAUAAAUUUCGGCUAAUAUGAGGAAGGUGGCUAAAAUUAAGACAUAAAAUAUGCCUAAAUUCUCUCAGGGACAAAUCAAGCACAAAUCAAGGCCAAAUCCAUCCAAAGGCAUGGCUUUGGAAGUCUAUAAAUAUAAGGAUCCAAGACACACAAAGGGGUCGAAAAAUUACACAUUGAAAAGAACCUCUUCACAAAUCUUUAAAGACUAAUACACUGUCAAAUCUUUCUUCGAAGAACCCGCAACCAAAGCCGAAGCACUCCCUUGAAGAAUCAACAAGAACUCGUACCGAUUCCUUCAAGACUUUGUUGCAAGCUCAAAACUUGUAAUGACGUUCAAUUCAAAAUCAAGUUGCCAAGACUCUUGAAUCAAUGAAAUCUUGGAUCAACAUCACCCUUUGCCGCAACUUUGAGGUGAAGACCAUCCAAGCAUUGUUUCAAGCUCAAAACUUGAAGCAAUCAUUCAAUCGUUCGUCCAAGAUCAAGUCAUUGCGACCCUUGAAUCAACAACCUACUCAUCUACAUCAAAUUUGAAAACUGAAUCAGAGGAAAAUUAUAAACAUAGACUGUAACCUACAAAUUCAAAUCAAAACAAAUCUACUUUGUACACGUGUUCUAGUUUUAUUCGUUACAAAAUUUUCGUGUUUACAUGGAUAUGUGGAAAAACAAAACUAAAAACAUUUAAAUCAUAUUUUUCUUCUUAUAAAUAAACAGCACUGAAUCCAAUGCAACUGAUGAUGCCCCAAAAUGAACUAGGUUCUCUUAGAGUUUUAUACCAGUGUCAAUGAGAGGCUAAAUAGAAAAUUCAAGUUAAAAGAUAGUAAUAUAAGCGUGUCAUUGUUGGAUUCUACCAAUGACAGUCUAAGAGAUUGUGCAUGUCUUGAUUCUUUUCUGCGUCUAGUAACUUAAGGACUUGGUUGCUCAUGAACAAAAUCUGAAGUACAAAGAUAAGGACAAGAGUCUUACCUGCAGAACCUAAUGAAGAUGAUGAAGCCAUGACAGACUAUCAAACAGUUAACCUUCUCCUCUUUGCAAUAAAACAAGCGCUCUUAAACAAUAGGUCUUUGAUGCAGAAUGAGCAGGGGAAUUGCAAGAGCAGUGAUCAAUGUUUAUAUACUAAAUGUUCUCCUAACUGAUCUCCUAUUAGAAUCAGCUUAGGACAAACAAUUCAAUCUUAUUAAACAGGUGAACAAAUAUAGUCCUAAUACAUUCUCAAGUCCUCAAAACUUGGACUGCUAUUAGAAUUAGUAAUCCUCAAAACUUGGACUGCUAUUACAACAGAGCUGGACAAGGCUUGGAAAUGGUAUUGGUACAUACCCUCAAUCAUGUUGCUCACCCGUAGUAUAACACAUGAUAUAUCAAGUGACAAGUAUUUUGGUUACAUUUAAAAAUUUCUCAAGGGGUGUUAACAGUAUAGCGACACAUGGUUUCCUAAAUCAGUUUCAGUUAAGAGUUUGUUAGAGAAUUGUUUAAGUGUUAUUGGGAUAUAUACUCAACACUCCUCAUAAUUAUUUAUGUUUUCCAAGAUACAUAAAAAGACAGAAGCGCUCUUUCUCUUCAGUUCAUCUUCCUCAUUUUACUGAAAGAUUGCUGAUCUUCUACAAUACUUAAAGAGUAAUAAGCACAUUUAUUUCUUAUCAUGAGGUACAAAACAUGAAAUGCAGAAUGAUAAAAAGAACAAUAUAGCCUAAACCACGUUGUCAUUUCUUGCAUAUUCAUCUUGUUCAACGCUUCUUUGUCAACGAGAUAACCAGGUUAAUGUACUGGCAAUUCUCCAUUUCCAUGUGAUCAAGGACAUCUUCUUCGAACCGGUGAAACAAAUCGUCCAUAGCUGCUUCUCCGAAUUGGGUUGCCAGAAUAGGCUCUCCCACAGCCCUUAUAUCAGUGGCAAGUACGGCAGCCCUUGCCUUUCUAUCAAGGCCACUGUCAGCAUGCUUUAUAUAAGAGUCCCAAUCAUUUUUGAAAACUUCAAGGCUUUGCAAAGUAAAAGAUCCUUCAGCCUCGAUUACAUCUUCAACCUCCUUUGUUGUUGGUGCAUAAUAUGGCAGAUUGAAGAUCUCCAGUUUUUCCUUCUCAAUCAAACCCUGAAAUUCAUCUAACUGAAUAAUGUUAGUAAUUAGCAAAGUAGUUAUUGAAGGAAACAAGUACAUUUUAAGACUUUGUUGGGAAAUUCGGGUUCCUUGUCGUUAAGAUUAGGGUUCGCUUUAGGCUGCUUUUUAGUUUUCGUUAUAUAUAGGAUGUGUUUUGUAAUUUUUUAGAAUAACAAGUCAGUUAAAAUGUAUCCCUUAGUUUGUAACUCUAUCAGCAAUUUUGUUUAUUUGUUUUUUCAUUGGUUUCAUCUCGAUUAGAGAAGUAGUUAAAAAGUGGCCAUAAACUUGCGAUAGUGGUCGUAAACUAAUGUGGUUCAUAUUUAGUUGCUUUUAUUUUGUUCCUAUUUGGUACAUAGAUAUUUAGGUUUAAUUAUCUAGGCCACACAUUACCUCUAAAACCAUAUCAUUGAGUUGACUCCGACAACUUCCCAAAUGCAAAGUGGGUCAUGGCUCUUUAUGCUGCCCAUUGUGGUUAGGACCAUACUUCCUCCGGGGACCAGCUCUUCUGCUCGUGACCUCAAAAACACCGUAAAGUCCUUUUUGAAUUGCUCCAAAUACAACUUAUACACAGCAUAUGGGCUUGUUUUUGCUAUACAUAUGUUCUUCUUGUUUAGUCCCUCUCCUUCCUUGGUCAUCAAACCUUUCGGAGCCUACACAGUACGUUUUAUCAUAAUAAAUACCAUGAUUAAUUAAACCACCACGAAAAAUAUUAGUAAGUGUAUGAGGGGUUAAAAAAUAAAAUAAAAUAAAACAAUUCACACCUCAGAGAUCCACAUAAGGGCAUAAUUAGAGUGAACAAAGUGGAGAGAAUUGUUUGGAAAGAGCCUGCCAUAGAAAGAACCAGGCAUUGCAGUAAUGAAACAUGGCCCCAACUUCUGUUCUUCCUCAAGUUUCUUGUAGAACCCUGGCAAUGACCUGAACACAGUGUUGAAAUCGUUCCCAGGAAGAUCAUUCAAGAAGGCUUGGAGUGAAGGAGAUGGACGGUUCAGUUUUUGGAAGGUGGCAUGGAUGUUGUGUAUGAUAUCUGAUACCGCCAAAAGGGUGUUGGGUCCGGAAGAGCAUCCCAAGUCUGCUAUUUUCAAACAGUCAGAGAAGAGUGUGCUGCAAAGCUGCUCUAUGCUUGCCUUAACUAUGGGCUUCACCGUCGAAAUCACAGCUCUCUGAAAGAAAUUCAGACAGCUGAAUAUUAUUAAAAAGUUUUUAAUUUUAUGAAAACAAGUUCCCGUCAUAUUAAAAAAGAUCAUUAAAAUCGAAUAUGAUCAACUAGGAAAGUUCACACAGAGACAAAAAAAAGAAAUAGAGAAACAGAUGCUGACUAACUUGAAGUAGAGAGUUGGUUGCAUAGCUUGUUUUCCCAAUUCCUCCAUUCAUGUGAAGCACUUGCUCUACCUCCAUUUUAGUUUGUGUUCUCGAAUAAUGCUUCUCUACACUCUUAAUUCUGGUGCCUAUUCUGCUAUAAGAGCUGCAUAUUUAUAGCAAAAUACUUACCUCAUGCAGCUUACGUGUUAUUAGGUAUAUAGUAAUUUUUUGUGUAUUUGGAACCCCAUCACGCGAUAUUAUUAGUACAGUAAAAUUAUCGUACGUGUAUUUGUUUUUUAUCAAUAUAUUCUAGAAGUAAAACAUAUCAAUUAUGUCAUCACACAUAUUAUACAUAUAAUGGUAACACUAAAUGAUGAUAUUCCCGCUUUCUGUAAGUUUUAGUACUUCACAACCUAAAAGAAUAUGAGAUGUUAGUAGACAAAUAACUUAAUAUUUUCUGUGAGUUUAGUAAAGAGAAUUGCUAGGUAGACUAAAUUUGUAGACUAAUUUGCAAAUUAAAUGAUGUGUCACUAAUAAAAAAUAAGCGCUUUAAUCAACACUAAAGUAAUAAUCAUAUCUUCAAUUUCCAUGUUAUUUACUUACAAAAUUUAGUCUACAAAUUUAGUUCCCCUAACAUUACCCUUUAGUUAAUAGUAGGUGACUAGUUUACAUACGGCUCCAUGCGUCAUAAAUGUGACAUCAUCUAUAAAUCAUAGGUAUAAUUAAAGGAUCCGGCUUCUCUGCCCUCCCACUUCUCAUACACUCUCAUUCCCUCAUAUUUUGUAUUGUCACGGUUAAGCCACGUCAACAUUUUAUAUUGAUUUUUUUUAUUAAGAUAAUAAAACAAAAAACAAUAGUAAUAUAAAAUGUUGACGUGGCUUAAUCGUGACCGCACAAAUAAGAGGGGAUGAGAGUAUAUGGGAAGUGGGAGGGCAAAGAAGUCAGGUCCAUAAUUAAAUUAGUCUAACAAACACUUGUUUGGCGUCAUUAGAAUCUACAUCAAUCAAGCUUUGGUACAUUACAUGAUGUCCAUUAACAAAUGUCGUUUACUUUGAAAGAAUCUAAAACUUGAAUCCAUGGUGUUGGUCUUGUCGCCUAUGAAUAUGAUUGACUAAGAACUUGUUUGGAUAUACUCUUAAAAUAACUGAAAACGUUUUUUGUUCAAAUAUUUUUUAAACCAAUCCUUAGUAAAAAUGCAAGUAAAUCUUGAAAAAAGCACUUCAAGUGCUUUUGGUACCCAAAAACAUUUUUUUUAAUAGCAUUUUCAGCCAUUUUAAAAGCACAUCCAAAUGAGCCAUAAUUAUGGCACAAUUCCGAAGUAUUCACUAUUGAAUUAACGGCAUGCCAUGCAGCAUGAAGAUAAUUCCGAAGAAUCCACUAUUUAUGGUGUUGGUCAAUUUUUCAAGUGUUUUAAUCGUUAUAUCUUUAUUUAAAAAUACAAAAAUUGUAAUUUAACUUUUAAAACACCCGGACCAUACUGUUAAACUUCCUAAAAAAUUCUUUAAUGGAUAAGGAAUAGGAACAACUUCUUUUAAGUACUAGUUUUUCUGGUUUGAAGAACUCCCAUACAUCAUUAAUAGUGUUCUCUUAGAAGAUUGUAAUGUUUUUUAAUUUAUAAAAAAAUAAAAAAUAAAAAAUAAAAAAAAACCUAGCUACUAUCAUUUUCACUAAAAAUAAAUUAAAGAAAUGCAGUAAUUUGUGUAUGUUAAGUUUAUCUGUAUACGUGGUCUGUGUAUCAGUAAAUAAUCAGUAAUGUGGUUUGCUUUCUUUUUGCGUUAAGAAUUGAAAUCUUUUAACAUGAUGCAAUGUAUAUAGGAUAACGUUAUUCACACACUUUUUUUUUACUUCUUACACACUCCUUUCAACUUUCAGCUGUCAAAUUGAAUAAAUUGAAGAAGAUCAAUGGUAAAAAAUUAACAAUGAUGUGUGAAAGAUAAAAACGAAUGUCUAAAUAGCACUAUUCUAUGUCUAUAGUACUCCAAUUAAGCUACCAAACAUUGACUUGGUCUUGUAAUAACAAUUCACAUUUCAUAUAUAACAGUACGCGCAUAAAGGAGUUUUAUGAAUUGAAUGUGCCAAAAUUAUGUUUUAUGAGAGAUUUAAGUAACGCGACGAAAGAUGUUUGUUGUAAGAACAUUACAUCUUCACACCGCAUGAUAUUGGAUGUGUGGAAAAAAAAGAAAAAACUUAAAAAAAAAAUACGAAAUCCAAUGCAACUGAUGAUGCCACUAAUGAACUAUAGGUUCUAUUUUUACAAUUUUAUACCAAUGUCAAUCAAAGGCUAAGUAGAAAAUUCAAGUCAAAUGAUAUAUAUAUAUAUAUAUAUAGUAUAAUAUAAGUGUGCCAUUGUUGGAUUCUACCAAUGAUAGUCUUUUGAGCAAGUGUUACUUACACCUUAAGUUAUUUGACUUCUAACUAAGAGAUUGUGCAUGUCUUGAUUCUUUUAUGCGUCAACUUGGUUUUAUAUCCUACUACAUGCCAAGAAUCCAAAUAUCAAUGGAAGAAAAACUAAUUUCAGUCAAUUCAUAUUGAAUUACCUUGUUUACAAACUAAAUUGUACAUUUAAAUGCAAAACAAGGCCAAAUGAGUCACCUCCUGAGUGAUCGGGCUAGAACAAAGAGCGUGGGGCUGAAAACUAAGCUUUGUCGCAUUUCUUGCAUAGAGCUACAAGAACAGUUCUACCCAAAUAUCAACUUCAGGGCACGAAAAACGAGAAACCUCUUUUGAUAUCAGUCGAGUCCGUUGAUCUUAAGGCAAACCGGUUUGUAUUCAAUGGUAGGACGAUUCAAAAUAUCCUAUUUUAAAUAUCUUCUGCAUCAUCCCUUCCAUUCUUCUUCAAAUCCCCAAAUCUUGUUUAGAAAGCACUCCAACUCUUCAUCUGCCAUCGUUAACCAUCUCGUACUUGAUCGAAUUUAAUGGUUGCUAGUUUCUCUAAUCCAAAUAUCCAAUAUGUCGUUCUCGAUACCCCUGAACCUCCCAUGGUUAUGGUUCGUAACAAAGGUGAAGAAUAAGCUAUUCUAAUGGGUCAUAGUCAUCUUAUAUUCCGAGUUUGGUAGGAAGACAAUGAGAAUGUGUCUGCAGAUCUUCCUAAGUCCAAGUACCGAAUCGUGUGUGCCAGAAUCCACCCUUGCUAUCUUGAUCUGGAUUAUGAUGUGAAAAUUAUGUUGACACUCAAAUUAAACCCUCUUUUUAUCAAUUGUAGCAAUGUAUGUAAGUAGGGAUCGUUGUAGACCGGGGAUUAGGAGGGAUUGCAAAAUCACUUGGAAUUGACUCAAAAACGUAAAAACAAGUUUAAAACACUAAACUAGACUCAAAGAAUGCAAAACUAAACUUUAAAACACCAAAACAAACCAAAAGACUCAAAACAGCACCAAAACACUCAAAACUGCCUUAAAAACACAAUCUGGGCAGUUUUGGACACUAAGCACCAAAUUGGACGAAUUUGGGUUUUAACUUGAAUCAAAACACUUAAAAACACAAAGUAAAACACUUACUAACUAAUUUGACACCUUAAAACAAAGGGGGAUUGGUUUUGGACGAAUUUAAAAACAAAACAAACUUUGUAAAUUAGAACAGAUUGUAAAAACGAAUUUGAUUUAAAUGGGUGAAUGGAAGGCUAGCUAAGGGGUUCAUCUCCACACAUGUUAUACUUGCAUACAAAACGGUUUCCAAUUGCUUUUCAAUAAACCAUGAAUUCUCAAUGCCCCAAGUUAAUUAGUUCCGCUUAUUAAUUCAAUUAACCCUCAGAUUUUCCUAACGUCAUUGAAUUGGAUGAUUGCAUACGACAACCCAAAACAUUCCCCACAAGUCCCCUACAUGAUUGCAUAAUAGAGAUACAAGCAAGAAUCAUUAAGUUCUAUGAAAACCAUAAGCAUUGACGAAGCACUUGUUACUAUGAUUGCAUGAAACUUAUGCCAAGAAUUUACUUAACGUGAUUGAGAUCAUCAACCUUUACUACUUGUGAAUAUAAUUCCAUAACGAUUAGGUGAAAUUUCCUUUAUAUCCUAGCAUUCAAUUUAUGCAUGAUAAUUAAGCGUGCACUCUCAACCAACACACACAAAUCAAUGUAAUCCACAUAGAUAAGUAAAUUGAAUUCACAACUUAUGAAACGCAAUUAGAAGUAAUCAAAUCAUAACGCAAGCAUAAACAUGUAUUUCGAAUCCCCCCCUAGCCAAGGGGAGGUUUAGUUCCUCAUACGCACAAAACAAAGAGAAUUGAAUUUAAACAUUGAAAUCAAAGGAAAAGAAACACCUAGAAAUUCCAGCGACGCGAACUUGAAUUGCAUGAACUUCCGAGCUUCCUUCUCCUCCUCCUUGGUGCGGCAAAGGUUCUAGGGACUAGUUUAGGACCUUAGGUGUAUGGAUGCAUGGUUAUGGAGGGAUGUAGUAGUGUUUAGGGGAAGGGAAUGGUGCGGCAAAGGUGUGGAGAGAGUUUGGACGAAUUUCUGGAGUGAAUUGUGAAUUGUGGUGAGUGGUGAUCUGAUUUAGGGGUUAAUAGGAGUAUAUAUAGGCACUUAAAACCCUAGGGUAAUCAGAUAUGGACUUGGAUAACCCAAAUCCACAAGGAAAUAGGUCUAAACAAUCAGAUUUGUUGCAAGAGAAAAGGGUCCUAGGUGCGGCGGGGGGAUAGGAUAAGGUGGAUAAGGCUUCUAGAAAGCCUUGCAAGGCAAGGAAAUCAGAUUUCUAGAAGCUAGGGUGCGGCACCAAUGUAGGGAUUAGGGAUAGGGCUUCUAGAAAGCCCCAAAACUGAUAGGAAAUGUAGGAAACUCACGGCAAGGAGGGGAACACUCUAGAAACUUCUCAUUUGUGUCCUACAACACUUAGGAGUCCUUCUAGAAUUAGGAAAACAUGUCUCAAUCCUCCCUUGACUUGGAAAUUCUUCUUCUUCAUCAUCUUGGAUUCCUUUUUCCUUCUGGACUUGGAAAACUUCUUUGUUGCUGAAACUUGAUGCCAUUUGGAUUUAACUUUCCUACUUCAAGUAGGAAACCUUGUUUGAGUAGGAAUCUUCAUCUUCAAGGAAUCCUAAUUCAACUAGGAAACCCAUUUUGACUAGGAAUCCUAAUUCAACUAGGAUUCCAUCUUCACUUAGGCGCUUUCCUACUUCGACUAGGAAACCUUGUUCAAGUAGGAAACAUCAUCUUCAAAUCUUCAAUUUCGUCCAUCCUCUUGGUUCCAAGCAUAUGACAUUCAUUCCAAGCUCAACUUUGCUCCAAAAGGCUCCAAAAUGCAUCCUUUUUCAUACUUUGCCCUUAGAACCUGAAAACACAUAAAACUAGCUUAAAAGACUACUUUACUAAGCAAAAACACUAUAAAUGUACAAGAACAAGCUAAACUAAGGCGCAUAAAUAUGCUCCUAUCAGAUUACGGUUCCCUUUAUCGCCACUAUGGAAGGAGAUUCUUGUUCAUUUUCAGGUCAAUCUCUACCUCGACCUCCAUUCGUAUUAUCUCUUAUUUUGACCAUCUGAAUGACUAGUUCCAUGCUGAGUUGGGUUUAUCUGAAUUUGUCAUUCUUUAUCAAUUCCAGAAAAGCACCAGUAUCCUUUACAUUUUUCAAUCUCAAUCCACACUUCGAUGGCCUGCCUAUAUCACUGAUCUUCCAUGUCACGAUAAGGAUUGGUACAAAGAUAUUCUCUUUGUAGAAGGAAACUGGGAGGGUGACAUAUCUAAACUAAGAGUCUCUUAUAACCUGGAAGUGACAUUCCAUACAAGACAUUGAUCAGAAUCUCGGCCAGUGCCAUUCUGAGCUUAUAAAUAAGGCGUUCAAACUUAUCCUCUCUCCAUUCCAGGCCUGAAAAUGGCUUAGUGUGCCAGAUAAAGAAACCGCACACGGGAGGGAAGGCCUUACUGACCUCUAUUCUAAGUGCCUAUUCCUAACCCUGCGUGGGUCAACUCUGAAGACUCACUCAAGUCUUCAAAGCCUUCCAAAGAUGCCCCUGAAGUAGAGAAAAAGAAAAGGAAGAAGGGAACUGAAGAUGCGGUGUCAAAUGCGGCCUUGAUUAAAGCAUCCAAGAGAAAAACCAAGUCAGCAAAUGGUUUUGGGAUCUAUUUAGAUAAGGUUUUGAAGACUGUGAGGCUUGCCUCCAUGAUAUGAGACAAUUUGUAGCAAAUUUCUGUGAAGCAAGGUGAAGGAAAAGGUAAAUCUAUCAUUCUAGAGACAUCAAAGUCGUUGUUGAAAAAGCAAUCACAACCUUCCACAUUCUUGGCUCCUGGUUCUAUAACUGCCCUAUUAAUAAUUAAACUCUAGUUGGUGGUCCGAAUACCCUAGCGCCUAACACAUCAUCCAUUUUGCCUGGCUGCCAGUUCGGAGUUGUUUUGCUUUGAUUUUCUCAGUUAUCGCUUAUGCCGAUUCCAGGGAAAUCCAAACUACAGAUGACCUCAAGGAGAUGUGUUAUCAAAGCAAAUACACGGUUAUUCUCCUCAAUCUUUCAUGUAUCUUGUUAUUUAUGUGCUCCGUUUUCUUAUUCCUACCUUGUUAUAUCUUUCCUAGGCAAACGCCUAGAUUGAAGCUCUGACCUGGGCCUGAUGCGAAGAAAAUUAAGCACUCAAAUUAAACCCUCUUUUGACAAUUGUAGCAAAGUAUGUAAGUAGGGAUCGUUCUAAACCGGGGAUUAGGAGGGCUUGCUAAAACCUCUAAAUUGACUCAAAAACAAAAAGAAACAAAGUUAAAAAUGUAAACCAAAGACUUUAAAACAAGAAAGUAAAAGGGGGAUUUGGGUUUGGUGAAGUUGAAAGUAAAACAAAUAAACUAAAACUUAAAUAGAUUUUUAAGUAGGCAGAUUAUAAAACGAAUUUGAGAAAUAAGAUGAUGGAUGGAUUAGUUAGAGGUCCAUUCUUCACACAUGACACACUUGUACAUGAAUCGAUUUCCAAUUGCUUUUCAAUAAACUAUGAUGCUCAACACCCCAGAUUGACCGUGAUGCACAAAUUAACCCUCAGAUUUUCCUUUACUUAUUGAAUUGGACGAAUGCAUGCGACAAUCCAAAUUAUUCUCUAAAAAAGUCCCCUAUAUGAAUGCAUAAUAGAGAUACAAUCAGAGAUCAUUACGUUCAAUGAAAAUCAUAAGUGUUGACGAGGCAAUUGUAACUAUGAAUGCAUGAUACGUUUGCCAAGAACUCAAUUAACGCGAUUGUGACAAAGCAACCUUCACUACUCAUGAAUAUAAAUUUGUAACAAUUAGGUGAAACUCAUUUAUAUUCUAGCAUCUAAUUCAUGUAUGAAAACUAAGUAUGCAUCCUUAAUAAAACAUACAAGAAUCAGUUAUGAAGAAAAUAGAUAAUUGAAUUGCAAUCAUAACUUAUCAAAUCACAAUUGGAAGAAAUCAAUUCAUAUCACAAGCAUGUUCAUGGCUUCAAACUUCCCCCUAACUAAAUAGGGGUUUAGUUCCUCAUGUUCACAAAACAAAGAUAAAAUAGAAUUAUACAUUGAAAACAAAAGAAAGAAAACACCUAAACGUUCCAACGAUCCAUGUUGGAUAACAAGCACGUACAAGAACUUUCCUUUUCUUCUUUGCUGCAACACAAGGUUGGAGUGAUGUUUUGAAGGGUUGGUUAUGUGGAGGAAUGGAUGGGUAGGAGUUUAGAUAUGUAGGGAGAGGCAAGGAAAGGCUUAGAGAAUGAAUGAUUUAUUCUUUCUGGAUGAUUUUAAUGAGGCUGCUGCCAUGGGUAUUUAUAGGGAGAGGAUGGACUUGUUUGUUUAAUUCAAUUUUCUGGUGGGAAAACAGUAGGUGGGCUCACGGCAAGAAGGGAUAAUGGUGGGUUAGGUCUUGAAUCAUCCACUCAAUUUCUGUGCACAAUCUACUCAUUUUCUGUUUAGUUGGGGAUGAAUCAUCCACUCAAAUGUCAUGGUGAGUUAGGCAUUGCAUCAUCUCAAAUGUCAUGGUGAGUUAGGCAUUGCAUCAUCACUCAAAUUUCUGGUGGAAACCAACAAGGAUGUGAUUUUAGGGAUGAAUCAUCUACUCAAUUUCCUAGUGGGUUAGGUAUUGAACAAUCACUCAAAUUUCUGGUGGAAGUGAGUCAGUACCCACGGCAUUGAUGAAUUUCUGGGGUAGGCAUGGUUUUGAGUGAAAUUUUGGUCAAUCCUUCUAGAAACCUAUCCCUUCUUGCAACUUGUAUUUGUUUCACCAGAUUUUUAGCAUGUUCCUAGCCUCGUUUGAUCUUUAAUUUCGUCCAAACUCCUUGCUCCAUGCAUAUGCACUUCAUUCCAAGCCCAAUUUUGCUCCUAAAAGCUCCUAAAUGCUCAUUUUUGCAUACUUUGAUAAUAAAACCUGAAAUUGCACGAAAAUGACUUUAAACACUAAACUAACUAAGGAAAAACAACAUAAAUGCAUGAGAACAAGCCAAUUAAGUCGCAUAAACAUGCUCCUAUCAGGGCCCAAGCAAAUGAGAACUCCCAACUUGAGCCUGUUUAUAAGAGUGAGUUAAGAUGUAAGAUCAAGGCUGAGUGAGACUUGCAGGAGAGAAGUACUAGGCUCAAGAUGUUAUUGGUCGUAAACAUGCUCCUAUCAAAUUCCCCCACACUUAGUUUUUGCUAGUCCUCGAGCAAAACAAAGAAACAAAACAAAACCAACAAACAUAACCUAAACCUUCUAACGUUUGCCUCAGGGAUUUCCAAUGCACAUGUCAUGUUAAAGAUUAUCAUUCCCACAGAUUUGAGUCAAUUUAACACUUAAGCACAUACUUAAUCAUAGUCACAACUUACAAGUUCACAAUUAACCAAUUAAAACAAUGUUUUGAAUGUAGUAACAUGCCUUAGAGAAUUCCCUCAAUCCUUACAAGAUAUGCACUCUAUUUUCACUCAGAUUUUCUAACUACUAUACUAGUUAUAUGUGAGAGAAUUGAUGUAGAUAUAAAAACGAAUGCUCACAUAUAUGUAUCACAAAGAAUGCAAUUUCCGGAGUUAACAAGCAUGUUUAGAUAUGAUCUCAUGAAUGGAAUGCUACUACUUAGAUGCGAGAACCAGUGACACCAUAUGCUCAUACCAAAUUCAAACUCCACAAAUUGAAACACAUAACACUCAAGACAGAAGUUAAGGGUUGCAACGGGGCUUGGGGUUUUGGUUAACAAAGAAAGGAUAGGGAAAACAAACAUUCUUCAAGCAUUAGUACGCAAAGUAAUGGAAUUAAGACUUAGAAUUCACUUAGAUUGCAGAAAUUAACUUUAAAACACAAAGGGAAGACUUAGACAACUCCUUAGGGUCGAAUUCAUUGUUUUGGACCCUUACUUCAACAAACAAUACUUUGGAACACUUUUUCACAUCUUUUCAACUCUUUUUUUUUUUUUUUUUUUUUUAUUAUUAUUUUUUUUUUCUUUCUACCCGUGCCUAUGGCACACAAUUGACAAAAAAAAAACUUCCUCCACACUUGGUUUCUGCCACAAAGAAAUUCAAUUUGAAUCAUGCUUACUAUACUUUAAGAACGAGGGUAUGGAUAGUCCUAAUCUAGGCUAGGUGAGGGUAAUGUGGGUUAACAAAGAAAAGGCUAAACAAGGCUCAAUGGGGUUAACACCUACAAAACAUAAUGACAUAGGGAUUCAUGGCUUUUUGGCUAAGGUGGUGGUCACUACACAACUUUAUCUUGAAUAUGUGUUAUGCUAAUCAAUAACAUGCUUUGAAUAAAAUGGGCAUGAGUUCUAGUGUUUGGAACUAAAUGAUGAAACGCCUUCUAAGUAGCAACCAAGCAAAGAAUAAUGAGAUCAUGCAACGACUUUAGAAAACAAAGAAUGCACAGAUUUUGACUCUCCAAAUAAACGUUUUGGCUCAAGUCUCACAAGGUUGUAGCGUUAAUUUGAGUUCCUUCCUUCAAGCAUGUUACAAAAACUAAUUUUUCCUUUAAGAUUACAUGUGAAUUCAUAAGUUAUAACCACAACCAAGCAUAAACCAAAGAGUAAAUCAAACUUUUAUCCAUGUUUAUAACUUUCUUUAACCAUCAUGCAAUUACAAACCGAAUCCUCAUCAUCAUUGUGUUGGAAGGUACCCUAAGACACAAACAAACACACAAAAAACAACUCUUUUUGGGUUUUUAAAACAAAUUUUCAAAUUUUUAUGGGAUUUUCGAAUUUUUGACUCAAAACACACUAAAACACAACAAAACAGCUUAAAAAAAAAGGCUUAAAAACAGUGAAAAACAACAUUAGAAAUUAUGAGUGAGAAAACCCUACGAAUUUGCAUCAAAACACUUUGGUUACCCCCCCCCCACACUUAAAUCAAACAUUGUCCUCAAUGUUUCAAGCAUAUACUAACACAAAUAACAAACAAACAAACAAAACAGCAACUAAGCAAUUUAACAUGGCAUAAAUGAAAACAACAACAAAGGGAAGGGUUUAGGAACGCAAAUCUGGAAUUUGGAGUGCUCUCUAGGUCUUCCUUUGUUGCAUGCAUGGGUUGCCUCCCAAGUAGCGAUUGCUUUAACGUCGUACAGCCGGACGAAGAACCCAUUCACUCCUCAAUGGAGUCCACGGCAUGCAAGAGAAUGUCAUCCACGGUAUGCUCCUCAAAGUUCUCGUAGUAUGGCUUCAAACGAUGCCCGUUCACCUUGAAUUCGUGUCCCGUUUUCAAGCUUUGGAUUUGGACUGCACCAUGAACAAAAACAUUAGUAAUAACAAAAGGUUCAAUCCACUUGGAACGUAACUUACCAGGAAACAAACGUAAACGGGAAUUGAACAAUAGCACUUUCUGCCCAAUUGCGAACGUUUUGCCUCUAAUCAUCUUAUCAUGGAACACCUUGGUCUUUUCCUUGUAAAUGCUUGUGUUCUCGUAUGCCUCGUGCCGUAUCUCAUCAAGCUCAUUCAAUUGGAACUUCCGGUGACUUCCCGCUUCAUCGAGGUUCAUGUUAAACUUCUUGACGGCCCAAUGAGUUUUGUGCUCCAACUCAACGGGGAGAUGGCACGGUUUGCCAUAGACAAGCCGAAAGGGGGACAUUCCAAUGGGUGUCUUGUACGCUGUACGAUACACCCAAAGUGCAUCAUCUAACCGUAAACUCCAAUCCUUCCUCGUUGGCCCAACGGUCUUCUCUAGGAUUUGCUUGAUCUCACGGUUGGAAACCUCGGCUUGGCCAUUAGUUUGAGGAUGAUAAGGCGUAGAAACCUUAUGAUUGACAUUGUAUUUCCUCAAUGGUCCGGUUGCAAAAGUGUGACCCUCCAUCACUAAUGAUCACUCGUGGCAUGCCAAACCUUGCAAAAAUGUUAGUUCUAAUAAAAUCUGCAACCACUUUAGAAUCAUUAGUCCGGGUGGCCUUUGCUUCCACCCACUUUGACACAUAAUCAACCGCAAGCAAAAUAUAUAUAAAACCAUACGAAGAAGGAAAUGGACCCAUAAAAUCAAUACCCCAAACAUCGAAAAUUUCAACAUUUAGGAUAGAAACCUGCGGCAUUUGGUCCCUAGCACCAAUGUUACCCAUUUGUUGGCAUUUAUCACAUGUUAAGCAAAAAGUUCUAGCAUCCUUAAAAAUACUAGGCCAAUAAAAUCCACAUUGUAAUACCUUAAGGGCAGUUCUUUGUGUGCCAAAGUGCCCACCACAUGCAUAUGUGUGACAAAAACUUAAAAUUGAACGAGAUUCAGAAUCAUGCACACAACGACGAACAAUUUGAUCCGGGCAAAAUUUCCACAAAUAUGGAUCAUCCCACACAUAAAACCGUGCAUCAUGCCUAAGUUUAUCACGUUGGUGCCUAGUGUAAAGUGCUUGGAAUUCGUUUUUGUCACCAAAAAAGUUCACCAAAUCAGCAUACCAAGGCUCACUAACCUUUAUGGACAUCAAUUGUUCAUCGGGGAAUGUCUCCAAAAUUGGCAAAGCCUCCUCAUUAUGCACCAUUCGGCUCAGGUGGUCAGCCACUACGUUCUCACUUCCCUUCUUGUCACGAAUCUCUAUGUCGAACUCUUGAAGUAGCAACAUCCACUGAAUUAGCCGUGGCUUGGCCUCCUUUUUGGUGAGCAAGUACUUCAAUGCUGCUGCAUGGUCAGUGAAAACAAUUACAUUACUUUAGUACCAAUUAGAUAUAUGAUAUAUGAAUAAACUUAUCUAAAGCAAAAACAACGGCAAUAAGUUCUUUUUCUGUAGUGGAAUAGUUCAAUUGUGCAUCAUUCAACGUCCGUGAGGCAUAGUAGAUGACGUGUGGCUUUUUGUCCUUCCUUUGUCCCAAAACAGCCCCUAAAGCGUAGUCGGAUGCAUCGCACAUAAGCUCGAAAGGUAGGCUCCAAUCUGGUGGAACAAUGAUGGGUGCCGUGGUCAACAACUCCUUGAGUUGAUUGAAUGAUGCCAUGCACUCCUUGGUGAAUUCAAACGCCACUUCUUUUUGUAGGAGACGGCAAAGAGGUUGUGCUAUCUUCGAAAAAUCUUUGAUAAACCUACGAUAAAAUCCUGCAUGACCAAGAAACGAACGAACCUCUCUAACCGAAGUCGGAGUGGGUAAGUGACGUACUAGAUCUAUUUUGGACUUAUCCACCUCAAUGCCGUUUUCAGAGAUAAUAUGUCCUAAAACUAUGCCUUGUUUAACCAUGAAAUGACACUUUUCCCAAUUAAGAACAAGGUUAGUUUCAACGCAACGUUUUAAGAUCAAACUUAGAUUAUGCAAGCAACCAUCAAAAGAAUCACCAAAGACGCUAAAAUCAUCCAUAAAAACUUCAAUUAUUUUCUCUACAUAAUCGGAAAAUAUGCUCAUCAUGCAUCUUUGAAAUGUAGCAGGUGCAUUACAUAAACCAAAAGGCAUGCGACGGUAUGUAAAUGUACCAAAUGGACAUGUAAAAGUGGUUUUUCUUGGUCCUCGGGUGCAAUGACAAUUUGAUUAUAACCAGAAUAACCAUCAAGAAAACAAUAAAAAGCAUAACCCGCUAACCUCUCAAGCAUUUGGUCAAUGAAUGGCAAUGGGAAGUGGUCCUUCCUCGUGGUGGCGUUUAGCUUCCUAUAGUCGAUGCACACCCUCCAACCGGUUUGAAUGCGUUGAGGAACAAGCUCAUUCUCGGCAUUAGUUACCACCGUCACUCCGGAUUUCUUUGGUACGCAUUGCACGGGUGAAACCCACCUACUAUCCGAGAUUGGAUAGAUAACUCCACAAUCUAGAAGCUUUAUGAUCUCCUUUUUCACAACUUCCAUCAUAGGAGGGUUAAGACGGCGUUGAGCCUCUCGAGAUGUUUUAGACCCCUCCUCCAAAAGUAUGCGAUGCAUGCACAUUGUUGGGCUAAUUCCCUUGAUGUCGGCCAAUGUCCACCCAAUGGCCGUCUUGUGCUCUUUCAACACUCGGAUCAACUUCUCCUCCUCUAUGGCCGUGAGUGAUGAGGAGACAAUGACGGGCAAUGUCUCGUUGUCUCCCAGAAAUACGUACUUUAAAUGAUCGAGCAACGGUUUAAGCUCAAGUACGGGUGCUUGAAUCACUGAGGGUAACAACUUAUUAGUGGAAACUGAAAUUGAAAUUGGGUUAGAAGGCUUACCAUGGUGUUGAGGUAGUGACUCAAGGGCAGCCACUAUCUCGGCCUCCUCCACACUUAUAGGCACGGCAAAACCAGAUUUUUGCCCAAUUCCUUGUGCAAUUGUUGUUUCAAGUGUAUCCCUCUCCAAAGAAUCGAGAAAAUCCUGCGCCAAAUCAUCAAUUAUAUCAAUAGAAAAGCAAGAAUGAUCAUCCUUAGGAAAUUUAAUACUUUCAGAAAGAUUGAAAUCAAUGACUUCCCCAUCAAAUUCCAUCGUUAAAGUUCCUUUAAACACAUCUAUCUUGGUGCGGGCUGUUUUCAUGAAGGGCCUCCCUAAUAGAAUCGGCAAUGGGGUGGAAUGGGGUGAAUCUUCCAUGUCAAGCACGUAGAAAUCCGCUGGAAAAAUCAAGUUACCAACCUGCACCAAAACAUCUUCCAAAACACCCUUUGGAUAUGCAUUAGAACGAUCGGCUAAUUGAAUUAUCACACCAUCACUUUUAAGCUGACCUAAGUUCAUAGAUGCAUAAAUAGAGUAUGGCAUAACAUUAAUCGAAGCCCCUAAGUCUAACAUGCAUUGUUCAAACUUAGUAUUACCAAUAACGCACGGAAUUGUAAAACUACCCAUAUCUUUGCAUUUAGGGGGUAAUUUCCUUUGUAACACAGCAGAGACAUUUUCACUUACUUGAACCACCUCUUUGUUCGAAAUCCUCUUUCUUGUGGUGCAAAGUUCCUUUAAGAACUUGGCGUACCUCGGAACUUGCUUGAUGGCGUCCAAAAGGGGAAUGUUGACUUGAACUUUCCGGAAUGUCUCUAGAAUGUCCUUUUCAGCUUCUUCUUUCUUUGUUUGCUUAAACCUAUUUGGAAAAGGAGCAUUCGAAGGAAAAACAUUAGUAGGAACUGAAUUUGACACGUUCUUACCUUCCUUGGACGAAUUGGAUAGUUUAGGCCCACUUAAAGCUUGCGGCAUUGGUGUGUCCACCCUUGCCGUGGCUUUCCCUUGUUCCUCCUCUUCAAUUAUCAACUCCUCCACCUCGUUAGAACAUGAUUUGGAAGGUUGGGGGUCAGAUCCUACUUGCUUCCCACUCCGUAAAGUUAUGGCUUUUGCAGAUUCGAAACCACCCUUUGGAUUCACUACGGUUGAGCUAGGCAACUUGCCUUGCUCACGAAACUGCCCCAUAAACUCGGCAAUUUGUCCGACUUGCUUCUCCAACUCAUCCACCUUCUUGUCCCUAGUUUGCAUGCUCUGCGCCAUAGAAGUUAGUAAAUUCAAAAUCUGAUCAUUAUCAAUAGAAGUACCUGACUUUUGGGCAGGUUGUGCUUGGGGUUGAGUUGGUGCAAACGGCUUUUGAUAGAAACCCGGGGGUUGUUGCCUAAAUCUGCUUUGUUGUUGGCCUUGUUGGGGUUCUCGCCAUUUGAAAUUUGGAUGAUCACGCCAACCGGGAUUGUAAGUAUUGGAAAAGGGGUCAUUCCUUGGUUGGUAUUGGUUGCCAAAUCCCACGGCAUUGAGGGUCUCCCACCCUCCAUUUUCUAUCAACUGUGGGCACUUGUCCGUAAGGUGGCCUUGCAUGGAACACACGCCACAAGCUGCCACGUUUUGCACUUUUGGACCUUCCACCACCUGAGAAAGCAAAGUAGUAAGGUUAGCCAUUUGAUUUUGAAGUUCGGUUAUGGCACUUACCUCAUUGACUUGAUGUGGUCGUGGGUUACUCCUUUGUCCAACGCCUUCGUAUUGUUGAGCAUUCAACGCACGGUUGGAAAUUAAAGUCUUUGCUGCCGUGGGGGUCUUGUCCACCAAGGCUCCUCCCGCCGAGGCAUCUAGCAUUUGACGUUCGAUAGGUAGUAGCCCCUCGUAGAAGUAAUGCAAAAGAAGUUCCUCCUUCAUCUGAUGCUGUGGACAAGAAGCAACAAGAGAUUUAAAACGUUCAUAAUAAGUAGGAAAAGAUUCACCUUCCUCUUGUUGAAUUCCACUUAUCCUUUUCCGUAGGAGGAUGACUCGAGAAGUUGGGAAAAACUUCUCCAAGAAGGCCCGUUUCAUGCUUUCCCAUGAUGUGACGGUUCCGGGCGCCAAUUCAUACAACCAAUCCUUCGCCUUUUCCAAGAGAGAAAAGGGAAGGCUUUCAUCUUCAAAAUACUCCCAUCGACAUUGACGGGGGUCAUGCUCGAACACACCACCUCGAAUUCUUGCAAGUGUUUGUUAGGAUCUUCCAUGGACAACCCAUGGUAUUUCCGAAUGUGGUGUAACAAGCUUGACUUCAAUUCAAAUUCUUCUGUCUUUCCUCGGGCUGCUGCGGGGUAUUGGAUACAUAGAGGUGCGGCAUUGUCCAAUCCCGAAGCUGAAAGUUCUUUGAUUGUUCGAUUGUCCACCUCCAUGUCUUUUUCUGCCUCCUCCUUUUCUUCAAAUUCGAAUUCAGAACUAGAACUAGGUGGACUAGGUUCUGGUACUUUCCUUUUCCUUCUCAAAGUUCGUUCAAAAUUGUCGUCAAACUCCGAUAUAUGUGCACGAACUGGUUGAGAACUACGAGUCAUAAACUAGUACCUGAAAUAAACAAAAUCAAAUAAAAUUAAAACUAAAAUUAAAACACACAAAAAAGAAAUAAAAAGAAACAAUGGGGAUUUAGCAAAGUUGCUAAUCCCCGGCAAAGGCGCCAAAAUUUUGAUGCGAAGAAAGUUAAGCACUCAAAUUAAACCCUCUUUCGACAAUUGUAGCAAAGUAUGUAAGUAGGGAUCGUUCUAAACCGGGGAUUAGGAGGGCUUGCUAAAACCUCUAAACUGACUCAAAAACAAAAAGAAACAAAGUUAAAAAUGUAAACCAAAGACUUUAAAACAAGAAAGUAAAAGGGGGAUUUGGGUUUGGUGAAGUUGAAAGUAAAACAAAUAAACUAAAACUUAAAUAGAUUUUUAAGUAGGCAGAUUAUAAAACGAAUUUGAGAAAUAAGAUGAUGGAUGGAUUAGUUAGAGGUCCAUUCUUCACACAUGACACACUUGUACAUGAAUCGAUUUCCAAUUGCUUUUCAAUAAACUAUGAUGCUCAACACCCCAGAUUGACCGUGAUGCACAAAUUAACCCUCAGAUUUUCCUUUACUUAUUGAAUUGGACGAAUGCAUGCGACAAUCCAAAUUAUUCUCUAAAAAGUCCCCUAUAUGAAUGCAUAAUAGAGAUACAAUCAGAGAUCAUUACGUUCAAUGAAAAUCAUAAGUGUUGACGAGGCAAUUGUAACUAUGAAUGCAUGAUACGUUUGCCAAGAACUCAAUUAACGCGAUUGUGACAAGCAACCUUCACUACUCAUGAAUAUAAAUUUGUAACAAUUAGGUGAAACUCAUUUAUAUUCUAGCAUCUAAUUCAUGUAUGAAAACUAAGUAUGCAUCCUUAAUAAACAUACAAGAAUCAGUUAUGAAGAAAAUAGAUAAUUGAAUUGCAAUCAUAACUUAUCAAAUCACAAUUGGAAGAAAUCAAUUCAUAUCACAAGCAUGUUCAUGGCUUCAAACUUCCCCCUAACUAAAUAGGGGUUUAGUUCCUCAUGUUCACAAAACAAAGAUAAAUAGAAUUAUACAUUGAAAACAAAAGAAAGAAAACACCUAAACGUUCCAACGAUCCAUGUUGGAUAGCAAGCACGUACAAGAACUUUCCUUUUCUUCUUUGCUGCAACACAAGGUUGGAGUGAUGUUUUGAAGGGUUGGUUAUGUGGAGGAAUGGAUGGGUAGGAGUUUAGAUAUGUAGGGAGAUGCAAGGAAAGGCUUAGAGAAUGAUUAAUUUCUGGAUGAUUUUAAUGAGGCUGCUGCCAUGGGUAUUUAUAGGGAGAGGAUGAACUUGUUUAAUUCAAUUUUCUGGUGGAAAACAAGUGGGUGGCUCACGGCAAGAAGGUGGAGGAUAAUGGUGGGUUAGGUCUUGAAUCAUCCACUCAAUUUCUGUGCACAAUCUACUCAUUUUCUGUUUAGUUGGGGAUGAAUCAUCCACUCAAAUGUCAUGGUGAGUUAGGCAUUGCAUCAUCUCAAAUGUCAUGGUGAGUUAGGCAUUGCAUCAUCACUCAAAUUUCUGGUGGAAACCAACAAGGAUGUGAUUUUAGGGAUGAAUCAUCUACUCAAUUUCCUAGUGGGUUAGGUAUUGAACAAUCACUCAAAUUUCUGGUGGAAGUGAGUCAAUACCCACGGCAUUGAUGAAUUUCUGGGGUAGGCAUGGUUUUGAGUGAAAUUUUGGUCAAUCCUUCUAGAAACCUAUCCUUUCUUGCAACUUGUAUUUGUUUCACCAGAUUUUUAGCAUGUUCCUAGUCUCAUUUGAUCUUUAAUUUCGUCCAAACUCCUUGCUCCAUGCAUAUGCACUUCAUUCCAAGCCCAAUUUUGCUCCUAAAAGCUCCAAAAUGCUCAUUUUUGCAUACUUUGAUAAUAAAACCUGAAAUUGCACGAAAAUGACUUUAAACACUAAACUAACUAAGGAAAAACAACAUAAAUGCAUGAGAACAAGCCAAUUAAGUCGCAUAAACAUGCUCCUAUCAGGGCCCAAGCAAAUGAGAACUCCCAACUUGAGCCCGUUUAUAAGAGUGAGUUAAGAUGUAAGAUCAAGGCUGAGUGAGACUUGCAGGAGAAGUACUAGGCUCAAGAUGUUAUUGGUCGUAAACCAAGCUUAGAAUGUUGAAAGGGAGGCCUUGAGGACGGGUUUGGAAGAAGCAGAGAGGGCGUUGGCUUUAUGCGAUGCAGACAAGUCUAUCCGCCAAGCGAAUUUGGGUGCAACUCAAGAGGAAGUGUGUCGUAUAAAGAAAAUCCAAAUAGAAUCUUCUCAGUAGAAUGAAGCGGAGGUUGCAGAGCCACGAUAACAAUACCAGGAGAACUUCAUCCUUGAGUACAAUCAGGGUUAUCUUGAUGGCUAUAUUGGUCAAGACCAUCUUGAUUAGUGGGACACUACUCAUUUGCUGAAGGAAAUAUAGGUUGCUGAUUUGCCUGUGCCUUCCUCGCUUGCAGUCGAUGCAUCGAUGUUCACCUUAUCAGAGCAAAGUGAAUCUUUCUUCGGAGUCUGAGGAACAGACAAAGAAGAAAGGUUUUGUUGUUGUUGAUACUUCUCUUGUUGGUUACUCUUUAGUUGAUCCUAGGGAUGCAGGGGACUCCGGCGAUGCAGAGUAGUUAUUUUUCUUUAUGUUCUGUCAGGCUAGAAUGGGAGCAUGUUCUAUUCAUUGAACACUUUGCCCCUGUCUAUGUUUUAAAUCAUUUUAACUUUUUUCUAAAGGUAUUAUUUCUUGUUCUUCAUAUUUUUCCAGCAAUGUGUCUGAUUUAACUAACUUUCCAAAGUAAGCUAACUUUGAAAUAAUAAGGAGCAAAGCGAAGCACAGUUGAGUUUGUGGACUCGGGAUAAAGCACGACACCCCCCCAUGAAUAUGUUGAUAAACAUCAUCUCCCAAACUCAGCCCUUGUAGGGGUACCUAUCGCGAUAUUCAAAUUACCACUUUACUCUGAUACCAGGUGUUGACACCCAUAGAGAACCCCUUGCCUUGUUUUUUCUCUUCGCAUUAGAUAUGAGAUAACGAUAUUUAUUUUAUCAGGAAUGUCCUUCCAUGCUCUUUCCAUUCUUAUUCCCUUUUUGGGGGCUCCUUUGACAGUGUAACUUUGAACGUUUUUAGACUUGCACUGCUGCAAGGUUUUCAAAGUUAGGGCCCUGUAUACAUUUAAGAUGAAUAUGCACUCUUUAUUCAUGAUCCAAGUAAAGUUGGUUUACAAGGGGGUGUAAUUGAAUUUGAGAAUAAUUGCCUACUAUCCCUACGAUGGAGAAUCAAAUCACUGGUGUAUUUCUAAAGAAAAUGAUAUGACAUAAAAUUUACAUCAGGGAUCACUUUUGACGAUAAGCUUAUGGUGGGGCAUUAGGAGAUGAGUUCUCCAUGGAAUUGUCUUCGCGCAAACAACGGCGUUGCAAUUGGGUCCGGAGAUAUCUGGGAAGAGAAUCAAACGGCAUGUAGUUUGUGUUACCUUUUACUUUUAUUCAAUCUUGACAUGACAACAGGGCAUCCAUUUCAGAGUGAUUGGUACUGGAUUUAUCACGACCCCUUCUAUUGCCUACAUUCGUCUUUCACAGAUGAAGUUUAUGUUGAGGGUCAGUUUCUUUGUAGGUCGUUGGUCUUCAUUAUUAGUGUGUUUAUCCGACUAAUCAUUUUCCCUGAGUUUGACUGAAUAUUCUUUCUUUGCCUUAUCCUUAAUGAAUUCCCAGCAGUGCCCUUGCUCCAGUAGUUUCUCGAUAUGAUCCUUCUAUGCUCAACAAUCUCUAGUGGCAUGGCAAGUACUUGUGGAAAGAGCAAUAUUCGCUUAGGAUUUCCUUAACCAUAUGUUCUAAGAGCAGUUUUGGGCAUCAGGGGAAGGGUUUAUCCUUUAUGCUGUGAAGGAUGUUAUUAAUGGUAAUAUUCAAAGUUGUAUAUUGUUUAGGUUUUGAUGGGACUUGCUUGUCUCUACACCUCCUCUCAUGACAUGUCACGGAGAAAGUGGGGAAGUGUAUAUGUCCAUCAUUCUAUCAGAUUUCCUAAAGUAGUCCGGCUAAAUAGCUGUCCUUUAACUCUUGUCAUCCCAGUGAUCAGAUCAUCUGCGACAUUGAAGCACUCAGCUUGAGUAGUGUAGUCCUAUUUCUUAUUGUUAAGCUUCUAGGAGAGAGGUGAGUAGACAUUGAAGCCUCACUUGAAUGCCAUAUUUGCGAGUUUGUUGUGUGGUUUUUCCACCUCAACCAACUCUGCUCAUAAGCGCUUUAAAUAGGCUCUUGAUCUGAAGGAGUAGCCUGUACAUAGCUUCAUGGUGUUUCUGAAUAUCGCGGUAUACAUAAUAAGUGUUCGUAAAUAAGUCGGCCGAGUUUCAAAGCAGUCUAUGGACCUGGCAAGUAAUUCUGAAGAACAUCUCAUAACAGGGUCACUCCAAGGUGGACAGGAACAUCUUGAACAUCCAGGCAUCAUUGUUGAUGUAUAACGCCAUGGCGUUUCUAUAAUGUAUGAUAUGGUAGUUAGGAUCAGAAUCCCCACAUAAUGACUUGAAAAUGGUCUCCUAAUUCGGACCAUCGACUUGCUCAGUGUGUGGAGCUGGAUGAGACUUGCAUGCUUAUCUUCGUUUAGAGAAUAUCAUUGUUCUUAGUUCCCAGGAACCUCGAGUUUGUCAAACAUUAAAUGGCGGGGUUUUGCUCUCUGUACUCUCGAGGUGCUUUGAGGAGGUUUUUGCGGAUUCUGGGUUAUUUCCCCUGUAUCUGGGCCUGGGAUCCAUUUAUUGUCAGAGGGAUUUCUUUUGGAGCCUGCAGCGUUUGCUGAUGCCUAAAUGAUUGGAAAUGUUAUAGGGUCGCCCUUCUUCUUCCAAAUCCAAAGACAGUAAUAUGGGUAGAAGGUGUUGUCCCUCUUGAGUUCUCUAGGUUCUUCAUCUGUUUUUCCAUGUCCUUAAAGUUAGAAUGGCAUUCAGCAUGAGCAUUGGUCUAGUUCUUCUGCAACUUUUCGACAAAAGUGCUAAUUUUUGUUAGAAUUUCCCAAAUUUGAUCCAUAGAAUGGGUAUGUUCUCUUACUGGGUCUCCUCCUUCUAUAAGGGUGGCCGUCAUUCCUUAGGGAUUGUUGCUAGCUCCAGGCGUUGCUGUAGUAGUUAGAGGCAACGAACUUCUUGCCCCAAGGAUAACUGAUGCAUUAUAGGGUAGUCUUUUUUCGCUAGACGGGUUGAUGUAGGCGUUGACUGAGCUUUCUUCAGCUGAUAUGUUUGUUGGGGAGUGGUGGUUGUUGGGGAAUGGUCUGGUCGAAAGGAAAAAUACGAGACUAUGUUAACAAGUAUGCCUCUCGCUUUGGAACUUAGGCCCGAUUAUAUAGUGGCUUGCAUUGACUCAAAAUGAAUGGUGAACCAAAUAAAUAAGGAGUUCCAGUAUCGAUGUAACACCCAAAAUGGGCAAAAUGGUAAAUUCCAUUUCCCUCUCUAAACAAAUUUGACUUAGCAAAGUUAGAGUUCCUUAUGAUUAGCAAAGUAGUACGAAAGUAUAGGGAUUUAAGUUUUACUUUGUACUUAAAUAGAAAAUAGGCCUUGUUGGUGUAGUGGUGAGUAGGCGUGGAAAGAAGAAUUAUGUCAAGGAUCAACCCUUUUCAAUAGUUUUUGAAUGUUCUUGUUUUUUUCUAGUUUAUUGUCAGGUAUGUCAUUGUUGGCUAAGACCAAUAGAAAGUUUGAUUAAUGUUAUUGUUAGAUUGUAAACUUGCCUCACAAGUAAACUGAGCUUCUAAUUAAGAGAUUGUGCCAUAAAAGGGUUAAAAUAUAUUUUAAGUUCCUUUCUAUGCUAUGUUAUGCAAAGGACUUCAAUUUUUUUUUUUUUUUUUUUGUGUGUUUUUGCAUGUCAAGUGAUAACCUCAAACUGAUUAGAUUUUGCUUCAACUCAGUUUGCAAUUCUCAUAUAAGUAUAACAACAGAAUGUAUGACAAACUAUAUGAAAAUGAAAAGACAUGAAGGAAAUAAAGUUAAACACUUAUCAAAUAUUCACCAACAAAGAGAUAACUUGAAAGGAAAUGAGAAAUACAAUCAAUCAGGCAAAGUUUAAACCUUUUCGGGCAAGUUCUAUUGCAGUCAGGUAAGUUCUUGCUAGUAACUAAAGUGCUUUCAAAUUAAGUUUUAAUACAAGGAAAUCGAUACUACAGGUAAUGUAGCAGAGCUUUUAAGCGUAAAUGCAAUUGCAAAUGCGUCAAAUUACAAAAGCAAUUUGUUUAAGGUAGGCUGCAGAACUUGAAAGUUUUUUUUGGUGUCGUGAGUUGAGUAUCAUUGCCUUCUGUCUUUCUACUACCUUAUAUAGAACAGGUUUUCCCUUUAGUUCAAGAAUCUUCCCUUCGAAGUAAUUCUAGCUCCUCCUAGUUGUUAAUGUGACUACUGAUAGGAGAUAAAAAUUUACAUUGCAAUUUGAGUUUUCAUUCCAUCAAAAUUAUCGAAAUGCCAUCAGAAAGUUGCCUUUCCUCUGUAAAAACCGACUGAGGUAACAGCCCAAUGUGAAAGAGGGUUUUACCGCCUACUAUGUUGCAUGUAAAGCGCUUUCAAAUUCUUAAGCUUUCGCAUUGUUCACUUCCAUCAAAAUAAAGACUCAUAUGUGCUUUGAUUUAAACAACGAGAUUAUGCCUUGAACAUGGCCAGUGUUAAUUUUAAGUCCAAACAACUCCUAUUCUGCUUCAAGGGCUUGCAUAUAUACAGCAAAAUGCUUACCUCAUGCAGCCUUGAUUAAUUAUUUUCUUUUUUUUUUUAACUUAAUUACGUGUUAGCCUAUACUAAUUAUUUAAAGUUUUGAAACAUGUUAUAGAAUUGUCAUUUAAACUAUAGUCUAGUGGUAUUCCUCUUCACUUGUAAGUGAGAGGUCUUAGGUUUGAUUCUCGCGAAAGGUGAAACUGAACCACAUUAUUGUUAGCCUAUUGUGAGACUAAUCUCACCCGCCCCCUUUAGUGUACAUAAUAUUAUUUGUUCAAAAACAAAACAAAAAACAUGUUAUAGAAUUAUUUAAUUCAGUCUUUCAGCACAUAAUGAUAAAUGCAAUAAAAACUUGUAACAACCAUGUGGCAUGAUUAAAAAGGAUUGUUAAACUUUUAUACACACAUUAACACGUACAUAAAUACUAGUUUAAAUUAAGAGAAAGACCGAAAAUAAUAAAACAUUCAAAGACUAACGACUAAAACACUCGUAUGAUACAAAACAUUGAAGCCACACCAUAAAAUAAUGUCCAAGUAAUUAUCCAUCCUUCUCAUGUCUUCUUUUUUUAAAUUUGGUUUAUUUUAUUCUUCUAUAUUAAAAAAUGCAUAGACUUAAACUUUUUCUAAGAUCCUCUAACUGACACAUGUUUGGCAUCAUUUAGAGUCCACAAUUUUUAUUUUAUUUUUUUUGUCAUUUCAUUGUUACACAUUAAUCAAGCUACCACUGUAUGGUUUAUUUUAUUUUGUUGAUAAAGUUAACAUGGCAAUUAAACAUUAAGGUUUAUCAUUUACUUUUUGGAGAGUUUAAAAUUUGAUCAUUGUUGUAAAUAAAUAUUAUUAUUUAUGUGGUUGUUGGAUUAAUAUGUUAUCUUCUUUGGUAAUCUUCUCGUUUUGGUUCUUUACUGAUGUAAAUAGGUAAGCUUCACUUCACCGAACGUUGGCCCCAUCCAAAGAAGUUUAAUGGGAAAUGAAAAACACUGAUUUCACCCAAUUUCUCUAUUGUUUUACCUCUUAUUAUUUUAUUGCCAAUUUCUCUAUUGUUUUAUCUCUUAUUAUUUUAUUGGAUCAAGUAUCUAAAACCCCUAAAUUUUUAGUGGCAUUUCAAAUUGGUCUCAAUACUUUUACAUAGUUCAAACAAGUACUCAAUCUAUAGAAAAUGUCACAUCCAUUAAGCCCAAUAAAAUUUUCAAAACAUAGAUUAUAUUCAAGACCCACCAACUUGGUAUCGUAUGGUCAACAUUAAUACUAGUUACCUCAAAAUCUAAAUUUUAAACAUAGAUUAUUCACUAAGGAACUGUUGACCGUAAAAACUACUAAGCCUACAUAGGUUGUAGGUAGAGUAACUAAUGAGCUAACUACGUCCUUCAGUUGAAUGUGGGACGUGCCAACUCGAUGACCAAGCUUGUUUGGUGAGUAAAUGAAUGUGGUGGUGGUGUUAAACAAGCUGCUAACUUCUCCGCCUUGUGAUUGCGGCUGAGGAAGGAACUUGUCUCGGCCUUAGGUUCUAGACCAUGAAGACAAGGUUGCUAGUUUCUUCGAAGUUCACGAAUCAUCGGCGCCGGACUUGGUUUCUAUAAUUAUAUUUGUGCAAAUAUAUGUAUGUCAAACCAGUACUAGACUGUACAGACACAAAUACUCAAAAGAAAUGAGUAUCUUGAUUGUAAAUGUGGUUUGGUUGUUUGAAUUCCAAACUCUGAAAUGUACCUGCAAAUAUCCAAUCAUAAAAUACAUCUUUCGAUGUGCCAAACAAUGUAACAUAGUAACACCUCACUUCUCCAAGAAGGCGAAUGAAGUGACCUAUUCCAAUAACCACUCAAAGACUUCUUACUGGUCGAGACUUAGAUAAUCAGCCGAUCUCGAAACAGUACUAUUAAGACUAACUAAAGGUGUUUCUCGAUCGAAUAAUUAUACGGCUCCAGUAUUCUACGACUAGGGUAGAAUCCAAUUUCGAUUCAAACUGUGAAUUGGUCCGUGCAGAUGACCAAAAUAUUAUGCAGCUUUAUCCAAAGACUUUUCAAGAUAAUGCCAUGAGUAAUCCUUAUUGCAUCAUUAUCUGACUCUGAAAUGCAAGAGUAUAAUAUAGAAUGGUCUUAAAAAGAAAAAAUAAUAAAAUAUUCUAUUAUAAGAAUAUAAUAUAGUUUUGUAUUAAAACAGAACAAAUAAUAAAAUAUUAUCUGAAUAAUUUGUAUAAUAUAUUUAUUAGUAGACAAUGGGUAAUUAUUGUGUAUGUUUUUUUAUUAUGAGGUUGGUGGACUUUCACACAAAACAAAGCAUUUUUUCCACUUUCCCAAUUUUCCCUGCUGCCUAAUCUCUAUCUGUUACCUCAACUUCUCCAUCUCUAACUUUAUAACCCUCUAUCUUCUUCUCUUCUAAAAAUCAACAAAUCAAAACAACUCCCUCUAACCCUCCAUCUCUCCUCCGCACAUCUCCCUCAAUCACUCCCUCUAAGCCACCACAACAAUUCUCCGUUUUAUUGAACGUUUUGCUCAAAAUCGCCACGGAAGCCCAGCGCUAAAUGCCUAGGCCGAUUUUUAGAACACUAGUUGCAAUAUCAUCACCAUCAUUCAAAAAGCCCAUGUGUUCCUUUUGUAGCAACCUGAUACAGUCCCAUUUUAGCUCCACAUCUUGUAGGCAAUCCAUAUGUUUCGUAGAUGUUAUAAUGCAUGCAAUAGCUUUAUCCCAUUUAAGUAAGAAUAAAACUUAGCUACUUAAAAAUGAGCAGGAGUUCCAGCUCUCACCUAAUUACAAUUUGACAAGUGUUCAAAAAAUUUGAAAAGUUUCCAAGACAUUUGCGACACCUACUGAACAUGAUGUCGGAUUUAAUGUCACUUAUAAGCGUCAUAAACUAUCUAUGUCACUUUUAACCAACGUAAACAUUUAAUGUUGCAUAUAGCCAACACACAUUUUAUAAAUUUUUAAAUAAUGGUGUCACUUUAGAAAAAAAAUAGUGCCACUUUUAAGCGACAUAAAGUAUUGGUGUCGCUUCUAACCAACACUAAUUAUUGUUUUUAAAUAUUUUAAAGCCUGCGUCGAUUCUGAGUGACAUAGAUUUUAGUUUUUUUUAAUAUUUUGAAACCCGGUGUCGGUUGUAAGCGAUAGAUUGAUGGUCUUUAUAUACUAUCCCCUGUGUUUUCUUCUUCCUCUCUUGCAUCUUUCUUAAGGAAGAGUUUAUGAGGUGGCACGCAACUAGGCCUGGCAAACGGGUCAUGUCUGUCGUUUUCGUGUAACACCUGUUAUCUUAACGGGUCGUGUCGUGUCUCAUCCAUUAUCUUAACGAGUCCUUAACAGGCAACCCGUUAUGACCCGUUAAGAAAAAUAUUUUUUUUUCUUAAAUUUGCACAUACCACACAUUACCACAUAAAUAUUACUCCCAAACAUUAAAACACAUUUGUCGUUUAAGUACUACAUCUACACUCGAAAAUAAGAGACAAAUAAACAAGCAUCCAUACACUACUACUCUAUUACAAAAUGUUAAAUGUGCAAGGAUAUGCAAAAUGAAAGAGUUUUUGUUUUCAAGGUUGUGAAGCCUUUCUCAAAAGUUUAAACCUUGCCAAUAGAACUCAAAGCUUGCAUGUUAUUCCUUCUACGAAAUCCUCAAUUUUCAUCGAUCAUCAUGACAUAAGAUUUUGUGGUAUCCACUUCUGUAAAUACUUUAAAUUGACAAUCGAAUCAGUUCAUCGUAUUCAUAUAGGAUCCAGGAGUGUAGCUGUAAAAAAAAUCAUCAAAAUCGGAGUUAAAAUAACCGUUAAAUCGUAAUUUUUCGCUUAUAACCGUCGAAAAGUUUUGUCCCGUUACUUGAUCUCUGAAUGUUUGUUUUUUGUGAUUUUUGGCAUAUGCGAUCUCGAAGCAUAUAUAAACAAGUUUGAUGGUUGGAUCGUUCAAAUUAGUUUCGUAUGAUGCGUAUCCCAUCAAAACGAUAGAUUCACUAACACUUAGAGUUUAAUUAUACUUACAUUAAGUAUAUUAUACGAUUUUGUGGUAUCCACUAAUGUAAAUAUUCUAAAUUGAAGAUCAAAUUCAUUCAUUGUAUUCAUAUAGAGUCAAGGACUAUAGCUGUAAAAAAUCAUCAAAAUCGGAGUUAAAAUAACCGUUAAAUCGUGAUUUUUCGUUUAUAACCGUUGAAAAGUUUUGUCCCUUUACUUGAUCUAUGAAUGUUUAUUUUUUGCGAUUUUUGGGGUAUGUGAUCUCGAAGCAUAUAUAAACAAGUUUGACAGUUGCAUUGUUAAAAUUAAUUUCGUAGAAUGCAUAUCCUAUCAAAACUUUAGAUUCACUAACACUUAAAGUUUAUUUCUACUUUCACUAAGCAUACCAUAAGAUUUUGUGGUAUCCACUAGUGUAAAUAUUUUAAAUUAAAGAUUGAAUUCAUUCAUCGUAUUCAUAUAGGAUCAAGGAGUGUAACUGUAAAAAAUCAUCAAAAUCGGAGUUAAAAUAACCGUUAAAUCGUAAUUUUUCGUUUAUAACAGUUGAAAAAUUUUGUCCCGUUACUUGAUCUCUGAAUGUUUGUUUUUUCCGAUUUUCGGUGUAUGCGAUCUCAAAGCAUAUAUAAACAAGUAUGACGGUUGGAUCGUCAAAAUUAGUUUCGUAGAAUGCGUAUCACAUCAAAACGAUAGAUUUACUAACACAUAGAGCUUAUUUAUACUUUCAUUAAGUCUAACAUAAGAUUUUGUGGUAUCUACUAGUGUAAAUAUUUUAAAUUGAAGAUCGAAUUCAUUAAUUGUAUUCAUAUAGGGUCAAGGAGUGUAGCUGUAAAAAAUCAUCAACAUCGGAGUUAAAAUAACCAUUAAAUCAUAAUUUUUCGCUUAUAACCGUUAAAAAGUUUUGUCCCGUUACUUGAUCUCUGAAUGUUUAUUUUUUUGCAAUUUUUGGCAUAUGCAAUCUCGAAGCAUAUAUAAACAAGUUUGACGGUUGGAUCGUUGAAAUUACUUUCGUAGAAUGCGUAUCCCAUAAAAACGAUAGAUUCACAAACACUUAUAAUUUAUUUAUACUUUCAUUAGGUAAAACAUAAGAUUUUGUGGUAUCCACUAGUGUAAAUAUUUUAAAUUGAAGAUCGAAUUCAUUAAUUGUAUUCAUAUAGGGUCAAGGAGUGUAGCUAUAAAAAAUCACAACAUCGGAGUUAAAAUAACCAUUAAAUCAUGAGUUUUCGUUAAUAACCAUUUGAAAAGUUUUGUAUCGUUACUUGAGUUUUUGACAUAUGCAAUCUCGAAGCAUAUAUAAACAAGUUUGACAGUUGCAUCGUUAAAAUUAGUUUCGUAGAAUGGAUAUCCCAUAAAAACGUUAGAUUUACAAACACUUAAAGUUUCUUACUACUUUCGUUAAGCAUACUAUAAGAUUUUGUGGUAUCUACUAUUGUAAAUAUUUUAAAUUGAAGAUUGAAUUCAUUCAUUGUAUUCAUAUAGGGUCAAGGGGUGUAACUGUAAAAAAUCAAUAAAAUCGGAGUUAAAAAAACCGUUAAAUCAUGAGUUUUCGUUAAUGAAAAGUUUUGUAUUGUUACUUGAUCUCUGAAUGUUUGUUUUUUCUGAUUUUUUGGCAUAUGAGAUCUUGUAGCAUAUAUAAAUAAGUUUGAAGGUUGGAUCGUUCAAAUUAGUUUCAUAUGAUACGUAUCCUAUCAAAACGAUAGAUUCAGUAACAUUUAGAGUUUAAUUAUACUUUCAUUAAGUAUAUCAUAAGAUUUUGUGGUAUCCAGUAGUGUAAAUAUUUUAAAUUAAAGAUCGCAUUCAUUCAUUGUAUUCAUAUAGGGUCAAUGAGUGUAGCUGUAAAAAAUCAUCAUAAUCGGUGUUAAAAUAGCCAUUAAAUCGUGAUUUUUCGUUUAUAACCGUCGAAAAGUUUUGUCCCUUUACUUGAUCAAUGAAUGUUUGUUUUUUGCGAUUUUUGGGGUACAUGAUCUCGAAACAUAUAUAAACAAGUUUGAUGGUUGCAUCGUUAAAAUUAGUUUCAUAGAAUGCAUAUCCCAUCAAAACGUUAGAUUCACUAACACUUAAAGUUUAUUUCUACUUUCAUUAAGCAUACCAUAAGAUUUUGUGGUAUCCACUUGUGUAAAUAUUUUAAAUUGAAUAUUUAAUUCAUUCAUUGUAUUCAUAUAGGGUCAAGGGGUGUAACUGUAAAAAAUCAUCAAAAUCGGAGUUAAAAUAACCGUUAAAUUGUAAUUUUACGUUUAUAACCGUCGAUUUUUUUUGUCUCGUUACUUGAUCUCUGAAUGUUUGUUUUUUGCGAUUUUUAGCAUAUGCGAUCUCGAAGCAUAUAUAAACAAGUUUGAUGGUUGGAUCGUUCCAAUUAGUUUCGUAGAAUGUGUAUCCCAUCAAAACGAUAAAUUCAUUAACACUUAGAGUUUAUUUAUACUUUCAUUAAGUAUACCAUAAGAUUUUGUUGUAUCCACUAGUGUAAAUAUUUUAAAUUGAAUAUCGAAUUCAUUAAUUGUAUUCAUAUAGGGUCAAGGAGUGUAGCUGUAAAAAAUCAUCAACAUCGAAGUUAAAAUAACCGUUAAAUCGUAAUUUUUCACUUAUAACCGUUGAAAAGUUUUGUCCCGUUACUUGAUCUCUGAAUGUUUGUUUUUUGAGAUUUUUGUCAUGUGCAAUAUCGAAGCAUAGAUAAACAAGUUUGACGGUUGGAUUGUUGAAAUUAGUUUCGUAGAAUGCGUAUCCCAUCAAAACGAUAGAUUCACUAACAUUUAGAAUUUAUUUAUACUUUCAUUAAAUAAAACAUAAGAUUUUGUGGUAUCAACUAGUGUAAAUAUUUUAAAUUGAAGAUCAAAUUCAUUAAUUGUAUUCAUAUAGGGUCAAGUUGUGUAGCUGUAAAAAAUCAUCAACAUCGGAGUUAAAAUAACCGUCAAAUCGUGAGUUUUCGUUAAUAACCGUCGAAAAGUUUUGUAUUGUUACUUGAUCUCUGAAUGUUUGUUUUUUGUGUGAGAUCUUGUAGCAUAUAUAAACAAGUCUGACGGUUGGAUCGUUCAAAUUAGCUUCGUAUGAUGCGUAUCCCAUCAAAACGAUAGAUUCACUAACACUUAGAGUUUAAUUAUACUUUCAUUAAGUAUAUCAUAAGAUUUUGUGGUAUCCACUAGUGUAAAUAUUUUAAAUUGAAGAUCGCAUUCAUUCAUUGUAUUCAUAUAGGGUCAAGGAGUGUAGAUGUAAAAAAUCAUCAAAAUCGGAGUUAAAAUAGCCGUUAAAUCGUGAUUUUUCGUUUAUAACCGUAUAAAAGUUUUGUCCCUUUACUUGAUCUAUGAAUGUUUGAUUUUUGCGAUUUUUGGGGUAUGUGAUCUCGAAGCAUAUAUAAACAAGUUUGACAGUUGCAUCAUUAAAAUUAGUUUCGUAGAAUGCAUAUCCCAUAAAAACGUUAGAUUUACUAACACUUAAAGUUUCUUACUACUUUCGUUAAGCAUACUAUAAGAUUUUGUGGUAUCUACUAGUGUAAAUAUUUUAAAUUGAAGAUUGAAUUCAUUCAUUAUAUUCAUAUAGGGUCAAGGGGUGUAACUGUAAAAAAUCAAUAAAAUCGGAGUUAAAAAAAACCGUUAAAUCAUGAGUUUUCGUUAAUGAAAAGUUUUGUAUUGUUACUUGAUCUCUGAAUGUUUUUUUUUUCUGAUUUUUUGGCGUAUGAGAUCUUGUAGCAUAUAUAAAUAAGUUUGAAGGUUGGAUCGUUCAAAUUAGUUUCGUAUGAUACGUAUCCCAUCAAAACGAUAGAUUCAGUAACAUUUAGAGUUUAAUUAUACUUUCAUUAAGUAUAUCAUAAGAUUUUGUGGUAUCCAGUAGUGUAAAUAUUUUAAAUUAAAGAUCUCAUUCAUUCAUUGUAUUCAUAUAGGGUCAAUGAGUGUAGUUGUAAAAAAUCAUCAUAAUCGGUGUUAAAAUAGCCGUUAAAUCGUGAUUUUUCGUUUAUAACCGUCAAAAAGUUUUGUCCCUUUACUUGAUCAAUGAAUAUUUGAUUUUUGCGAUUUUCGGGGUAUGUGAUCUCGAAGCAUAUAUAAACAAGUUUGAUGGUUGCAUCGUUAAAAUUAAUUUCAUAGAAUGCAUAUCCCAUCAAAACGUUAGAUUCAUUAACACUUAAAGUUUAUUUCUACUUUCAUUAAGCAUACUAUAAGAUUUUGUGGUAUCCACUAGUGUAAAUAUUUUAAAUUGAAGAUUGAAUUCAUUCAUUGUAUUCAUAUAGAGUCAAGGGGUGUUACUGUAAAAAAUCAUUAAAAUCGGAGUUGAAAUAACUGUUAAAUCGUAAUUUUUCGUUUAUAACCGUUGAACAAUUUUGUCUCGUUACUUGAUCUCUGAAUGUUUGUUUUUUGCGAUUUUUGGCAUAUGCGAUCUCGAAGCAUAUAUAAACAAGUUUGACGGUUGGAUCGUUAAAAUUAGUUUCGUAGAUUGCGUAUCCUAUCAAAACGAUAGAUUCACUAACACUCGGAGUUUAUUUAUACUUUAAUUAAGUAUAACAUAAGAUUUUGUUGUAUCCAUUAAAGUAAAUAUUUUAAAUUGAAGAUCGAAUUCAUUAAUUGUAUUCAUAUAGGGUCAAGGAGUGUAGCUGUAAAAAAUCACAACAUCGGAGUUAAAAUAACCAUUAAAUCAUGAGUUUUCGUUCAUAACCAUUUGAAAAGUUUUGUAUCGUUACUUGAGUUUUUGACAUAUGCAAUCUCAAAGCAUAUAUAAACAAGUUUGACAGUUGCAUCGUUAAAAUUAGUUUCGUAGAAUGCAUAUCCCAUAAAAACGUUAGAUUUACAAACACUUAAAGUUUCUUACUACUUUCGUUAAGCAUACUAUAAGAUUUUGUGGUAUCUACUAUUGUAAAUAUUUUAAAUUGAAGAUUGAAUUCAUUCAUUGUAUUCAUAUAGGGUCAAGGGGUGUAACUGUAAAAAAUCAAUAAAAUCGGAGUUAAAAAAACCGUUAAAUCAUGAGUUUUCGUUAAUGAAAAGUUUUGUAUUGUUACUUGAUCUUUGAGUGUUUGUUUUUUCUGAUUUUUUGGCAUAUGAGAUCUUGUAGCAUAUAUAAAUAAGUUUGAAGGUUGGAUCGUUCAAAUUAGUUUCAUAUGAUACGUAUCCUAUCAAAACGAUAGAUUCAGUAACAUUUAGAGUUUAAUUAUACUUUCAUUAAGUAUAUCAUAAGAUUUUGUAGUAUCCAGUAGUGUAAAUAUUUUAAAUUAAAGAUCUCAUUCAUUCAUUGUAUUCAUAUAGGGUCAAUGAGUGUAGUUGUAAAAAAUCAUCAUAAUCGGUGUUAAAAUAGCCGUUAAAUCGUGAUUUUUCGUUUAUAACCGUCAAAAAGUUUUGUCCCUUUACUUGAUCAAUGAAUAUUUGAUUUUUGCGAUUUUCGGGGUAUGUGAUCUCGAAGCAUAUAUAAACAAGUUUGAUGGUUGCAUCGUUAAAAUUAAUUUCAUAGAAUGCAUAUCCCAUCAAAACGUUAGAUUCAUUAACACUUAAAGUUUAUUUCUACUUUCAUUAAGCAUACUAUAAGAUUUUGUGGUAUCCACUAGUGUAAAUAUUUUAAAUUGAAGAUUGAAUUCAUUCAUUGUAUUCAUAUAGAGUCAAGGGGUGUUACUGUAAAAAAUCAUUAAAAUCGGAGUUGAAAUAACUGUUAAAUCGUAAUUUUUUGUUUAUAACCGUUGAACAAUUUUGUCUCGUUACUUGAUCUCUGAAUGUUUGUUUUUUGCGAUUUUUGGCAUAUGCGAUCUCGAAGCAUAUAUAAACAAGUUUGACGGUUGGAUCGUUAAAAUUAGUUUCGUAGAUUGCGUAUCCUAUCAAAACGAUAGAUUCACUAACACUCGGAGUUUAUUUAUACUUUAAUUAAGUAUAACAUAAGAUUUUGUUGUAUCCAUUAAAGUAAAUAUUUUAAAUUUAAGAUCGAAUUCAUUAAUUGUUUUCAUAUAGGGUCAAGGAGUGUAGUUGUAAAAAAUCAUCAACAUCGGAGUUAAAAUAGCCGUUAAAUCGUAAUUUUUCGCUUAUAACCGUUGAAAAGUUUUGUCCCGUUACUUGAUCUUUGAGUGUUUGUUUUUUGAGAUUUUUGGCAUAUGCGAUCUCGAAGCAUAUAUAAAUAAGUUUGACGGUUGGAUCGUUGAAUGCAUAUCCUAUCAAAACGAUAGAUUCACUAUCACUUAGAAUUUAUUUAUACUUUCAUUAAAUAAAACAUAAGAUUUUGUGGUAUCCUCUAGUGUAAAUAUUUUAAAUUGAAGAUCGAAUUCAUUAAUUGUUUUCAUAUAGGGUCAAGGAGUGUAGCUGUAAAAAAUCAUCAACAUCAGAGUUAAAAUAACCGUUAAAUCGUAAUUUUUCGCUUAUAACCGUUGAAAAGUUUUGUCCCGUUACUUGAUCUUUGAGUGUUUGUUUUUUGAGAUUUUUGGCAUAUGCGAUCUCGAAGCAUAUAUAAACAAGUUUGACGGUUGGAUCGUUGAAUGCGUAUCCUAUCAAAACGAUAGAUUCACUAUCACUUAGAAUUUAUUUAUACUUUCAUUAAAUAAAACAUAAGAUUUUGUGGUAUCCUCUAGUGUAAAUAUUUUAAAUUGAAGAUCGAAUUCAUUAAUUGUAUUCAUAUAGGGUCAAGGAGUGUAGCUGUAAAAAAUCAUCAACAUCGGAGUUAAAUAAACCGUUAAAUCGUGACUUUUUGUUUAUAACCGUCGAAAAGUUUUGUCUCGGUACUUGAUCUCUGAAUUGUUGUUUUUUUACGAUUUUUGGCGUAUGAGAUCUUGAAGCAUAUAUAAACAAGUUUGACGGUUGAAUCAUUCAAAUUAGUUUCGUAUGAUGCGUAUCCCAUCAAAACGAUAGAUUCACUAACACUUAGAGUUUAUUUAUACUUUCAUUAAGUAUAACAUAAGAUUUUGUGGUAUCCACUUGUGUAAAUAUUUUAAAUUGUAGAUCAAAUUUAUUCAUUGUAUUCAUAUAGGGUUAAAGAGUGUAGCUGUAAAAAAUCAUCAAAAUUGGAGUUAAAAUAACGGUUAAAUCGUGAUUUUUCAUUUGUAACCGUCGAAACGUUUUGUCCCGUUACUUGAUCUCUAAAUGUUUGUUGUUUGCGAUUUUUGGGGUAUGUUAUCUCGAAGCAUAUAUAAACAAUUUUGAUGGUUGGAUCGUUAAAAUUAGUUUCGUAGAAUGCAUAUCCCAUCAAAACGUUAAUUUCACUAACAUCAAAGUUUAUUGAUACUUUCAUUAAGUAUAACAUAAGAUUUUGUGGUAUCCACUAGUGUAAAUAUUUUAAAUUGAAGAUUGAAUUCAUUCAUUGUAUUCAUAUAGGGUCAAGGAGUGUAACUGUAAAAAAUCAUCAAAAUCGGAGUUAAAAUAGCCGUUAAAUCGUAAUUUUUCGUUUAUAACCGUCGAAAAUUUUUGUCCUGUUACUUGAUCUUUGAAUGUUUGUUUUUUGCGAAUUUUGGCAUAUGCGAUCUCGAAGCAUAUAUAAACAAGUUUGACGGUUGGAUCGUUAAAAUUAGUUUCGUAGAAUGCGUAUCCCAUCAAAACGAUAGAUUCACUGACACUUAGAGUUUAUUUAUACUUUCAUAAAGUAUAACAUAAGAUUUUGUGGUAUCCACUAGUGUAAAUAUUUUAAAUUGAAGAACGAAUUCAUUCAUUGUAUUAAUAUAAUGUCGUAUCCCGGCCCAGGCCCCUACCACAUCAGGGCUCGACUCUGUCGUAGCACGAUAUUGUCUGCUUUGGGCCUCGACCACACCCUCACUGUUUUGUUUCUGGGAACUAACAUGAAAACUUCCCAAUGGGUCACCCAUGAUGGGAUUGCCCUCCCGAGAACUUACUUAACUUCAGAGUUCCGAUGGAACAGGAAGCCAGUGAACCCCCAAAAGGCUUCGUGCUAGUUAGAGAUGAGAAUAUACAUAUGAGGCUUACAUGAUCCACUCCCCUGGGCGAUGUGGGAUGUUACAUAUAGGGUCAAGGAGUGUAGCUGUAAAAAUGUUGGAAAUGUGCCCUAAAACCAAUCAUAUGAUGAUACUUUACGGACAUUUCACAUGUUAAACUAAUCUAGUUUAAUAUCAAGGGCAAAGAUUAUUGUUUAAGCCAUCUCAUAUAAAUGUUAUAUGUUUAAACGAUAAGUCCAAGGAAUAUGUAAUUAGGAGAAUGUAAUUUAAACAAGUUAGAUUCAUGAGACCAUUCUCUUUCGUAUACAUAUCCUAAACGUUCCUGAUCAUAGGAUUACCAAUUGGACAUUGACAAUCCGUUAAGAUCAGUACAUGCUAUGUCUUCUCUUAUAGAGAGUGACUAGUCUCGAGUCAUUGGUGUGAUUGACACCAAGACAAGCAUGUAGGUGCUCAAUAGCGAAUGAGUUCACUGAACACGAUCAACGAGGAGUUCUCAUACUCAUGUCACAUGAGAACUCAUGGUUGGGAUUAUGCAAAGUAAUCCUUUGACCUGAGGCAUCAUAGUUGUCUUGUGGUUAGGUCCUUGAUCUUUGACUAUGUCAAAGUCACCCCGUCAGAGGGUGUCCACGGCAUAGUUGGGGUUAAGCCAUUUAGCCAUGGAGGCAAGUAAAUGCGCAAUAAGGGAUCUCUAACCUUCAAACCUUUUGAGGGAGAAUACUCUAUGAUAUGAUUAAGAAUCUCUGGCCAGAGUAUGAAUGAGAUUUAGGAAGUCGUUCCAAAUCACAUUCAAGGUAAUCAUAUGAGUAAAUGAAUCACAUUGGAUAGUAGACAUGAAUAAACUAUCAAACCAAACAAUGUGGUCAAGAGUAUUGUAUUAGAGAAAGACCGUAUUGCAUUGUAAUCCUAAACUGAAUAGGUUCUCCACCUCUUCUGAUUAGCUUGGGUAACCUGACAUACUGCUAGGUGUCACUCAUGGUUUGUGGAAGCCCUAAACGUGUAUAAUCACUAAAGGGAGAAUUGAAAGUAAGUUUCAAUUCAUAAUCGAUUUGAAAGAGUUCUAAUCGCCCACUACCUCGCUAAAAUGAACCUAAUAGAUCGUACACCGUGUAAGGUAGAGAUUGAAGAAACAAAGGAGAUGAGUAAGAAUAAUUAAAUGGUUUAAUUAUUUAUGGCAAGGAUUAAUUAAUAUGUUAAUUAAUCAAACGAAUAAGUUCGUUAAAGACCUCGGGAUAGUAUUGGACCUUAAGGCCCAAUGGGCUUUGAACGUCAAAUCCAUUGACUUAAGUUGUAUGACAACUUAAUGAAUAAUGAUUCACAAAGGCCCAAAUAGCCCAAUAAUACCCUAAGGUCGGCCAUUUAGAGGAAGGGUAGUGAACUUGCUUUAAUUAUAAGUUUGCCACUCCAAUGAAUAAAGGUAUAAAUAUGACUUUAUAGCCAAAAUUCAUUUAGGAUUUUUUGAGAAAAUUGGAGACAACACAAAGCUCUCCUUUCUCUCUAAAGAGGCCGGCCACCCUUGGAGGGAUUAGCUAGUAAUCUUUCUCUUCCAAGGUCACUCAUCUCUUCUUCACAUCUUACCUUGGUGUGGAGACUUAGAGGUUCUCUAUUUUGAGAACUUGGAGAAACAUAUUCUUCCAUCCAAAUCCAUGGAUCUAAGAAGCAAGGAAUGAAGGCCCUCUCCUUGGGUGAUUAGCCUUUGCUUAUGCAAAGAGGAAUCUACAAAGGUAUAAAUUUCUCAACUCACUUUGAUUUGAGUUGAGUCUUGGUUCACCAAUCUACUAGGCUUUGAAUUUCAUGGGUAAUGUUUUGUUUUUGAGUGCAUACAAGCAUGAUUCCGCCUUUAAUUGUUAAUUGCAUGCUAAUAGAUGUUGCUUAAAUGAACAUGUUUUUCACAAAAUUUCAUUCAAAAAAAUCAUCAAAAUCGAAUUUAAAAUAAUCGUUAAAUUAUAAUUUUUAUUUUAUAACCGUCGAAAUGUUUUGUCCCGUUAUUUUAUCUCUGAAUGUUUGUUUUUUGAGAUUUUUGGCGUAUGCAAUCUCAAAGCAUUUAUAAACAAGUUUGACGGUUGGAUCGUUGAAAUUAGUUUCGUAGAAUGCGUAUCUCAUCAAAACGAUAAAUUCACUAGCACUUAGAGUUUAUUUAUACCUUCAUUAAGUAUAACAUAAGAUUUGUGGUAUCCACUAGUGUAAAUAUUUUAAAUUGAAGAUCGAAUUCAUUCAUUGUAUUCAUCAAGUUUGACGGUUGGAUCGUUGAAAUUAGUUUCGUAGAAUUUGUAUCCCAUCAAGUUCAAUGGUGUAUAUAUAUAUAUAUAUAUAUAUAUAUAUAUAUAUAUAUAUAUUUAUAUAUAUAUAUAUAUAUUUAUAUUUAUUAAGGAGAUUUAAAUUUAUUUAUUUUGUACGUAUAGCACUUAAGAAAUUGAAUGGAAUGUAUAUUUAAGUCGAUCCAAUGGUCACCAAUUUUUAAAAUUUAAUUUAAUAAAUAUAUAUAUAUAUAUAUAAUUAUUAUAGUUUUUAGGGGUAUAAAAUUGUUAAAUUAAUAUAUACAACUAUUAUAGUAUUUUUUAGGGUUAUAAAAUUAUAAAAUUAAUAUUUUGGAUGAUCGAAUUCUUGAUAAUGAAAAUUUCCAUACAAGGGUUGGCGUGGAAGAGACUCCUUUUCUUGAAUCAUUACUGUUACCUACUGAGUUCGUUAAUCAUGCAAAUGCCGAGGACGAGUAGACCCGGUAAUUUCUGACACAACACGAUGACACGAUACGAAAACGACACGAAAAUAACGGGUUUUGGGUCAACACGAUAACUUAUCGGGUCAUUAUCGGGUGACCCGUUAAGAACCCGUUAAUAACGGGUUCUUAACGGGUAUACACGCGGGUAACACGUGGGUAACCCGUUUCGACCCGUUAAGAAAAACUUUACUUUGAUAAUUUUUGUUUAAUUACUAAAAGUUUUAUUAUAAAAUACAAUAGCCAUAUUAAUAUAUAAAAUAUAUUCUAUAUUAAAUAUAUAGUUUUGUAUUAUUAUUCUAUAUAAAUUAAAAAAAAAAAGUUGUUGUCAUUAUUUAUUUUUAUUGUGAGAGUUCCUUAUUAUCAUUACUAGGAUAAAUUUUACUUAACAUGUUGUUGUCCAAAAUUAAAAUAAACUAAUAUUGUAUUUAUAUAGGCAAGAACUAAGAAGACAUAAAUACACAUAUGAAAAAUGUGAAAGAAUAUAUAAACACUCGUGAUUCAUCAUUAUUCCUCCACGAGUAGAUAAUGGUUACACUUACAUUAUCGUUUAGAUUUUUAAAAUCGUCUAAACCUUCGUGAAUAAUGUUUUUUAUUUGAGGGCAAAAUUAAUAAUAAUUAUUGUAGAGUGUAAAAAAUGUAAAAAAAAAAAUAUACAAUCACUCAUAGUGACAAACUUUACAACUUUCAUGAAGAGGUCAGCUUCGAAAUCCAACACUAUAAUUCAUAAACCUUAAAUUUAUAUUUAACCGUCGAUUACCAUUUACGCUUUAUUCUUCUUACUGAAUUUCAUUUUUAAAUUUUCUUUUUUGAAAACAUGAUCAUCUGGCGGAUGCAAGAAGAUGAACGGUUCAGAUCUUUGAUAUCAAGUUUUGAUAUUUACAGUUAACUGGAAUAUGAGUCGAUGUCAUAUAGUUUGUAGAAACUUUAUAAACAUCAAGCAAUAUUUUCACUAACCGUAAAAUUCUGAAUAUAAUAUCAACGAUCCAAACCGUUCACCUUCCUACAUCCUCUAAUAGAUCAAGUUUUCAAAAAACAAAAUUUGAAAAAACAAAAUUUGAUGAGAACAAUGAAGCGUAAAUAUAAACAAUAAUCAACGGUUAAAUUUUGAUCUAUGAUUUAUAUGAUUAUAGUGGUGAAUUUCGAAGUUAAGCUCUUCAUGAAGUUGUAAAGCUUGUCAUUACGAGCGUUUAUAUAUUUUUUCUAUAUUUUUUUACACUUCUACAUUAAUUAAAAAACUAUUAAAGACUUUAGAUAAGUGAAAAUAUACUUAAAAGAAAAAUGCGUUUUUAUGUUUUGGAUGUGACAAUAUGGUAUGUAUAUACUUAUUUAGUAUUAUGUUUUUCAUUUGAUUAUUUAUGGGUUUAAAAUAUAUUUUCCUUAAUGGGUAACGGGUCGGGUCAAAUUACUUGUUAAUAUUAUCGGGUCGAUUUAGGGUUUGGUUAUUUUACCCAUUUAUUUUAACGGGUGUUACACGACACGACCCGUUAAGAUAUCGGGUAUGACACAAAAACGAUACGAACACGGAAAACACGACACGAAUGCCAGGUCUAACGACGAGCUAACAGAUGAUGACAGGGAAUAAAUAUAUUAAUUAUUUUAUGUAUUAAUUAAACUCCGCCUAUGUCUUACAUGGCCGGUCCCAAGCCCGGAUAAAGGAGGAGGGGGAGGGCGUCAGGUAGUCGACAGCCGGCACUCCAUGAUCACGUCGAAUCCUUAUGAAAAAUGUAUUAAUUAGACUAUGUUUCAAUUCGUGUGUGAUGAUAUCUUAUCAUAAAAUUAUAUUUAUGUUUUUUUAUUAAGUAUUAUAUAUAAAUUAAAUUUUAUUUAUUAAAAUUGUUGAUGCACAAAAUCAGAGGGGUCUUGGAACAACGUAAAUCCGACCGUGAAUCUGCAAGAAAGUAAAUAACAUAAGAUGUAUCGUGGUUCCCCCCAAUGUUUGGGUUACGUCCACACUAACAUUGUAUUUAUCUGUUUGUGAGAGGAUUGGGAGCGUGAGAGCCUCUGUAUAUGAGGAUCAGAGCUUUGUAAUGUGAGAGUGAAGCUUUUCUGAGGGUGAGAGAGCUUUGCUCUAAAUCUCAUAGCCCUCCUAUUGUGAAGGUGAGGAGGCCAUUUUAUAGACUAAGGGCUCCUCCCAUUUUUACAUAUUUGCCCCUUCAUUUAUUACAUAUUUACAUUUGAGUCCCCCAAGUAUUUAUACGAGAUCUAAAUACUGAGGCCCUAAGUAUGGUACAAACAGUAAUCUCCCAAGUCUUCAGUCAAGAGAGUCUUUUGCUGGAGACUUGAAAUUCAGUCCAUGUGUGGGCCGAAGUAACUAGAUGUCAUCUUGAACCGAUACUUGAUAUGAGGUGGUGCUCAAAGUGAAAUAAUGCUCAACUAGAAGUAGCACAUGUUGCGAGGCUGCUCGGUUCGUUGCUUAUGUUGCCUUGGUUGGCUCGGCUUAUGGUGUUGAAGAUAAGGGAGUCCAUUUUAUAGAAUAAAGGCUCGCUCCUCAAUACAUAAAUGAUGGGCUAGAGUUGAUGGUCGCGGCGAGGUGGUUGCUCAAUAGGUGACAAUGCUAUCUAAUGAUGGUGAGGGAGUCCCUUUUAUAGAAUAAGGGCUCGUUCCUCAAUACACAAAUGAUGGGCUAAAGUUGAUGUUCGCGGUGAGGCGGUUGCUCAGUAGGCGGCGAUGCUCUCUAAUGAUGGCGAGGGAGUCCCUUUUAUAGAAUAAGGGCUCGCUCCUCAAUACAUAAAUGAUGGUCUAGAAUUGAUGCUCGCGGCGAGAUGGUUGCUUAGCAGGAGGUGAUGCUCUCUAAUGAUGGUGAGGGAGUCCCUUUUAUAGAAUAAGGGCUCGCUCAUCAAUACAUAAGUGAUAGGUUAAGUCCCCCAAGUAUUUUUCAUAAGGCCCAGUUGUGGAAGCCCAAUAUAUGGUACAUAAUGUAGUCCCCCAAGUCUUCAGUCAAUAUAGUCUGUUAGCUGGAGACUUCAAAUUGAAUCCAUGUAUGGGCCGAAGUGGCGGUUGUUCGGAGGUAGUAUUUGUAUACCCUGCACUGAAGCUUUGUAGGUGAAGCUUUGCAAGUGAAGCUUUGAAGCUGGAGCUUUGUAAAUGAAGCUUUUGAAGCUGGAGCUCUCGAAGCUGGAGCUUUCGAAGCUGGAGCUCUGUAAAUGAAGCUUUCGAAGCUGAUUGACAUGAAUGAUGCUCAUGAAUGUUUAUGUUGAUUGACAUGAGUGAUGCUCAUGGAUGUUGACAUGAGUGAUGCUCAUGAAUGUUGACAUGAGUGAUGCUCAUGAAUGUUGACAUGAAUGAUGGUCAUGAAUGUUUAUGUAUGAUUGACAUGAGUGAUGCUCAUGAAUGUUUAUGUAUGAUUGACAUGAGUGAUGCUCAUAUAUAAUUUUGGAGUACUAGAUGUACUUUUGAUCACCUAGUGGGUGAUAAUAGCGGCAGGCUGUCGAAUAAUUUUGGAGUACUGGGCGUACUUUGAUCACUUGGUUGGUGAUAAUAGCGGCAGGCUGCCGAAUAAUUUUGGAGUACUGGGCGUACUUUUGAUCACCUGGUUGGUGAUAAUAGCAGCAGGCUACCGAAUAAUUUUGGAGUACUAGGCGUAAUUUUGAUCACCUGGUUGGUGAUAACAGCAGCAGGGUGUCGAAUAAUUUUGGAGCCAUAAGGCCUGACUCUUUUAGGCAUAUGGGCCUUGGCCCUCCACAUAACAUUCCAGCCCAUUAUUUUGGGCUUGCCAUUUUUUUAUUUAUUUUUAUUACCCUUUGAAAAAUAAGAAAACUAAAUUACAUCAUUAAAAAAAUAAAUAAAUAAAGCAGUCGUUGGGGGACUACACUCCCCUUCAUGAUGAAAGUUUCAUCUUUUUCAUCAUGUUGAUGGGCAUCUUCUAGUCCAACAGAAAGUGGAGACGGUGAACCUUGGUGGACAUCUUCUUAUCUUUAAUCAUGUAAUCCCGUGGGAAAGUGGAAUAGUGGAGCAUAUUAAAUAUAAAAAAAUAAAGCAGUCGUUGUGAGCAAAUCCAUCUCUCAUGACUCCACCAACAACAAUCUCAGAGACCAAGAAAGUAUGGUCAAAAUAUUGUUGAAUAUACUAAACUUAUCACGUGGUUGCUGGGUAAAGCUCCGGAUGACAGCUCAAAGCACCAAAGACCAAGAAAGUAUGGUCAAAAUAUUCCUCUCGCACGUUCCUCUGCGAUUAUGUCUGUCAAAAUAUUCCACAAUAUUGAGAGGGUUCUGACGAUAAUGGAAAAGAGAAGGACCCAAGCUCGUAAUCGAAAGGUGGUAGAUAUUGAAUCCCUGAAAGAUACGUCAUCCUUUUCAAAGUACAAGGAGAUAACCCUAGUGGCGAAGUGGUGCCCUUCCCUCAAUGCCUCAUUCGACCGCUCCACGCUGCUCUGUGAGAGCAUUGCAAGGAAGCUUUUCCCGAGAGAAUCAUACCCUGAAUACCAAGGAAUGGAGUAGGAAGAGUACUUGCACAAAGUCAGGCACCGACUGAGGAAGGAGAUUUUGGUGCCUUUCAGGAAGGCUAUGGAUUUGCCCGAGAUUUACAUAGCUGCCAAACAUAAGGGUAAGUUUUUGGAACAUGACGGAGAGCGGUUCAGGAAGUAUUUAGAGAAUGUGAAAGUCGGUAAGGCCAAGAUCACCGGGACCGACAACUCAUCCCAGGCCAUUUCCAAAGCUAACAUAUCUCUGAUUGGGAAAAGCUGUUUAUUGGGAAAUCAGAUUAAGGAAUAUGGGGAAGUGGGAAAGUGGAAAGUUUUGAACUUUUUGUGAAUCAAUCAAUUGGGUUUGUUGGUGGAUUGGGAAAUUUGGCAAAUUCAUAGGUUUUGGGGGAUUUGGACUUGAGAAAUUUGGAUCUGUGGUUUUUAGGUGAGCAGAUUCACGGUGGAUAUUGUGGUAAGGUUUCACGGUGGUGAGAUGAAAAAUUGAGAAAUGACCGAUAUAGUUUUUCGUGUCGAUUCCCACAGACGGCGCUAAAUGUUGAUACACAAAACCGGAGGGGUCUUGGAACAAUGUAAAUCCGACCGUGAAUCUGCAAGAAAGUAAAUAACACAAGAUGUAUCGUGGUUUACCCCAAUGUUUGGGCUACGUCCACAUUGAUAUUGUAUUUAUCUGUUUGUGAAAGGAUUGGGAGGGUGAAAGCCUCUGUAUGUGAGGAUCAGAGCUUUGUAAUGUGAGAGUGAGGCUUCUCUGAGGGUGAGAGAGCUUUGCUCUGAAUCUCAGAGCCCUCAUAUUGUGAGGGUGAGGAGGCCAUUUUAUAGACUAAGGGCUCCUCCCCUUUUUACAUAUUUGCCCCUUCAUUUAUUACAUAAUUACAUUUGAAUCCCCCGAGUAUUUAUACGAGAUCUAAAUACGGAGGCCCUAAGUAUGGUACAAACAAAAAUAUUAUAUGAGAUAACAGAAUUGCUUAUUUUUUAACCUUGGGUUAGACUUUUUUUGUCCCGCUUGUUUCAACGCCACUUGCAAUCAUAGUCAAGUUUGUCAGGCUCAUGUUGGUUUGAAUCGACACAAUGUUUUCUUAUUUCCAUGCAACUUGCAAUCACUGUCAUAUCUGUCAAGCUCGCGUCGGUUUGAACUGACAUAAAAUUUUCUUAUUUCGACGCCACUUCCAUCAAGUCUGUCAGGCUCACGUUGGUUUUAACCGACACAUUUUUUUUCCUAUUUUGAUGCCACUUGCCUUUCAGUAAGUGUGUCAGACUACUUGACUUAGUGUCGGUUUUAAUUGAAGCGAAGUCCAAAUAUUUUGACGCCAAGUGCAUUUCAGUCAGUGUGUUAGAGAAAAGCAACAAUAAAGCUCAAUAUAUUGGGGUAACAAUACAGUCCUUAUUUCUCAUCUCUAAACCCUUUUCGAAAACCUAUGUUUACGUAAUAUUUUUACAAAAUUUAUUCUUCUUGAAAUGAGCAGUGGCCGGAAGGGUAAUAUUCCUAGAGGGUUACUCUCCCCCCUCCUAUGUAUGGAGCGUCAUCUUUCAGUAGCUCAAAAACUUCCCGUGCUACCAGUUUUAGUUCGCCAUCUUUCACGAAACCUUCCCAUACCAGUUACGAGCCAAGUGUUCCUCCUUAUUAUGGAAACAGUAGUUUUGUCGGUAUAGCUCCACUUGCUCCUAGUUCUACCUAUGAUAAUCAGGUAUGCAAACUUCUCAGCUGCCACCUCUAAAUAUUGUUUUGAUGGGUUUGUAGCGCUCUUAUGGGUUAACAGUUUAUAUGGUGUUGAACAGGUUUGCCCCAUUUGCCUUACAAAUCCGAAAGACAUGGCCUUUGGUUGCGGGCAUCAGGUACAUUUUUGAACUAUAGUUUCAAGAUGAGUUGAGACGAUCAUAUUUUUAGUACCUUGUUCUUAGUGUUAUGUUUUCGGUGCAGACAUGUUGCGAAUGCGGACAAGAUCUUCAGUCGUGCCCAAUUGCCGAAGUGCAAUCCAAACCUGGAUAAAACUGUAUUAACGACGACGUGCUUUCAUGCCGGAGUUGGCUAACAUUGUGUGCAUUUGUUUAUUUUUUCAAUCACAUUCUUUGUAAUCCAUUGCUUCAGGUGGUCAGGAAGUUUGGUAAAUGGUUGGUUGAAUCCAACGUAUGGUGAUGAUGAUCCAAAUGUGAGUGAAUAUUAUGGUGAUUUUUUUGGUUGUUUAAGAAGAAAAUGAAAAAGAAGUGAAGUGCUGGCCUCAAAAGAAGUGAAGUUCUGGUGAUUUUACGGACGGCAGCAGCAUAAUUAUUUUAUUUAUAGAGAUGUUAGGUAAUGUCGGUUACGAUCGACAGUAGAUCAACUAUUUUAUUUAUUUAACUUACGUGAUGUAGGUUUGGACCGACAGUAAGUGUGAUAUUUUUAUUGUCUAUUUGUUACUUAAUGUUGGUUUUGACCGCCAUCCUAUCAGAUUUUCAUGUCGCUUAUAAGCGACGUAAGAGUCGAUGUCGCUUUUAAGCGACACCGUUGUUCAUUUUAUUUUAUAUUACUUUGCUUCUUGGUGGCGGAUCAAGGGGAAUAAGCGACGUCAUUACCCUUUUGGUGAUAGUAGUAUUGGUGUCGGUUCCUCUAUCCGACAUUGCACGAUUUAAUGUUGGAUUUUUACCAAAAAUCCGACAGUAAUUGUUGUUUCUUGUCGGUUUUACACCGCCAGUGAUAUCCCCUUUUGUAGUAGUGCGUAGCAGAGUUUUCGUAUCGACAAGGAUUCUUGGCAAAUCUUGGUAUUGGAGAUUACCUUUGAUGGUAUAAUUCUCAUUCUACUUUUAUUGUACUUACGCUCUCUGACAUCACGUAUAAAAUGGGUUCAUUCCCGCUCACAUGCGCACUCUUCCAUUUAAGCAACUUUAGGUUUAAAUUUACUCACAUGUUCCACACCACGACACUUAAUGGCUUCGUCACCCUCCGAGCGUAAGUCAGCACAGCUCGAUUUAGAGUCCAGACGGACAUUCCGAGUUGGGGUGUGUCAAUGUUGCUCACUCAUUAAAAUACGUGAAAUGGAAUAUCAAGUGACAAGAAUUCUGGUUAUCUAAAAAUUUCUCAAGGGGGUUAACAUUAUAGAGACACAUGGUUUCGUAAAUCAGCUUCAGUUAAGAGUUUGUUAGAGAAUUGUUGAAGUGUUAUUAGGAUAAUACUCAGUGGUAAGUGAGCAAGGGUCGUUGUAUCUCCAUCGGCACCCGGAUGCAGUGUUAAAUAAGCAAGGGGGCCAUAGAAACUUUUUUUCAAACGACUCCACUCAAAGUUGUUUGGGAGCAUAUGCUCCUAUCAACUUUACACAAGACACACAAAAGAAGUACUUUGAUCCUAUUAGACAGAAGGGUAGAGUUCAAGAGAGUAGAAUGCGUUUAGGAACGUGGAAUAUAGGAACCCUAACGGGAAAAUCUAUGGAAGUAGUGGAAGUUAUGGUGAGGAGAAGGAUAAAUAUUAUGUGCCUACAAGAAACUAAGUGGGUUGGUCUUAAGGCAAAGGAUCUAGAAAACUCAGGGUUUAAACUCUGGUAUUCGGGCACAAAUAGAAUGAGAAACGGUGUUGGCAUCAUCGUGGACAAGACCUUGACAUAAGAUGUUGUAGAUGUCAAGAUGGUAGGAGAUAGAAUCAUGGCAAUCAAGAUUGUAAUAGGACAAGAACUCAUCAAUGUGAUUAGUGUGUACGCACCUCAAGUAGGGUUGGAUACGAGUUCGAAUGAGAAAUUUUGGGAAGACCUUGGAGACUUGGUGCAAGGAAUUGCUCAGACGGAGAAGUUAUUUAUAUGAUGAGAUUUAAAUGGACACGUGGGCAAGGAGAUAGGCAACUAUGGAGGUUUUCAUGGUGGCCAUGGUUUUGGGGAGAGAAACGAGGAUGGAGAAGCUAUCUUGGAUUUUGCAAUGGCAUAUGAUCUCUUCUUAGCCAACACCUUCUUUAAGAAGAGAGAAGAACAUGUGAUCACCUACAAGAGUGGGUCGUUAAAAACACAAAUAGAUUUUCUUCUAAUAAGGAAAGGGGAUCGUAUAACUUGUAAGGAUUGCAAAGUUAUACCGGGAGAGAGCUUGGCUAAUCAACAUCGCUUGUUGGUGAUGGAUGUACAUAUCAAAAGAGUGAGAAAAAGAACAAGACUUGGAAGUGCCCAAGGACUAGAUGGUGGAACCUAAAAGGAGAAAAACAAGCCAUUUUCAAAGAGAAAAUAAUCACCCAGUGUGUGUGGGAUAGAGAGGGGGAAACUAGCCAAAGGUGGGAUUCCAUGGCUAGUUGUAUCCGAAAAGUAGCAAAAGAGGUAUUAGGAGAGUCUAAGGGCUUUGCUCCACACCAAAAGGAAUCUUGGUGGUGGAAUGAAGAGGUACAAACGAAGGUGAAGGCUAAGAAGGAAUGUUGUAAAGCCUUAUACAAGGAUAGGACCGAUGAAAAUGGUGAAAGGUAUAGAAGAGCGAAGCAAGAGGCGAAGAAAGCUGUGAGAGAAGCUAAGUUAGUGGCUUAUGACGAUAUGUAUAAGCGACUAGAUACCAAAGAAUGAGAGUGAGAUAUCUAUAAACUAGCUAGAGCAAGGGAAAAGAAGACAAGGGACCUAAACCAAGUGAGGUGCAUCAAGGAUGAGGAUGGAAAUGUUCUUGCUACAGAGAACGCGGUCAAAGACAGAUGGAGAGGUUAUUUUCAUAAUCUUUUCAAUGAAGGACAUGAAAGGAGUACUUCUUUAGGGGAGUUGAGUAACUCAGAAGAGUGUAGAAACUACUCAUUUUAUCGUCGAAUCAGGAAGGAAGAAGUGGUUGUAGCUUUGAAGAAGAUGAAGCAUAGAAAAGCAGUGGGCCCAGAUGAUAUACCGAUCGAAGUGUGGAAAGUCUUGGGAGAGACAGGUAUAACAUGGCUCACUGACCUUUUCAAUAGGAUUUUGAAAACGAAGAAGAUGCCAAAUGAGUGGCGAAAGAGCACUUUGGUGCCUAUCUACAAGAAUAAGGGCGACGUUGCAUAGAUUGAGGCAAGAGACACGGGUUUCGGACAACCAAUUCGGGUUCAUGCCAGGACGCUCAACCAUGGAGGCAAUCUAUCUCUUACGAAGAUUGAUGGAAAGAUAUAGAUAGGGGAAAAAUGAUUUACACAUGGUCUUUAUAGAUUUGGAAAAAGCGUAUGAUAGGGUCCCAAGAGACAUUCUCUGGAGGAUUUUGGAGAAGAAAGGAGUACGAGUAGCAUAUAUCCAAGCUAUAAAGGAUAUGUAGGAAGGAGCAAAAACUGCCGUAAGAACUCAUGAAGGACAAACCGAAAGCUUCCCCAUAACUGUAGGAUUACAUCAAGGCUCAUCCUUAAGUCCGUACCUUUUUACGUUGGUAAUGGAUAAGUUAACAGGACAUAUUCAAGAUGAUAUUCCUUGGUGUAUGCUUUUCGCAGACGAUAUAGUGUUGAUAGAUGAAACUCAGGAAGGGGUAAAUGUGAAGCUUAACCUUUGGAGAGAAGUGUUGGAAUCUAAAGGUCUUCGCCUAAGCCGAUCAAAGACAGAAUAUAUGGAGUGCAAGUUCAGUGCAAAUGGAGGCCAAAAUAAGUUAGGGGUGAGGAUUAGAGAUCAGGAAAUACCAAAGAGCGACUGCUUUCGCUACCUAGGAUCUAUCUUGCAAAAGAACGGAGAAUUAGAUGAAGAUCUUAACCAUGGAAUACAAGCUGGAUGGAUGAAGUGGAAGAGUGCAUCCGGCGUGUUGUGUGACCACCGUAUGCCACUGAAGCUCAAGGGAAAAUUUUAUAGGAUGACAAUAAGGCCGGCGAUGCUGUAUGGCACAGAAUGUUGGGCGUGAAGCAUCAACACAUACACAAAAUAGGUGUAGCGGAGAUGAAGAUGCUUCGUUGGAUGUGUGGGCACACGAGAAAGGAUAAGAUUAGGAAUGAGGAUAUCUGUGGUAAAGUAUGAGUAGUCGAAAUUGUAGGAAAGCUGAGAGAAAAUCGGUUACGGUGGUUUGGACAUGUGCAAAGAAGGCCUACUGACGCUCUGGUUAGAAAAUGCAACUACGGGAUAGAGGUUCAGGGUCGAAGGGGUAGAGGAAGACCUAGGAAAACUUUGGAAGAGACUCUAAGAAAAGACUUAGAGUACUUGGAUCUAACGGAGGACAUGACACAGGACCGAGCACAAUGGCGUUCUAAAAUUCAUAUAGCCGACCCCACUCAGUGACUUGGAUUUUUCAAGUCUUCAACCGAGAAGUUUCCCUCACUCGAGAAAUUAAGGGAACACUACCUCAACCUACAUGCUUCACUCACAAAGUUUCAACAUACAAGCUUCAACAAAAGAAAAAUUCAAAGAACUUAGUGAAGAAGGCUUUGGUGUAUUUAACACAAUACGUUGAAAUGAAGCAAAGCUUAUUUAUUGAUAUCUCCGAUAAGUUACAAAUAUGUACAUAUACAUAAGUCAAAAUAAACAAACAAGAGGGGGCAUUCACAAAGGUUGCUUAUGAGAAGUCUCAGCAGUCGGUAAAGCCCCAGAAAGAAAAGGCACCGGAGGGUUAUCUCUCGGAGCCUUAGUACUGGACAGAACCCUAGAAGGAAGAGGCAUCGGAGGCUAAUCAUUUGAAGCUUUAUUACGCGGUACAACCCCAGAAAACGAAUGCAAUAAAUGCCUUUGGAACAAACCCACAAACCUCUGUUGAUCAAGUAAAAUCUGACCAUCAGAUUCCUUCACCUGGUCCAGCUUCCUCUUCAUGUUUGUAGCAUAGUCAUGUGCGAGCCUGUGCAACUGUUUAUUCUCAUGCUUGAGCCCUCUAAUCUCCUGCUUGAGACUCAUCACUUCAGCCGCCAAUGAUUCAACUUGGCGGAUUCGAGCAAAUAGGCGUUGGGCCAUAUUCGACACAGAACCUGCACACUGAACACUAAGAGCCAGAGAAUCCUUAACAGCCAACUCAUCAGACCGUUUGGAAAAAAGUCUGUUAUCUUUGGGAGUGAGAAUGUUCCUGGCCAUCAUCGCAACGGUCAUAUCAUUCUUCAUCACGGAAUCCCCAACGGUAAGAGGACCAGUAGGGGAUAAGAAUGAUGGGCGCCAUAUGUUGUCUAGAGAAGGCGCGUCUGCCUCUUCACCAAGGUUCAAGUCAAAACGACGGUCGGAAGGGCCAGACAUUUUCAAAGGUGUUGAACAAAGAAGAGGUCGGACAAAACAAGAUCUUAGAAGUACAAGAAGGGAGCUUCUACUGGUGGAGAUUCAAGUUUGCUUUGGAACUUAAUGCCAGCCUCUGUAAAAUCUGCACUCGACGGAGCUUCAGAAAUCAAAGAGGCGUUUGCUUUCUCAAAAGUUGGGCUACUCAGAGACCACGAGGGCCAAUCUUAGAGAUCGAAGAGGCGUUUGCUUUCUCAAAAACUGGGCUGCUCAAACACCACGAGGGCCGAUCUCAAAAAUCGAAAAGGUGCUUGCUUUCUCAAAAGCUGUGCUGCUCAGAGACAACGAGGGUCGAUCUCAGAAAUUGAAGAGGCACCUGCUUUCUCAGCCUUGUCAGCACCUGUCACAUGCACACUCAACCUUGCGGAAAUUAGGGGCAAUCUGUCGAAGAUUUCUGGUGAAGUAGAAAGCACGUGAAUCUUACUGUUCAAUCAUCCACUUUCCGCAUGCAACAUCAGCUCAUGGGUACCACAGAUAACUUUGCCAAAGAUCUCUGACAAAGUUUAGACACGUGAAGCUUGCAACUCCCACUACAUCGCUAUGACCAAGAAGGGUAAAAGAAUAGCAAAGAAACAACACUAACAAAGUUUAGACACAUAAAUUUUGAAGGUUUAGCUACCAUAUUAUUACCCACAAGGGUAAAGGAACAGCAUCACUGCUGGAUAAUUGGAAAGUCCCUGUGUGUCAACCUCUGUGCUCCGUGGCAAGGUAGACUAGCAAAAAUGCCCAACCUUUACUCACAUUCGAGAAAACACUCCCAACAAGAUUGCUUGCUCCAAAAUCGAAGAGGUACCGACCUCCGAAUCUCGAGAGCCAGACUCCUAACAGGAUUACUUUCUCAAAAAUCGAAGAGACACCGCUCUUCGAAUUUCAAGAGCCAGACUCCCAGCAUGAUUGCUUUCUCAAAUAUCGAAGAGGCACCGUUCUCCGAAUCUCGAGAGCCAGAUCCCCGACAAGAUCGCUUGUUGGAAAACCAAAGAGGCAUCGCUUUCUCAACUUCGAGAGCUAGAUCUCUUUGGAUAAAGCUUGUCUGUAAUCUUCACACGCAACAUCAGCUUUCCAGAUACCACAGACCACUUUUUCAAAGUGUUCUGACAGAGUUAAAACACGUGAAGCUGGCAGCUCCCACUACAGUGCUAUGACCAAGAAGGGUAAAAGAAUAGCAUUACUACUUGUGUCAACAUUGGAAGCCAAUCAUAACACGACACGUGUCAAUGUCAGAACAAGGCUAGAAACUCUCUUCUAUAAAAGGAGAUCAUUCUCCCAAAAUAUUUCCUAAUGCCAUUUGUACUAAAUCAUUCACUUGUACCCAUUAAAGGAGAGCUUGAACGUAUGUACUUGUGUAAACCCUUCACAAUUAAUGAGAACUCCUCUACUCCGUGGACGUAGCCAAUCUGGGUGAACCACGUACAUUUUGUGUUUGCUCUCCUGUCUCUAUCCUUUUACAUACUUAUCCACACUAUUGACCAGAGCAAUCUAGUGAAUGUCACAAACUUAAUACUUUCUGUUGUACCAAAGUCCUCACUGAUUUUAUGCAUCAACAAUCCUUAAGUCCUUACCUUUUUACAUUGGUAAUGAAUGAGUUAACAGGACAUAUUCAAGAUUUUAUUCCUUGGUGUAUGCUUUACGCAGACGAUAUAGGGUUGAUAGAUGAAACUCAAGAAGGGAUGAAUGCGAAGCUUAACCUUUGGAGAGAGUGUUGGAAUCUAAAGGUCUUCGCCUAAGCCGAUCAAAGACAGAAUAUAUGGAAUACAAGCGGGAUGGAUGAAGUAAAAGAGUGCAUUCGGCGUGUUAUGUGACCGUCGUAUGCCACUGAAGCUCAAGGGAAAAUUUUAUAGGACGACAAUAAGGUUGGCGAUGCUGUAUGGCAUAGAAUGUUGGGCGGUGAAGCAUUAACACGUACACAAAAUGGGUGUAGCAGAGAUGAGGAUGCUUUGUUGGAGGUGUGGGUUCACGAGAAAGGAUAAGAUUAGGAAUGAGUGGGUUGGACAUGUGCAAAGAAGGCCUACUGACGCUCCAGUUCAAAGAUGUGACUACGAGAUAGAGGUUCAGGGUUGAAGGGGUAGAGGAAGACCUAGGAAAACUUUGGAAGAGACCCUAAGAAAAGACUUAGAGUACUUGGAUCUAACGGAGGAUAUGACACAGAACCGAGCGCAAUGGCGUUCUAGGAUUCACAUAGCCGACCCCACUUAGUGGGAAAAGGCUUUGUUGUUGUUGUUGUUGUUGUAUGCAUACAAAGACCGAAGCUCUCUUUCUCUUCAGUUCAUCUUCCUCGUUUUACCGAAGCUCUCUUUCUUAUAAUGAAGUACAAAACAUGAAAUGCAAAAUGAUAAAAAGAACAAUAUAACCUAAAUCUCGUUGUCAUUUCUUGCAUAUUCAUCUAUUCAACGCUUCUUUGUCAAAGAGAUAACCAGGUUAAUGUACUAGCAAUUCUCCAUUUCCAUGUGAUGAAGGACAACUGCUUCGGACCGGCAAAACAAAUCAUCCAUAGCAGCUUCUCCGAAUUGUGUUGCCAUAACAGGCUCUUCCACAGCUCUUAUAUCAGUGGCAAGUUUAGCCCUUGCCUUUUUACCAACGUCACUGUAAGCAUGCUUCAUAUAAGAGUCCCAAUCAUUUUUGAAAGCUUCAACGCUUUGCAACCUAAAAGAUCCUUCAGCCUCGUUUACAUCUUCAACAUCCUUUGUUGUUGAUGCAUAAUAUGGCAGAUUGAAUAUCUCCAAAUUUUCCUUCUCAAUCAAACCUUGAAAUUCAUCAAACUAAAUAAUGUUUGUAAUUAGUAAAGUAAUUAUUGAAGUCGUUGGGAAAUUAGGGUUCCUUAAAGAUUAGGGUUUGCUUUAGUCUUUUUUUUUAGUUUUCUUUAUAUAUAGGAUGUGUUGUAAAAUCGACUGUGGGUGCAGUGGAAUAAAUGAAACAAGACACAAAAUUUACGAGGUUCCUCUACAGUCAGUGUGACUGGAGUACGUCAUCGGGGCAGCAGUGGUGCUUUCAUUAUAAUUUGAAAUAAUAGGAGUACAAAGAUAACUCUCUUUAUAUCUCCCCCUCAUCUUCCUCUUCUUCCUCUUCUUUCCUCUCUCUCUCUUCCUUUCUUCCUUUUCCUUCUUUUCUCCCGUGAACCCUUCACAUCUAUCUAUCUCUUUAUUGUGUUUCAUAAGGCUUGUUUUUAUACAAGUAAAUCACAUGCUAAAUAGUGGAAGGGCAACUUGCCCAUUAUUUGAGUGGACAUCCAUUUCUACAACACUCCUCCUUGGAUGGCCACAAGUCUUCGAUUGACUCGUUAAACUCUUGAUCUGUUUUGGAUGCUACCCCUGAUGAGUAUCUCCCCCUGAUUUCAAAUCAUUUAGGUUGAUCGUUGAUUGUUCUGCUUUAGUCUCUUAGUAAGAAGAGUUGCUGAAAGAGUUGCUUUACUUGUUGUUAACUUUCCACAGGCUUUUUCUUGAACUGGGUUGUAGGACUUUCUGUUAGACUAGCAUCCAAAGGUCUGAAUUUACUCCUUUUAUCUGGAGCGGAAUUUGAUUCAAGAGUAAUGAACACUUGAUCUUGAAUCGGACUUGUGAUUUCUUCAAGGACCUUCGAGGCUUGAUCUUGAAUGAAAUUGGACCAUGAGGAGCUUCAUGUGGCAAGUGAUCUUCAGUUUUGUCAGGGAUGAAUCAGCACGCGUUUGUUGCGCUUGUCUCCACAUGCUUCAAUGUAUCAUUUUCACUUUCCUUACUUGCUCCCCUUGCUUAAGUAGUAUUUUCCCUGCUUUUCCCCCAUGCAUGUGUGGCAUCUUCUCCGGCAGUAUUUGCCCUCUGAUGCCGGAGUGGAGUGCAACCCUUGCAUUUGGAUGGUUCAUCACUUCUUGGUGACUGGAGACCCAGCUCCAACCGUUGAAGAUGACUACUCGAGAGCAACACUAGGUAAGCAAUCAGGAAAUGUUCCAGGCAGUCGGUUCCUUACCGGGAGUUUGAGUAAAGGUUCCGACAUAUUGCUUUCUUUAUCCUUGUCUUCGCAGACAAGAACAAGGACAAAGGAAAGGACAGGGAGAUUGUAUGAUAUGAGAUAAUCUUGCUCUGGUCCCUGAAGAUAUGUGAUAAUCUUGCUCUGGUGUGACAUGUUUGAAGAGGUAUUCUCGGAGAGGAAGAAAACUGAGUAUUUCGAGAUGCUAUGUUGAAGAUGCAUUCUCGGAGAUGAGGAAGAGUUAGGUAUUCUUGCAGUGUUGCGGGUCUGCCUUGUUAUGGAGAACAGAGGUCAACAUAUAUAGAGAUUUCUCAAUAGCAAGUGGUGGUGCUGUGCUUUUACUCUUGUCAAUAACUGUGGUGUAAAUAGAACAGUAAGAUUUACGCGUUUUCAACUUUGUCAGAUAUCUUUGACAAAGUUGCACGCGAUAUCUGAAAAAGCUGGGAUUACGUCUGAAAAAUGCCAACAAACUUUAUUCAGGAAAAUCUGGCUUUUGAAAUUCGGAGAGCGGUGCCUCUUCGAUCUUUGAACAAGUGGCUCUGCUGCCUCUUCUUUUAUAGAGACAUCAAUUGUGUUCAAGAGUAUGCUCAGAAAGUUGCUGCCUGUAGAAAUUUCCUCUAUCUUGCACUUCUGAAAUUUUAUUUGACCUCUGUUUUUCCUUCAUCAUUUCUGAAAAAUGACUUGCCCAUCUAACAUUUGCUUAGAUUUGAGUCUUAGGAAUGAUACAGACGAGCAACGUCAGGAUAAUAUAUGGCGCCCGUCCUUCUUAUCUUCUAAUGGUCCUCUUACGGUUGGGGACUCUGUGAUGAAGAAUAACAUAACCGCUACUGUGGUAGCUAAGAAUCUUCUCACUCCAAGGGAUAACAAGAUCCUUUCAGAACGGUCUGAAGAGUCGGCCGUUCAAGACUCCUUGGCUCUCAGUGUUCAGUGUGCUGGCUCUGUGUCCAAUAUGGGCCAACGCCUACUUGCUCAAACUCGCCAAGUUGAAUUAUUAAUGGCAGAGGUGGCAAGUCUUAAACAAGAUAUCAGAGGGCUCAAGCACGAGAAUAGGGUGUUACACGUGCUUGCAAAUAGUUACUCUACGAGCAUGAAAAGAAAGCUCGACCAACUGCAGGAAUCUGAAAGUCGAAUUCAAAGUGAUCACCAGAGGUUUGUUGCUAGAUUCCGAAAGCAACUGAUGCCUUCCCCUUCUGGUGUUUUGCUAAGUACUGGGGUGCCACAUGAUCAAUCUCCAGUGCCUCCCCUUUCUGGGGUACUUCCGAGUACUGAGGCUUCACAUGAGCAACCUUUGUGAAGGCUCCAUCCUGUUUGUUUGUUUUAACUCAUGUGUAUGUAUAUAUCUGUAAUUUCUUGGAGAUAUUAAUAAAUAAGCUUUAUUUCAUUCAAUGUAUUGUGCCAAAUACAAUAAAGCAUAUACUUUACUAAGAUGUGGUACUUCUGGACCAAAUAUUAAUUUAUCUUUACCCUCACGAAGAUAAAUGAUUAUUCUUAGUGUCUUCAUCAUAUGAGUAUUCAACUCAUAAUCUUCAAUCCAUAUGGUUCUUUUAAUAUCAUAAAUAUCAUGGAUAAGAUUCGUGUUGGUAGAUUGUUCGAUCUGCAGCUCGAGACAAUAAUUCCUUCAACACUUUAUAAUUUUUCUAGACUCUUCAGGAGUCCCAAUUUAAUAUCAUCAACUCUUCAAGAGUUCUAAUUUAAUGUCAUUGACUCUUGCAAGAGAUUUUAGUAUGUUGCAACAAUAUCAUACUGAUAGUACUCACUAAGGCAAUUUAUAUCAUCCAUUGAUAUUGAGUAUAUAUUUUAUGCUUUACCCUUCAGGGGCUUACUUCAAGCAAUUUGAAUCCUUCAAGGAUUUUCUACACUUCAUGACACAUUUUCCUUUGGAAUUUAUACAGAGCAAUUUGCUCCCAUGUAUACUUGAGGGAUUUACUUAUGGAGAUAUGAUGUGGGCGACUCAUAACCCUUCGUAUAUAAUUCUCCAUUUAUAUGAACUCGUUUACAAGAGUAUAAUUUCAGGUUUCAAUUAGUAACCUUGUGUCAUAUUAUGUGAGUGUAUUACAAAUGCCGAUAUGUAACCUCCUUGGUUCAACAUCUUUUGGCUAUUUGUAUUGUAUUCAAAUAUAUAUAGGUUCAUUUGUCCACGUUCUUACAAAAUUGUAAUGGAAUUGCCUUUCUCCAUUUUGGCCAAUAAUUUUUCUUUUGUCGACGAACAAAAGAACGUGACUCAAUAUUAACACAGCUCAUUGAUGAAUUUAGUAGCUACUUGUAAAAACCAAAAUUACCAUUGGUUAUCAUCAAUCCGUGAUCCCAUAUUCUCAUGUGCAUGCGCAUGCAUAAAAACUUUUCAUUUCUUUGGAUAUUCAUUGCCUCUUCAAGGGCAUGACGCUAUCUCUUCCAGGAUAGUCAUAAUUUAGAGAAUGUGGAUCAUAACCUCCUCUUGAGCUUUAUAGAGCUUGGAUUUUAAUCUCCACUUUCGGGAGUUGAGUCUUUGGAACCUAUACAUCUAUCAUGCUACAUGCAUGAGACAUCAAUAUUCCCAUGUCUGUGGAUUGUCCUAUCUGGGACGUGUAUCCAUGCGGCGACUGUCAUGCUUCUGGCAUGCAACAGUUAUGCUUCGGGAAUGCAAUAGUUCAGUAGUGCCAUAUUAUUCUUCUUUCGAAUAACUGAACCUUUUGAGUCUAAAAAUCUGCCACGCUUCAGGCGUGCAACAGAUAAAUCAUUUACUGUCUCAUUAUUUUAUCCAAUAGAGACAUCAAUUCUUGUAGACACAUUUGCAGUAAGUAUAUAUGAUUUCAUCACUUUCGUUGCAUCAUUCAAUUAUUCAUAUUUCAUUUUCUCAUUGAUUGAUUCGUGAAUCAAAAUAAAAUAAAUUCUCUUCGUUCUUCUGGAACGAUCCUUUCUCGUCAUUCUUCUGGAAUGAUAUUUUCUCAUUGUUUUUUUUUUGGAACGAUAUUUUCUCCCCCUAACAGCGGAAACAUUGUCUUAUAAAAUGACAGUCCGCAAACCAAGCGGUAAAUAUAUCCCCAGUCAAGGGUUCUAAAUAUUGAAUGAUAGAUGAUGUUCAACAUCAAUGCCUAAUCUACGAUGAUGCCUCAUUUCAGUACGUUGUGGCAGUCUUACAGGCACAUAGACAACACAACCAAAAACUUGUGAAAGUAUAAUGCUUGGCUGGUUCCCAAACACGAGUUGUACUGAGAAGUAUUGAUGGUUGGUAACAUAUCUCAAUCGAAUUAAUAAUGCAUCAUGUAAAGUUUACAUGUUCCCAUGUAGAAAAUUGGCAAUUUCGUUUUCAUGAGCAGAGCGUUGGUAAUUGAUUUCACCCACUUAAUAAAUGCUUCUGCUAAACCGUUUUGAGUAUGGACAUGAGGAACUUCUGGUCCUUGUUUAAUAGUCUGUGAACUGAGACUCUUAUGUCCUUUAUUAUAGUUAAGUUGAGGCAUUGCGGCACUUUAAACUUACGGUACUCAUCAAGGAAUUUCAUGUCCUGAUCUUCAGGAUCAAAGGACUUCAUGCCUAAUCUUUCUGUAUGAUGGAACUUCGGGUCCAAUCAUUUUAUAUGAUGAGGAUCAAGAAACUGCAGGUUCUGAUCUGAUCAAGGAACUUUGGGUCUUAUAUAUACUCAUUGUAACAAAAGAUAAGUUGCAUUUAAAUAAAUAAAGCUUGUGACAAGGGCUUUAAUUCAGCACCAUUAAAACUUAAAGCAAUAGGCGGUAAAACCGUCCAUGGUAAAUAAAUUGCUUUAAAGUAAAUAAAGCUUGUGACAAGGGCUUUGAUUCAGCACCAUUCACAUAAAUAUCAAAGCUUAAAACAAAGGGUAAUAAUUCUACCCACUGUAAAUAAAUUGCUUUAAAUAAGUAGAACUUGUGACAUGGGCUUUAAACCAACACCAUGCACAUAAAUAUGCCAAAACAGAAAAUGCAAUGACUAAGUCCUCAUGUUUUGCUUUUUCAUUUUCUUGGUCUGCCACUUCUUUUGUUUCAUCCCUUUUAUUUUUAUUAUUAUUUCACAGUUCGAAGUCAUUUUGGUUACUCAGUAAAUAAUAGUAACAAUAAGUUCCAAUUGGUGUUCCUCCUCUGGUGAGUUUCGAAAAAGUCGAAACGGUUCCCAUAAGUUUUGGAGUCAAGAGUGUCUGCAACUUAUGAGAAGAUCAAACCGUUAGAUUUAGUUCAAAAUUUAGUAUGAUAUGGAUAAGAGGAUACCAAACAACUUUCGUGAAGAAACAAUUUCGAUUUGAGCUACCGAAAUGGAGUUUUGGUACUCAUAAGGUGGCUGCCCAGUUUUCUGCGGAAAUUGGAAACUAGUUUGGUAUUUCAGACAUCUGCGACGAUCGCACCGUUAACAUUUUCUGAAAGUUUGAUAUGUUGUAGAUACUGAGCAGACGAACAACUUUCAAGAAGAAAGUAUUUCAAUCCGAGGUCCGCAAGUUGGAGUUCCGAGGCUAUUUACAUGGCUGUCAAAUUCUCUUACAAAUUUUGAGUCUUUUACUCUUUUACUUCUGCAAAGGAUGAUAUACAGUCAUAUAACAAUAUAUAUAGUUGCUUCAAGAAAAUCAAUUGUACUGAGAUUUGAAGAUGAAAUGAAAUUUUUUUUCUUAUCUAUGAGAUUCCAGCUGAAGAAGGUGAACAUGAUUUGUGGCGUUGUGCUUUCCACUGACAUGAGAGCUUCUCAUGCUGAUAACGUGUUGUAAAAUCGACCGUGGGUGCAGUGGAAUAAAUGAAAUAAGACACAAAAUUUACGAGGUUCCUCUACAGUCAGUGUGACUGGAGUACGUACUCGGGGCAGCAGUGGUGCUUUCAUUAUAAUUUGAAAUAAUAGGAGUACAAAGAUAACUCUCUUUAUAUCUCCCCCUCAUCUUCCUCUUCUUCCUCUUCUUUCCUCUCUCUCUCUUCCUUUCUUCCUUUUCCUUCUUUUCUCCCGUGAACCCUUCACAUCUAUCUAUCUCUUUGUUGUGUUUCAUAAGGCUUGUUUUUAUACAAGUAAAUCACAUGCUAAAUAGUGGAAGGGCAACUUGCCCAUUAUUUGAGUGGACAUCCAUUUCUACAACAGGAUGUGUUUUGUAACUUAGUAGAAUAACGAAUUAGUAAAAUGUAGCCCUCAGUUUAUAAUCGCAUUCGCAAUUUUAUUUAUUUGUUUUUCCAUUGGUUCCAUCUCAAUUAGAGAUAUACUUAAAUAAAUAUCUAAUAAUAAAUGUUGUACUUUUUUUUAACAAAUUUAUAUUGUAAGUACUAAUAAUUUUGUUUGCGAUAGUGGCCAUAAAUUAAUGUGGUUCAUAUUAAGUUGCUUUUAUUUUGUUCCUACCUGGUACGUAGACAUUUAGGAUUGAUAAUCUGGACCACAUAUUACAUCGAAAACCAUAUUAUUGAGUUUGAGUCCGACAACUUCCCAAAUGCAAAGUGGGUCAUGGCUCUUUAUGCUGCCCAUUGUUGUGAGGGCCAUACUUUAUCCGGGGACCAGCUCUUCUGCUCGUGACCUCAAAAACACUGUGAAGUCCUUUUUGAAUUGCUCAAAAUACAGCUUAUACACAGCAUAUGGGCUUGUUUUCGCUAUACAUAUGUUCUUCUUGUUUAGUCCCUCUCCUUCCUUGGUCAUCAAACCUUUUGGAGCCUACACAGUACGUUUUAUCAUACUAAAUACCAUGAUUAAUUAAACCACCUCGAAAAAUAUUAGUAAGUGUAUGAGGGGUUAAAAAAAAAAAAAACAAUUCACACCUCAGAGAUCCACAUAAGGGCAUAAUUAGAGAGAACAAAGUAGAGAGAAUUGUUUGGAAAAAGCCUGCCAGAAAGAACCAGGAAUUGCAGUAAUGAAACAUGGCCCCAACUUCUGUUCUUUCUCAAGUUUCUUGUAGAACCCUGGCAAUGACCUGAACACUGUUAGAAUUAAGGAAUAUGACCUUGUUUCUCAGAAAGUGAAUCAAGAAGAAAAUGAAAGAUUUCUCCAACCACAGAUGAAUGCAGAAAGAAUGUUCAAACCAGAACUAACAAAGCUUUUCUUCAUUCACACUCUGCACACAAGACAUGUGCAAAGAUAUAUCCGUAGAGAAGAGAGUCCACAAUUCAAUCUCUACCCUUCAUGUAAUCUACCCUAUAAGAUAGAUACAAGUGGCAAUAUACACUACUAAAAACUAAGAUUACAUCUCAGCUGUCCAAUUGGUCUAUAAUCCAAUGGCUCACAUUUAAACUUAGAAACAUUAAGAAAAACACAGCACACACACUUAUAUUCCAACACUCCCUUCUAAGUGUUGUGCUGAAAUUACUCCAAGCUUCUGUCUCAGAAGUUCAAAUCGAUCUCUGGCCAAAGCCUUAGUGAAAAUGUCUGCAACCUGUUCCUCUGUCUUGCAGUACAGUAAGUCAAUUUCUCCAUCUUGUAGUGCAUCACGAAUGAAAUGAAAUCUCCUGUUUAUAUGUCUUGUCUUAUAAUGAUGCACAGGAUUUUUGGUUAUGGCAAUAGCGGAUGUAUUGUCACGUAAGAUUGUAGUUGGCUCAACCUGUUCUUCACCAAAAUCCGAGAGAACAAAUCUCAACCAAAUUGCUUGUGCUGUGGCCUCUGCUGCACUAACAUAUUCAGCUUCUGCAGUAGAUAAUGCAACACUACUCUGCUUGACUGAUGCCCACGAAAACACUCCUGAACCAAGAUUAAAUGCAUACCCAGAUGUGCUCUUCAUGUCAUCCUCACUACCUGACCAAUCACUGUCACAGUAGCCAAUAAGCAUUGCUUCAUUUCCCUUCUCAUAUGCUAUACCAUAAUCAAGUGUGCCUUGAAUGUAUCUCAGCACUCUCUUAGUUGUUCCCAUAUGUUUUCUAGUAGGACCAUGCAUGAAUCUUGCAAACAAACUUGCUGCAAACAUGAUAUCUGGCCUUGUUGCAGUCAAGUAUAAUAGGCUUCCAACCAUCUGCCUAUAUAGACUCUCAUCAGCUUGUUCACUACCAUCCAUUUUAGACAGUUUAUCAUUCACAGCCAGAGGAGUAGCAACAGAUUUACAAUCUUUGAAACCAAAUUUGUCUAACAGUGUCUUUGCAUAUUUCUUCUGAUGCAAGAAAAUGCAAUUAUCAGUUUGUAUCACACCAAGACCCAAGAAAUGAUGCAACAAUCCAAGAUCAAUCAUUUCAUAUUGUCUCAUCAUUGCAGUUUUGAACUCCAUCAAGAAUUCUUUAGAAUUCCCAGUGUAGAUUAUAUCAUCCACAUAUAGUGAAACAAUAAGUAUUCCACCUUUAGUAAUCUUCACAUAUAAAGUUGCUUCACUAGGACUUCUUUGAAAACCUGCCUUAGUGAAAUAGGAAUUAAUUUCUUCAUACCAAGCUCUUGGAGCUUGCUUAAGACCAUAAAGUGCCUUCUUGAGUCUGUACACCACAUCUUCCUUGUUUUUAAUCACAAAACCAAGGGGUUGAUCAACAUAAACCUCUUCCUGCAAUACUCCAUUUAAAAAUGCUGACUUCACAUCUAACUGAUAAAGUUUCCACCCUUUCUGUGCAGCCAAAGCAACCAAAGUCCUUAUUGUAUCAAGCCUAGCAACCGGUGCAAAGGUCUCAUUGAAGUCUAUACCAAGCUUUUGAGAGUAACCCUUUGCAACAAGUCUUGCUUUGUUUUUCUGAACCGAGCCAUCAAGAUUCAACUUAAUUUUAUAAAUCCAUUUGACACCAAUUACUGGUUUAUCAGAUGGUCUAUCAACUAGCUCCCAGGUAUUAUUCUUUUCUAUCAUUGCAAUUUCACUCUCCAUUGCUUUCUGCCAUGCUUCAUCCUUGAACUCUUCUUCAAAUGUUUCAGGUUCAAUUAUACACAGAUUGCAUCUUUCAUACACUUCUGCAAUACUUUUAUAUUUCAGAGGUGUGUGAUCAACAUCCUGUGGACCUGAAUUAGAUCUAACAGGUAUUUCUUCACUAUCUUCUGGUAUUUCAACAUCAUCUUCAGAGAUCUCAGCUUGACUCAACCUUGUUCCUUCAAUCUCAUUUCCUUUCUCAGUGAGAGAAUCAGUAUAUGGUAUUGUAAGAUUGCAUUCCUUUUGUGCAUUCCAGUCCCAACAAGCUUCCUCAUUGAACACCACAUCUCUGGAAAUAAUGACUUUUCCAGAGUCAAUAUUGUAAAGCUUGUAGCCUUUCUCACAACUUCCAUAUCCCAGAAACACACAUUUUGUACUAGUCAAAUCAAGCUUUUGUCUCUGCUGUUCUGGAAUAUGUGCAUAGCACAGAGAACCAAACACUUUUAGAUGUUUGAUUCCUGGCUUUCUUCCACUAUAAGCUUCAAAUGGAGUUUUCUUGUCUAAUGCCUUAGUUGGACACCUAUUUAGAACAUACACUGCAAUGUUGACUGCCUCAGCCCAAAACUCCAGUGGUAUAUUCUUUUCAAACAUCAUACAUCUAGCCAUCUCCACAAUAGUUCUGUUCUUCCUUUCAGCUACGCCAUUCUGCUGUGGUGAGUAUGCCACAGUGAGUUGCCUUUCCAUUCCCACUUCUUCACAAAAUCUAUUAAACUCAAUAGAUGUGUAUUCACCCCCUUGAUCACUUCUCAGCUUUUUCAACUUAUAUCCACUUUGCAAUUCAACAGUGGCCUUGAACUUCUUAAAAACAUUGAAUACAUCUUAUUUGUAUCUUAAAAAAUAGACCCAACACAUCUGAGUACAAUCAUCUAUGAAAGUGAGAAAAUACCGAUUUCCAGCUUUGGUAAUGGUUUGCAUUGGUCAACACACAUCUGUGUGUACCAACUCCAAUGGAACAGUAGCUCUACUUGUUGUCUCCCUUUGAAAAGAAUCUCUGCAAUGCUUCCCAAGAGUGCAUCCCUCACACAGAUUAUUAAUGAUCUUGAUUUCUGGCAAUCCAAGUACCAUUUCUUUCUCCUGUAGUAGCUUCAGACUGUUGACAUUCAGAUGCCCCAUUCUUCUAUGCCAGAUCAAUGUUGACUCAUUUACACUUGCUUUUAAUGCAAGAUGCAAAUCUCUUUGAAAUUUCAAAGGAAAACUUCUGUUUCCUCUCAUUGGCACCUUAGCAACCAAAUUUGAAAGAAAGCAAUCAUCAUAAAUUUAUGCUUUGUUAUCUCCAAAAAUAAGGAAAUACCCGUGCUCCAUCAUCUGCCCUACACUUAGUAGAUUCUCUUUGAGACCUGAGACAAGCAUCACUUCAUUGAUAUAUCUCAUUCCCAUCUUUGUAUCCAUUACCAAGCUUCCUUUUCCUAUAACAUCAACCAACUGUCCAGUUCCCAUUUCUACCUUGGCAGUUAUGCUUCUGUCAAUGUCAAUCAGUACAUCUUCUCUACCAGUCAUGUGGUUACUACAACCACUAUCCACAUACCAUACAUCUUCAAUAGACUUCUUGUCAACCGCAUUACUUACAUAGAACAUAGUAGUUGUAGAAGGAACCUGAGCUGCAAAGUUUAGUUGCUGAACACCUUGAGCAUUUUUCUUAUUAUUACAAUCCCUUGCAAUGUGACCAAUUUUCCCACAACAAUGACACUUAGGCUUGCCUUUAAGAAAACACUCUCCAUAAUGGUACUUAUCACAGUGCUUGCAAGGAUUUCUUCCCCCUUCUGCAGCUACAAUUUGCUUUCCAGAUUGGUAAACAGGCUUUUGAUUCCAAUUUUUGUAUUUUGGCUUCCAAUUCUUUUGGUAUCGAUUGCCUUGAUUUCCAGAAGAAUUGACAGGUUUGGGAUUCACACUUAGACUCGCAAAUGCUCUCUCAGUCUUGUUCUCAUUAUGUCUCUCCAACCUCUGUGCAAAACUUUUCAAUGAGGCAACUACCUCUUGAACCUCAAUCACAUCUAUAUCCCUUGAGUGUUCAAUCACAGAGCAUAUAGAAUCAUACGCAGAAGGUAAGCUAAUUAAUAAUUUUUGCACAAUCCUCUCUCUAGACAACUCUUCUCCAUAACUUCUCAUUUGAUUUAUCAGAUCAAAUAAUUUUGUAAGAUAAACAGAAAUUGAUUCAUCAUCUCUCAUUCUGGUAUACUCAAAUUCUCUACGAAGACCUUGUAAUUUAACACUUCUAACCUGUUUGUCUCCAUGAAAUUCUUGCAUCAGAAUAUCCCAGGCUCCCUUAGAAGUUUCUUCGUGUGAGAUCCGAGGAAAAUUUUCAUCGGAGACUGCUCCCUGAAUCAAUCCAAGCGCCUUGGCAUCUUUCAUGAGCUUCUCCGUGAGAGAUGCAACUUCGCUCGAUCCCUCUUUCUCCUUCUUCUUCAGAUCUGAGUCAGCUCCCUUCGAAUCUGAGCUCUCGAUUCAUUUUUCAACAAAUUCCCAUAGUCCAUAAGACUUAAAAAUGGUCUUCAUCCUUAUGCUUCAGAAUUCAUAAUUCUCGCCGAUUAAGAUCGGUGCUCUCAGCUCACCUCCUCCAGAUCCUGCCAUAUUAGACACAGAUCUCGUAACUUCACAGAUUCAAUCUCCCAGUAUUAAACGAUUGAACCUGGCUCUGAGGCCAUGUUAGAAUUAAGGAAUAUGACCUUGUUUCUCAGAAAGUGAAUCAAGAAGAAAAUGAAAGAUUUCUCCAACCACAGAUGAAUGCAGAAAGAAUGUUCAAACCAGAACUAACAAAGCUUUUCUUCAUUCACACUCUGCACACAAGACAUGUGCAAAGAUAUAUCCGUAGAGAAGAGAGUCCACAAUUCAAUCUCUACCCUUCAUGUAAUCUACCCUAUAAGAUAGAUACAAGUGGCAAUAUACACUACUAAAAACUAAGAUUACAUCUCAGCUGUCCAAUUGGUCUAUAAUCCAAUGGCUCACAUUUAAACUUAGAAACAUUAAGAAAAACACAGCACACACACUUAUAUUCCAACAAACACAGUGUUGAAAUCGUCCCUGGGAAGAUCAUUCAAGAAGGCUUGGAGUGAAGGAGAUGGACGGUUUAGUUUUUGGAAAGUGGCAUGGAUGUUGUGUGUGAUAUCUGAUACCGCCAAAAGGGUGUUGGGUCCGGAAGAGCAUCCCAAGUCUGCUAUUUUUAAACAGUA